UUAUUGAAGGAGGACCUUAGCUAGGUUGUCUCCUAAAUUGCCCAUCUUUUUAUAUCUUUGCAUUCAUCUAUCUCAUCAUCGUCUUUGAUUUUAGAUGGUGAGGAUGUGAAAGUAACAGGAAGCAGUGGACGAUUGUUCACAGUGAGGCUUAGCACAUCAGCUCUCGAAUAAUGUCCUACCACGUCAAACUGGAACUUUGCUUUAGGAAUCUCUCCACGAACAUCUGCAUAUCAAGUGAUCAUAAAAAUAUUUGAUCAGCCCAUGAUAAAUAUCAUAGAGUAUCAAGUCUUCCAUAAAACUAUGUUUGCAGUCCCUUUAAACCUAAAGAAUUGACUCAUUUGCCUUAUCUGCAUACUGAAUUAUUUGGAUAUAUAAUCGGAGAAGUUAGGGCCAUACCAAGAUCAGCUGUGAAGAGGCCUUCUCCUUCAUAAUUCGGUCCUGCUAGAAUUUCGCCAUGGGGCGAAAUGAUGACACUACCUCCAGCCCAAACAAUAGAAUCUGGAGUGACAUCUUCUUCUGUAGGACUGUAAAGAUACUCAGGUGGAGGUGGGUAAUCUUUCCUCCGACAGAACUGGAUGGGUGAAAGAACAUAGCAUCCACCCUCCAUAGCGAUGUGUCUCAUUGUAGCUACCCAUGUAUCCCCGGAAUCGGCAGUAGGAGCACAAUAUAUCUCAAUUCCUAUAUAGAAUCGGUGUUUUGUGAUCAAUCAAUCCCAUAUCAGAGCCAUAAUGUAUUUCAAGCCUAUUUAGGCUAAAACCCUAAUAACUUAAAAAAGAGUACUGAAGUAUUUCAAGCCAAACCAUACUAGUUAGUGAAGAGAAAGAAAUGGUAAAAUAUAUACCUUUGCCAUACAUUGCUGUCCUCAGAAGCGGCAUUCUAUUUUCCCAACAAAUGACUGAACCAAGUUUUCCAUAUGGAGUGUCAUAAACUGGAGUUGUCGAGCAAUCUCCGAAACCCCAGACGAGCCGCUCCCAAUAUGUUGGCAUGAGUUUCCUAUGUUUUCCAAGGUAAUUACCUUCAGGAUCAAAGAAGAGAACAGUGCAAUACAAUGUGUAUCCAUCUCUCUCAAUAACACCUAUCACCAAGUAGACUUUGUAUUUCGCAGCCAUUGAUGCCAAUCUAUCAACUUCAGGUCCUGAAAAGAUAUUAAGUGGUUGAUUCAUCAAACGUGUCUUGUUUCAAUAAUUUAUUAAGUGGUUCAGUUCUUUAGCUAUUUAAGGAAAAGAGAGAGAGGUAACUGACCCGGCACAUUAAUGGCAGAAGCAUGGUACUUGCGGAAACUUUCUUUCCCUCUUGGCGACUGGUCGGCGAAGUUGUAUCCACGGGGAUACCCACCGAUAAAUGAUUCAGGAAACACAACCAGUUGGGAUCCCAGUGCAGCUGCUUCUUUCAAAAACCUCUCAGCCUUAUCUGCUCCCAAAAUCACAUUGCAAGAAUUAAUAAUUCACGACUUAGAAAGUAAAUUAAUUGGUUGAAUAGAGAGAAUCAAAAUUAACCUCCAGACAUCCCAAAUGACUUUUUGGUUGCUGAGAAAACUCAUGGAAAAAGAGACCUAGAUAAAACUCGGAACUUUCAUAUUUUCAGCUGUUUUGUAACUAAGAAAAGAGAAACCACCUCAACCCAACUCAUCCAAGUAAUUAUUCCUUGAUUGGCAGCUGAAAAUAUGUUCAAGCUUCAAUAAUCCUUUUCUUUCCUUCAGUUUCUCAGCAACCAAUCAACUCACAGAUUCUCUUACACAAGUUGCAGAAUUGAGAGAAAUGGUACGUUACCUAGAGUGGCAGGAGUAUCAUAAAAGACACUAGAGGCUUGAACAACGGUGGCUCUAACAGUUGAAGACAUUGCAGAAAUCGUAUGCCUUUUCGUUUCCCUUCUGUUUGAGGAUUCCUCACACAGCGUUCAGUAUUUAUAUAUAGCCCAAAAGGUUCUUCUGCCAUUACUUGAACAAGACGAAAAGGCUGGGAAAAGUCUGCCUUGGUUUUCCAUAUUGAUUUAAGUUAUCCGCAGACAUUGUGGACCAGCCACAUGACUUAAAACAAAUUGAAAAUAACUGAGUCAUCUGUGAAAUAUAUAUAUCUGUGAAAUAUAUAUAUAUAUAGAUUUCAUCUUUUAUACUUGAAUCAUCUCCCCCCUCCUUUUUUUUUUCCUAGUUUUGGCCUUAUUUUUUAAAAAUAUAAUAUUUAUUUUACUUUUAAUCAAUGGCUCAUAUUUCGAACAAGUGCGCCAGAUUUUCUGAAGUUGUAUAUAUAAUAAUCUGAUAGUGAUUAUAUUUGGAUAAAAAGAGGGACCCGCCCACUUGCAUGGAUUCUAUAUAGGACACAGACAAAUUGUCUUUAGUGGCGGCUGAGGAGGCUUUCUAUGACUUAAAAAAUAAAUAAAACAAAAAUAGUCAUUAAGAAAUCAGUGCCAUGUAGUUAGUGUCCGCCACUAUCUACACUUUCUUUAAAAGAACAAAAUUGUCAUUUUUUUUAAUCUCAGAAAUCACUGAAUCGUACAAAAUAAUAUAAGAUAAGAUUCAAUUCAGUCUUUUUUGGCCUCAUAAGAAAACCUUAGCCAACUCAAGGUGACCACUCCAGAAUCAAAAUAGGUUUUCUUUUUCUUCAAAAAAAAAAAAUAUAUAUAUAUAUAUAUAUAGUUGGUGAAAGAGGGUAUAAACAAAUAUAUGCAAAAAAAAAUUAUGAUGAUUAUAUUUGAAUAAAACAGAGGGAGCCCCCACAUGCAUGGAUUCCAUCUAGCACCCAGAGGAAUUGUCUUUAGUGGGGGCUGAGGCUUUCCAUGACUUAAACUAUAUAUAUAGGUAAAAACUAGGUCUAACUUUAUGUAUUGGACCCAACCAAAAAUUGAGUGAUUGAAUGGCAGCUCUAGUAAAAAAAUAAAAAAGGGAGAACCAUGCUUACUGUCACAGAAUGCUUGAAAUGAGCCCCCUUAUGGGUUUAUAUAGAGUUCAAGAAGCUUCUAGAGACUCCUAGAGCCAUCUACACUAAGUCAUUGAUGGGAAGAGUGUGGAAGGUUCUAGAGAUGCCUAGAGAUGUCCACACAUCUCUACACUAUAGUGGAAGGCAUGAGAGGAGUCCAAGGUUUUCUAGAGAAUUCUAGAAAUCUCUUAUAUAUUCUUGUACAUAGGUUUGUAUAGGAUAUUCUAGAAUCUUCUUGAGUUCUAAGGAACCCUCCAAGGUUCCAGAGAGUUCCAUUGGUAUCUAUAAAUAGGUGAGACCCUCAUUUGGCCAAUACACCACCCAAGAACCUAAUCAACCAAGCAAGUGAGUUCUCAAAGCACUUGUAAAGGUUUCCUUUGAGCAAUAAAAGCUUUCAUUCUUUAAGAGUUGCCUACUACGCCUUCUAAAGCUUCCAAGUCAUGAGCAUCUUAGCCUAGCAAGCUAAGCAUUGGGAGUAACGCUAACUUAGCAAGAUCAAGUACCUUGACUUGUCUAAGUGCCACAUGAGCUUAGGAAAAGAUUAAGUCUGUGACAAGUGGUAUCAGAACACGACUACGAAGCGGGCAUAGUAAAGGAAGCAUGUCGGGUUCCAAUGUAGAAGAGACUAGUGAGCAAAUCCGUGGGAGGGAGACCGAGCCUGCUGCACGGGGCAGGGGCGGGGAGGAUAAGUCUCGUGAUGUCGUUGCUAACAUGGAGGCAAGCUUAGUUAAGGUGCAUCUAGACAUGGCGGACACUCGGGAGGGGUUGGACUUGAUCGAGCAAGGCAUGAAGAAGGGCUUAGAGGAUCUAAGGGAGUAGAUCCAAGACGUUUGUGAGGGGAUGUUAGUCUCACAAGUUCAGCCAGUGUCACAUGAGGAGUUUGUGUCCUUCCAAGAAAAGGUCUUGAGCAUGCUUGCUAGCAUGGAGUCAAGGAUAGAGGCCUUGGUCAUUUGAAUGGAGUCCCGAGACCAAGUUAGGCAAGAGUUGGCCAUCUACAAGGAUGCUGUGUUGGCACGGGUCAUGGCCAUCCAGGAGGUAUCUAAGGUGGAGGAGUCGAAACCACAAGAGUUUAGUGGCAAGUGGGAUGCCAAGGAGUUGGACAACUUCUUAUGGCAUAUGGAGAGAUACUUUGAGGCUAUCACACUAAUUGAUGAGGUGGUUAAGGUAAGAACUGCAACCCUUUACCUUACUGACACAACUACUCUAUGGUGGCGUCGGAGGUUUGCCGAUAUGGAGAAAGGCAUUUGCACCAUAGUGACAUGGAGGACUUCAAGAGGGAAAUCAAGAGGCAGUUCUACCCCAAGGACGUGGCAUUUGCACCAUAAAAAUAUUACCAUAUUCAUUUUUAUGUUGAAUUUAAAUGUUUAAUAAUUUGUUAAAAAUAAAAUAACGUAAUUAUGAUAUAUGAUGAUUUUUUUUUUUUGUUAAUAAAUAUGUUUUCAAAUUUUAUAUCAUUUUUAUUUUUAUUUUUUUUCCAAUUCUAUUUUUAUCUCAUAUUUAUUUUCUUUAAACCCAAAAUUGUUGAGAAUGGAGGAAGAAAGAAGGCCACAACCGGUUCUUUCCUUAAGUGGUUAAGUUGAAUUUUUAUUUCAAAUUUAAAAUGGAUGGCCAAGAUGUAAUCUUGGACAUCCAAUGGCUUGAAAAACUUUUUCGGUAUGUACCGAAGAGGUACCGUAGAAUUUUCUAUAUAAUAAUCUACAAGUUACGAUAGUGAUUAUAUUUGGAUAAAAUGAGGGACCCGCCCACUUGCAUGGAUUCUAUAUAGGACACAUAAAUUGUCUUUAGUGGCGGCUGAGGCUUUCUAUGACUUGAAAAAAAAAACUAAAAAUAGUCAAUAAGAAAUCAGUGCCAUGUAGUUAGUGUCCGCCACUAUCUAUACUUUCUUUAAAAGAACAAAAUUGUCAAUUUUUUUUUUUUUAUCUAAAAAAUCACUUAAUCGUACAAAAUAAUAUAAGAUAAGAUUCAAUUCAGCCUUUUUUGGCUUCAUAAGAACACCUUAGCCAACUCAAGGUGACCACUACAGAAUCAAUAGAGGUUUUCUUUUUCUUCACAUAUAUAUAUGGUGAAAGAGGGUAUAAACAAAUAUAUGCAAAAAAAUAAUCUACAGGUAUGUUGAUUAUAUUUGAAUAAAACAAAGGGAGGCCCCCACAUGCAUGGAUUCCAUCUAGCACCCAGAGGAAUUGUCUUUUGUGGGGGCUGAGGCUUUCCAUGACCCAAACUAUAUAUAUAGGUAAAAAUUGAGUGAUUGAAUGGCAGCUCUGGUAAAAAAAAUAAAAAAGGGAGAACCAUGCUUACACUCUCGUUCAUUCCAACAAAUAUAUUGUUUAGGAAUUCUAAUUUUAAUAUUUCACCCCAAAUACAUAAUCAAUAAAAUUAUUCUUCAAAUAUGUAUUUUAAUAGCAACCAAAUUGAGAAUUAUAUAGUUAUCCCUUUCUAAAAUCUUUAAUGUAUUUGAUAUCCUCUCCAUAUCACGUCUUUGAUAUCCUACCUUUGACAUUUUUUUAUUUAUAUAUGUCGAAGUGACGAGACUUUCUCUACUCAACCUUUUUCCUUUCAGAUUUCUUUUCACUCUUUUAAUAAUUUCACAUUUAUUAACUUUAAUAAUUUUUUGGACACAUUAAAUAUAAAAUUAUAAUACAUAAUAAAUAACUAAUUAGAAUAAAUUAAAUGUAAAUACAAGUAUGCAAUGGGUAGAAAAUGAAAAUUUUAUCCUAUAAAUAGUACGCUUGAUAGUUUAAAAUAUUAAUUAUAAUAAUACAUUUGAUAAUUUAGGAUUUAGAUUUAAAAAUUAUGUUUUAUGUUUUAGAGGCCAAGAUAUAAGAUUUCCAUUAACCAAAGAUUUUUUUUAUGUGAAUCUUAAAUAAAAUGUUUGUUUAUUUUGCAAAUUCUUAUCAUUUGUAAAUAAGACAAAUAUAUUUUUAUCAUAUUAUUUUUAAUUUUUAAUAUUUUGUGUCAAAAUCAUCAUCAAUGAUGGUAAUCUUUAUUAGGAUAGAACCCUUAAACGUAUGAUAUGAUGUAACAAAUAUAUAGUUUAUUAUUUAUUUAAUAAUAUUCAAGUUUCACUUUUAUCUAUCCUUAUUCCAUGUAUUAUAUCUCAUGAGUAUUCUAGCCAAACAUUUAUUGCAUUAUACAUGACUUGAAUGCAUUAGGUAUAGACCCCCCAUUUUGUUCUCUUAGCACAUGCAUUAUGAGGUGUUCUUUCAAUACUCCACAACAAUUCCCUAGUGUCCCAUUACUACUCAUACUUUUUGAGCCACCUUGGAGACUCUGGUCGAGGGAUUUAUAUGGCUCCUCAUUGUGACCAUUGGUAACCUUGAGUUAGAUUUAGGUUAUUUUUUUCCUUUUUCUCUCAUGUUAGCCCUUUUAGGUGCACUUUCCGUUUUUAGGAUAGCAUAUUAGGCAUUUCCUAGGACACCAUGCCCCACUUAAGCUCUUAGGCACGUUUUACAUUAGUUCACCCAACCCCCUUAGGUUCACUUAGAUAGAUUUUUUAGGCUUAAUGUACUUAGGUUUGUUUUUUGAGUUGUGAUGGCAUGAUUCUGAGUUUAUGUGAGUAUUUAGUUUGAUUUUUUUUUUUUGUUUUUUUAAUUGCUUCAAUAUUUAGUUAUGAGAUUUUGACAUUUCAUUUUGUUUCAUCAUUAAUUACACUAGAUUAACAUUUGAAUUUUGAUUGCAGUAUUUAGCAUCUAUAUUAUUAUUAUGAAUUAUUUAUUUAUUUUUUGUCUAUUUUUUAUAUUUACUUAUCUAUUUAUUUAUUUGUUAAAAAAAUGCAUGAGGUUGCAUUUUAGUUUUUUUUUUUCCAAAAAUUGCAUGAAUUGAUAUUCAAAUUUCCUUAUAGAUGGAUAUGAGUUAUUUUAUUUUAAUUGGGUUUGGGUUGUCAUUUCUCAUUUUUGGGCUUUGUUUGUUUUGCAUGGGCCCAAGAGUUUUCUUAGGGUGGAAGUCUUGAAAGCUAUAUAAAAAGGGCACAGAAGCCCUAGGCAAUAGGGAGGACAAUCAAAGAGAGAAAAGGUGUUGCUACUUUAUUCUUUUUGUGCGUGUGUGUGUGUGGUUUCUUUCUUUCUUGAUUGUAUAUUGUUGGUGAGAGAGAAUUUUUCCUUACUAUGUAUCUACUAUAGGGCAGUUCAUUUGUUUUUUUAUAUUGUAUUCGUAUGUUGGAGUUGCCUUUGGUUCGGAGAGUCUAGAUCGAUUUAGGGUGGCAUUCAAGUAAGUUAUUUCUUCUUCAUCUCUUUAUUUGUAUUAUGUUUUUGUUCUUUUUAGGAUUUCUUAGAUUUAUCUUGUUUUAUAUUUAUUAUAUUUGUAAGCAUUUUGGUAGUUGAAUAUUUUAGCCAUUUCAUUUAUUCAAUUCUUUGCCUAUUUGAGUUAUAUGUUCAUUAUACUCUAUAUUUUGUAUGUAUGCACAUUUGCUAAACUUUUUCUACCCAUCUAUAUGUUUGUCAUGUUUAUUUAUUAUUUUGUUGAUAUGUGUUGACAUGUGUUUCUAUAUGGUCAUGCGAAAUGAAACAAAAUAGGCUUGGUUGCAGCACACAAGGGAAACGUGAAAAGUGAUUUCGCAUGACCAUGCGAAAUUUUCGCACAGUCAUGCGAAACCCUCCAAGAAGAUGAAAAUGAAGCUGAUGGACUUUCCACUUCGCACCAUCAUGCAAAAUUGCUAGGGGCUCGUGCAAAAUGCAUUUUCUCCAUAUGUUGUUUCAAGUUUUCUAUAUUUGUGCAAUUCCUGUCCUAAAUUUUCUAUAAUUUUGUUUAUGUUAGUCUUGUUGCCUCAUUUUUCAUUUUGUCUUAAUUUUUGUAUAAUUCUAUUAAUAUUAGUCUUGUUGCUUCAUAUUUCAUUGUCUUAAAUUUUUUAUAAUUCUAUUUAUGUUAGUAUUUUUGUCUCAUAUUUCAUUUCAUGCCAUAUUUGGGUUUUGAUUUAUUUUUCUGGCUUGAGUUUUCUUUCUUUUUUUCUUUUUUUUUACUAUGCAAUAAAAAUUUCAGAAAAAUCAGUUUUAAUAAAAUUUCUAGAAAAAUAGUUUUUAAUAAAUUCCAAAACGGUUUUCUUUAAUUAAAAAUCUAGAAUUUUGUUUCCCAUAAAAUGCAAAAAAAAAAUUGUUUUAAUAAAAUAAUAUGGAAGAACCAUUUUUACUAAAUUCAGAAUUUUGGUUUAAUAUAAAAUAAUUCAAAAAAUCAUUUUUUUUUAAUAAGUUCAUAAAAUUCAUUUUUUUAAUAAAAUAAUUCAAGAAUUUCAUUUUUUUUAAUAUAUUCGGUAAAUGGUUUUUAAUUUAAUAAUCCAAAUAUUCAUUUUUUAACAAAUCCAGAAAAUUGGUUUUUUAAUAAAAAUCCUCAAAGUUUGUAAAGUCCUAAAAGUUUGUUUGAUGGAAAUUUUGAAAUUUGUGUUUUAAUAAAUGUUCUUUAGAAAAUCAUUUUUUUAAUAAGUUUGAAAAUUCUAAAAUUUGUGUUUUAAUAAAUGUUCCUUAGAAACUCAUUUUUUUAAUAAGUUUGUUAACUGAAAAAUUGUGUUUUAAUAAAUAUUCUUUAGAAAUUUUUUUUUUAUAAAUAAGUUUGUUAAUUGAAAAUUGUGUUUUAAUAAAUGUUCUCUAGAAAAUCACGUUCUAAUAAAAAUUAUGAAAAUUUGUAAUAUCCUAAAAGUUUGUUUAUUGAAAAUUCUGAAAAUUCUAUCUUAAUAAAUGUUCUUUGGAAAGUCGUUCUUUAAUAAAAUUAUACAUUAUGAAAAUUGUGUUUUAAUAAAUGUUCUUUAAGAAAUCGUUUUUUAAUAAAUUUGUAAAUUCUAAAAAUUGUGUUGUAAUAAAUGUCCCUUAGAAAAUCGUUUUUUUUAAUAAGGUUGAAAUUUUUGAAAUUUGUGUUUCAAUAAAUAUUCUUUAGAAAAUAAUUUUUUUAAUAAGUUUGUUUACUAAAAAUUGCGUUCUAAUAAAUAUUCUUUAGAAAACCAUUUUUUUUAGUAAGUUUAUUUACUAAAAAUUAUAUUUUAAUAAAUGUUCCUUUAAAAAAAAUCAUUUUUUUUAAUAAGGCAUAUUUAAUGAAAAUGCUUAAAAUAAGUGUUUAAAUAAAUAUUUUCAAAGUUUUUCUUCAUAAAAGUCGUGAAAGUCAUAAAAGUCAUAAAAGUUCUCAAAUUUGAUUUAAUUAAAAUUUUCAAAAUAAAUGUUUUAAUAAUUGUUCUCAAAGUUGUGUCUUUUAAAUUUACUUAAAGUUUGUCUCAGUAAAAGUUUUAAAAGUUUUAAUAAGUGUCUUAAUAAAUUCUCAAAAUAAGUGUUUUAAUCCUAAAAAUUCUCAAAUUUUGUUUUUAAUAAAUUCCCAAAGUUUGCCUUAUUAAAUUCUAAAAGUUGCUUAAUAAAAACCCUCAAAGUUAGUCUAAAAAUCCACAAAGUUGUUUUCUCGAAGUUAGUGUUUUAAUCAAUGUCUCUCUUUUCAAAUAAAUUUGAUUUAUAAAUAUUUUUUUCACAAAUAAAAGUUGAAAAAUUUUGUUUUCUUAAUGAAUUGAAAUUUGGUUCCUGUCAUUAAAAUAAAUAAACCAUUUUUCCUUGUAAAAAUAUUUUUUUUCCAAAAGUAGAACUGAUGUUUCUUUAUAAUUAUCGAAUCUUCCUUUUUUUUAAAAAAAAAAAUAAAGUCGAAGCCAAUAUCAUUUCUUUGUAAAUAGAAGAUCAAAUUGAGCUUUUCUUUUUAAUAUAUUUGAAUUCAAUCAAAAUUAUUUUAAUAAAAUCAAGAAAAGUCUUCUUUUUUUUUAAUUAAUUUUGGAUGUGAAUAAAAAUCGAGUCUUUUGUAAAUAAAUUGAAACUUUGUGAGUAAAUAAGUUUGAAAUCUUUAAUUUGGAAUUGUUCCCAAUAUAAAUAAAUUUCUUUUGAACUUCCUUUGAAAUGUUGCAACUUGAACAAAUAAUUAAAUUAUAUUUUGUGCUCUUCACAUUCAUUAAUUGUGUACAUUCUUGUGUAAUCUUUUUCUCAUCUCAUGACUUAUAUGUAUCUUGUUGUCCUGUUAUCAGUAUCCUCAAUAAAUUAAUCAAUUCAUACUGACUCGUUUUGAUUUAUGUUUGCAAUUUUUCAAGAUGAUUGACAUAAUGUGUUUCAAAGGAAAAUCAAAUCCUUCUCACCAAGUAUGUCUUAAAAUAAUUUUUUUUUUUUUAUAACUUCAAAUUAGAAAUGUCUUCUUAGCUUUGAUAAUGAUCUUUUGUAUUUUUUUUUUUAAAUUGCAACGAUUUGAAAACAUUAUAGAAUAGAGUUAUUUAUAAACUUAUUUUUAUGUACAAAUAAAUUAUACAAAUAUGUGAAAUUAAUUUAUUAAUUUAUUAAAUUAAAAUUUAUUUCUUAUUUUUCUAAUUUUUUUUCUUCAAAUGAACUCAAAAUUGUAGCUUUUAACAUGUGAAGCUAGAAAUGUUUGGAAGGUAUAUAAUAAUGAUAAAAUAGGCAAUCAUCAUUUUCCACUUGCAAGAAAAUCAUAAAAUAGGCAAUGGUCAUUUCAAGAUUUGUAUCAUUCAUCAAACUAGUAAAUUUGGAAAUGGAACUCCAUUAGAUUGUGAAAAAAAACUACUAUAAACCAAAAAAUAUAACAAAGAAUAAAGAAAUUAGAAUAUAACUUCCACUUUGAAACUAUUGCUUGUAUGAACUAUUAUCCACUUGCCAACUUAACAGAAUUGACAUAGCCAUAAACCUAAUAUAAAAUAAUCAUUUUAGCAAUCUAGAAUAAUCAAGCAUAAUUUCAAAAUGCGUCUCUCAUGCUUACAAUGUUAUAGACCAAACAAACUAAAACAAUGAUUUUUCUCCACUGAUACAAUCUUAAAUAAAUUUAUUUUAGAAACAACAUAACCUAAUUGCCUAAUGAAACAUCAUUGAUCCAUAGACCAGUAGACAUUUUUCCUGAUUUCAUUUUUUGGCGACAUUAUCAUUUGUGUUAGGAGUUUUUCCUUGUACUUCAUGACCUUGUCCUAUACAAAAGAGUAUAUAAUAGAAUAUUAACGAAAAUUCAUGUUAUUUUAUUGAACAUAAAAAAUAAAAAAUAUUGUAUUCAACACAAUAUAAUACAUUUGCAAUUGUAUGAAAAAAUCCAUUGUUAUCCCAUAAUUGCAUAAACUUGAUUACAAAUAUGCCACAAUCUGUUCUACAAGUAGCAAUUAAGGAAAUUAAAAAUAAAUUAUGCAUCAAAUCAAUAAAUUUAGAACCUCAUUUGCUUUCCAUAGGUAAAGAGGAAUAAAAUUCUUGCAACUUAUGAAUUCAAUUGUUGCAAAACUUCUAAAACAACGAAUUUGAAUUUAGUCAUGUCCAUUGAUGGUCUUCUUUCUUGAAUCCCAAUGACAAUUGAUAGAACGCUUACCUUAACACAAUAUAAAAUUAUAAAUAUGGACAUCCUUAAAAAAUAAUGACAACAAGUCACAUAAGUAAUUGGAUAAUAACUAUAUUUACUAGUUUCUCUGUGAAGACAUCCAUUUGCUUUUUCCUUUCGUCAAUCAAUGAAUCCAACAACUCGAUUCUUUUUCUAAUGAAUAUUCAAAAUGUUUAAAUACCAAUGAUUUCUCCUGCAUAUUGGUAUGAACAGCUGAAAAAGAAAAAUAAAUAAUGAUUUUAUCAAGUUAAUUGUGUUCAUGUAUUUCCUGCACUAUACUUAAAAAUAUCCAACUAUAUAUGACUUUCAUUAAAUUAAAUAAAACAUGUUCAUAUGUGUACAACCGAGUGUUUUUAAAAUAUUUUCAUAAAUUGUCACAUGUAUUUUGGAGAAAAUGUACCCCUCUUAUUUUCCACAUCAAAUUGUAAUAAUAAAAAAAAUACAAAACAUACAUUAGAUUAAAACAAUCUACUUAAAACAAGAAAACCAAUCUAUAAUUCUUACAACAUAUCUUACCUCAAAAUGGGGAGAUAAGAAAUGCUCCCUAUUUCCUUUAUCCUUACCAUUCAAAAUUCGACAAAACAUGGUUACAACCUUCAUGUAAAUGAAUGAAAAUUAGAAAUAUAGUUUUAGAGUAAUUUUAUCUUAACUUCAUAUAACUAAAUAUGAAUACCUUAUUGUUAACUAAUUUGUCGGGUCCCAAGCAUUUUAAGUCGAAUCUUAUCAAGAAGAAAUCGUACAUGGAACACAAUAUUUGGCUACAUAGAAAUAAUUAUGAUGUUAUGAAUUAAAACUAAAUCUUUUAAAUGGUUGUCUUAAUUGUACUUGUUUAUACUGAAUCAAGUUCAACCUGACCUUUCAUCACGUGUAUCGUCCAAUGCAUAUGCUAAAACUUACUUUGCUACAAUGAAGACGUUGAAAAUUUGAUUGAUUGUUGUACCACAUAUGGUGAUUGUAGGGCAGUAGCACAUCGACGUAGCCGACAUAAACAUAAUGGAGGAUGUUCAGUCUAGUAAGGAAUAAUAACAUUCGACUUAACUUCAUCCUCAACUAUAUGUAUAGAAAAUAAGAAAAAAAAUUCAUUAACGAAAAUAACACACAGAGGAAAGACUAGCCAUUAUUAUGAACUCAUUAAUAUUUUGAUAUUAAAAAUUACUAUAAAAAAAUAAAGAUGCAGAAAGUAUAAUGCUAUGUUGCGCUACUGGCUGUGAGGUCGAUGGCCCUGCAUUAUCUUCACCAUGAGCGGAACGAUCAUUCAAUGGUGAUCCAUAUGCUAAUUUAAAAAUGGAUAACAACCAAAUUUUAAAAAAAAAUUAUAGAACAUUUGCAAUUCAAUUAAAAGUAAAAAAAAAAUUUAACAGCUAAUGCUAUAAAAACCUUAUUACCAUGUGGUGGUGAUGGGAAAGAUUCAUUGAUGUCAGGUUGGUUAUGACUUCCGCUUUGAUGAGAAGGUGAUGGGGUUUUGUUUUUAUUAUGCCGCUUUGCUAGUUUAUCAAUUGCUUCUUUCAUUGUUCGAAGCAAUUGGUGAAUUUGUUCCUCCACUACAUUAUACUCUGCUAUAAUUUCCUACAAAAUGGUACAAAGUGUAAAAGAUGUAUAUUAUUAUGCAUAACAUGUUUGGUUUACUCUUUAAAUAAAGGAAUAGAUGUAAAAGGUUCUCACAUCACUAGUCUCUUCUUCAACUUCAUCUACUGGAUUAGUAGGGUCUUCAUGUGCAUCUUCCCCCCUUUCAUCUUCCUGAACCUACAAUAAUAAAAAGAAUAUAUAAUUUUUUUAAAAUUAUUUUUCAAAUAUUAAAAUAAAAAGAAAAUGUAGAAAUAAAAUUUUGUUCCUUACAUCGACUAGUCCAAGGUCAUCAUAAUCCUGCAACUCUACAUGCACCAUUUUCUUCAUCAGGUCAUCACUCUACAAUGCACAUAUGGGGAUGGUGUGUGGCACCAACAUAAUUGGAAUGUAGAAUUUAUUUACAUAAAAAAGCUCAUACACAAAUAUUCCACACAUCAAUACGUUAUUUAGAGAACACUGUUUAAACAUAGAAAAUGAUAUGGAAACCUUGAGCAUUUAAUAAAAAAAGAUAUUUACCUACAAAAAAAAAAAGGUAACCUGUAAACCAUGAGCCUUUACCCAAUCGAAAAUGCCUAAUUCGAGCAACCAAUGUGUCAAGUACAAAUUGGUCCCAAUUAACAUUGAUGUCAAAGUUUCUAGCAAGCAAAGUACACCGCAACUCAUGACUACCAUCCAACUUCAAUGUUGGAGCAAGUAAUGUAGCACAUGAGAAGAAGAUAAACAAUUUUUUAAAGUCACCCAUGUCUUCCAUUGAGAUCAGCCUAUCUCUAAGGAUAGAUAGGUUUUCCAUCCUAUUAUUCCUAUUGGUAGGUGUAGACACUCCAUUUUGUAUAUCUAGUACUUGUCCUAUUAUGUGUUCGUUUGGUACUUUACAACAAUUCCCUGGUAACCCAUUAUUACUCAUGUAACUUAUCUUUUAUGAGCCACCUUGGAGACUCUGAUUGAGAGAUUUAUCUAACCUCAUUACAACCCUUAGCAACCCUAAUUUAGACUUAGGUAGUCAAUACAUGUCUAGCAUAAUACCCUAAGCUCCCAUUUUUACAACUUGGAGGGCUAAAUUGGGUAAAAUAUAAGAAUGUCAAAUAACAUGUAUAUGUGAAAUAUGGACAAAAAAAAAGGAAUAGAUAAAGGUAAUGAUUAAUUAUAUUUAUUAAGAAUAGUGAUUAACUUAAAAAAAAAAAUAGUUAACUUUUGUGAAAAUAUCCCUUAGAAAAGAUCAUGACUUUUAUGACUUCAUUAAGGUAAAUCAAUCAAGCUUCAAGAGCAAUUAUCGAUAAUAUAUUUGGAAAUAUGUAGUAUUAGCAUCCUUUUACAUCUCAUAGAUUGACAUUAUAGAAGAGAAAUGCAAUUAGUAAUUAUAAGGAAUAAAUGUUUUACAUAUGAACAAUUUGAUUAAAGAUGGAUAAAAGAGUAAAGAGUUUAGAUUAGAGAGAGAGAGAGAGAGAGAGAGAGAGAGAGAGAGAGAGGUUGUGCCUUACAAGAAAUGUCUAAACUAAAUAUAGGAUGUAUAUAAGACAUACUAAGGCCAAAAGAAAGAUAUAAAGAACAACUCACACCUAAGUAACAUGAUCAAAGCUAUUUAAAUGAAUCCUCAUUGCUUCCUUACCUAUACAUACAUCUAAAUUGUUGUAAAGGAUUGUAAAUAUUAUGAGUUUGUUCUUUUUUAGUACUACUUCAUUACUAGUGGAAUAAUGGACAAAUGAGUACAUUGUAUUCAUAGCAAUUUAGAUUAUAUUUUCAUAAGGUGGUGAAACAAACAUAUAUGGUAUCCUUCUCAACUCAACUUAGGAAUAGGAAAUAAUAACAAAAACAAUUAUAAGCUAACAAAAUUCAUAUAUAUAGGUAUAUAUUCAUGUGAGAGGAAGCCAUAUAGAAUCUUUACAUUUCAAAAAUCAAGUAAACUUUAAUUCAAGAAAGCAACUUAAAUGUAGGUAAGUCUUCAAAAAGUUUAGAAGAAGAAAAAAAUGUAACCUCAAUAACUAUCCACUUGAGCUAUUUUUUAGAUCAUUUCUUCUUUUGAGAUACAAAAAUUCGAAACCCCCUGCAAAAAAGAAGAUUACAUUAGUGUUUAUUUUGAAACAUGAAAACUAAAAUUAUGGUAGACUUACAUGUUCACAAUAUCUUUUAUAUCUUGGUAUGGUUGUUGUAAUAGCAAGUCUAAAUAGUAAACUGUUUGUAAUUUGAGGUCAAUUACAGCCAAAACCCAAUGAAACCUACAAUAUAUUAACAUAUAAUUUAGAUAAAUAGCAUUUAUAAGGCUAAGAAAUUAAAAACAAUUAUAAUUAACAACUUACCUUGGGUUAUACGGAAGAAAAAUCAGAUCUGCCAAUUUGGAGUCAAUUAGGCGAUCAACAAUGAUCUUUGCUCUUUUUUCAAUUUUUGGGGCUAUUGUUCUAGCCUUAGACACCAGUCCUGGAUGAACAGAUAUAAUUUUCUCAUGUAGUGUAUCAUCUAGAUGUUCAUGCAACCACCUAAUGAAAUAUCACCCAGUUUAGAAUUACUUAAAAAAUAAAAAAAAUAAACGGUUUCUACUUAUUUAUAUCAUGAAUAUAACAUAAAGAUUUACAACAAAAUCUCACCAAAUAUAGAAACAUAUACAAUUCAUAGUCAACUCUUUUGCAAAAAUUACAUCAUUCAUUUCAGUUGUCAAGAGGAAGAUUUGAAAUUUCAUCCCAAAAACAUUGAUUGGAAAGUCAACUUUGGGUGCCAGUUUACCCUCCAACAUUGUUGAAACUGUUUUAAAAAAUAAUUGUAUAUCUCUUGGAUUCUCAUAUUUGAUUUUCUUUGGGGAUGCUUGUAUCUUAUUCAUUUUAUUCUUCCUCUUGCCAAAAUCCUAAACACAUAAAUAGAUGCAUGACAUUAAAAUGAAAAAUAAAUAAACCAAGAGUGUAGGAAAAUAUAACUCAACUUUGAAAGUUUGGGUAUAACGUUAUUCCCCUCAACAUUUUCAUCAUUUAUCACAAAUGCAACAGGCCACAAAACCUCAUAUCCAACACCCUCCCUUAUUGUACUAAUGUUUUCAGAAAGUGGGAAUGAAAGAAGUGCAUUAGGUUGAAGAGGGUAAAGAAUGACCACUAAUAUAUCAGUUCUAUCAAUGGAAAUGUUUGAAUCUCACAAAUAAGUUCCAUAUGCAACAAUGUUUUCUUCAGUUUCAAGAGCUAAUUUGCAUUUAUAAACCUGUAAAAACAUAUUUUCUAAUCCUUCGUCUUUCAUUAUAGUUAUUUUAUAUAUUGUUUUUAUAAAUUUAACUUAGGAAAAGCCAUAUAUACCUGAGUUAGUGGAGAAGCUUUUUGAGUCCUUUCUGCUGAUAGGUUCUCCACAUGAGCACUAUAAUGAGUCUUCUCUCGUAUUUCUUCAUGUUCCAACAAUUGUUUCCUUAUGUUUGUGCUGCUCACUUCAGAGUGGGGUGUGAGGGGUUCUUUUUUUUUUCAGCUUUCAAAGAAAUGAUCUCUUCUUCCAAGCUUUUUACUUUCUCCCUUAGCAUCCUUUGACAUUCCUCUUCUUCAAGAGUUUUUAUGGGUUUUAGUGUGUUGAAUAAUUGUUUGGGAUUUUUUUUCCCACCUUUUCCUCUAACCCGUCCAGGAUGCUCGGAUGUACCCAAUGCUAAAGUGAGGAUAUCCUUUUGGCCAACACAUGUGAUCUUCCCUUCCUCAACAGCCUUUGCCAACUCAUCCUCCAAAAAUAUAUAAGAUGCUUCAAGAGUCAUAUUUAAUAAAAUAAAAAAACAAAUGAAAUUGACUAAAACUAAGUAUAGGUUUGACAACUUACAAUCUUUUCCGCUACAGGCCUCGUAACAUCAUCAUAUUCACCUUUUUUCAAUCUUUCUAGCUUCCACAAGACCCAUCUAUCAAUAGGUUUCCUUGAACCUGUCUUUUGCAUCUAUCAAAAAACAAAAAAGUGAAGCAAUUAAACUUUACAAAAGUAAAUGUCCAACAAAAUAAAAUACACUAAUUCAACUUACCAAUUCUUCUUGAAGUCUUGCAUAUCAUUUCCUACUCACUCAAUGAAUAUAAACGUAUUUUGCCCUCCUUUCUUUUCCUUUUUUUGGUUUAACUUGAAACUCUAUUGACAACCUAUUAGCCACUAACUUUCUCCAGUCUUCAAUUGGAAUGUAAUUAUAUUCAAUUGGUGGCUACAAAAGGUACUCGGGCUUAUCCUUAUAAGGCAGGUGUGGACCCCGCAUUUCGAUGGCUCGAAUGCGUUCCCCACUCGAUGGCGAGCUCGAUUUUUAUUUUGAAAAAUUGAUUUUUAUUGAUUAUUUGAAAAUGACUUGGAGUCGCCACUUAUUUUUGUUUUAUUUUUAAAGGGUAAACAAAAUAAGAAAGAAAAACCCUAAGUGUGACUCCUUAUUUUGGAAAAGGUGAUCUACGAAAAACCGGAUCGGGUUCGGGGGUCAGGUUACUUAUCGGGAAGGUACGGUAAAGACCGUAGCACCCCUCUAAGUCCCUAAAGUCGGGUCUCUACUACUAAAAUGAAGCUGACAUGGCAAUCAAUGAGAAAAUCAAUGAAUACUCAAAUCAAUCAUGCACAUAUAAGUAUCAAAACAUGCGUAUAGCAAGACCAGAAUAAGGACAGAUGCGUACCUGGGCAACGAUCUUCAAUGCGCUAUCAAGAAGUGAGAUUAGUGCACAAUUAAAGGAUGGUCACAUGCAUAUCAUAGAGCAGAAUAAAUCAUGUAUGGCACCCAAAUCAACCAAACAAUCCAUCAAUCAUAAAAUCUCAUAUGUUGGGCCCCCACCAAAGCCCGAUUGAUUUUUGCAUGAAUUAAUUCCAUAAAUUCCCUUGCUUGGAAUUACGGAAUUUUAUUCUAGCUUAUUUUAAAACAUUUUGAAAAUCUGAGGAGUUGUGAAAAUUGCUUGUCAGGGAGAAAAGUGACAGCAAAUUUUUAUUAUAAAGUGGAAACUUUUGGGAACCUAAAGAUUCCAAUGAGGAAACAUGAGAGAAUUGGAAUUAUUUGAAAAACCAGAUUUUUGAGAAAAUGCUUGCAAAAUGGGAUUAGGAACAGUUAUUAAAACAGAGAAUGAGGAAGUAAAAGGUGGUGGCACAUGGUCAAAGGCUGCAUGUCCUAGGUGGUCAUGCAAAGAAGCGGUCUCCUGUAGCUUUUGUAGGGUCCAUUCUCUCCCCACUUCUCAUCCCAUGAGUUCUUUACGAUCCAGUAAGGCCUGCCCUUCAUCCGGAUGGGAUCAUGGCCUGUUGAACCAUGCCCCACCAGUAACACUCCAUGAGCCAUCAUCUCAGAGCAUAUGUAUGGGCGUGACACUUCCCCAAUAUGUGUCUGCAUGAACACUGUAUUGAUGCCCACUACCAUUUGACCAUUUUUCACAAGAUUAGCAGCCAUCUGAUCUUCAUCAAGGAAUGAACCAAAAGCUUUGGCUGCAUCGGGCUUCUGGAGAAGAACUGUUUUGAUUGCAUUCAAUAUCUCAUCCACGGAUCUUCCUGUGCUAAUGUAUUCUGAAAUAACCUCCCAUCUUCAAGACAUUCCUCUGGGAUAUUUCAGCAUCCCUUUUAUCAAGAGCCCAACUUCUUCUCUAUCCCAAGGUUUCUCCUUAUAGUGUGAUCAAAAGAAUGAAGUUGGGGUCACUGAAUUCACCUUCCACUGAAGAGUAGAAAGCAUCAGAAGCCCUAUCCUCUGAAACGUCUUCACUUCAAGCACAUAUUUUAUCUCCUCCACCUGCAGGUCCAAGAGAAGAGGAGCAUCGGUUUUACUGGAGCUUGACUUUCUCUUCUCAGGGGCAUUUUCCUCAUGGGGACUCUCUAUCUGAUCUGUUGAUGCAGCUGCACUUUCUCCCUCAUUCUCAUGGCCAUCUAAUCUGCUUCCGCGGAUGCUGCAUCUGACACCACGGCCUCUUGAACGCGAGUGGAAUCCAGCUGGCAAUGGACCCAAUGGAGGCCUCUCAAUGGGUUUACUUUAAGAGCUUCUUGAGGGCCCAAAGGAUAUUGCAGGACCCGGACUUAGGACGCCAUCUUAUCCGUGUCAUGCUGAGGAAUUCGUUCUUUGUGGUAUCAGAUUGGCUACAGGAGGCCUUAUAGAAGUGAAGCUAGGGAUAUCUUCAGAAAUGGAACUUGGACCCUUCCCUUUGACAGGUUCAUCUCCAUGAGAACCAAAUUUUAUAAGCUCGGUAACUCCAGGUUGUUGAAUGAACUUCCCAGUCUCCUUGUCAUGCAACAAAGCACUUUUUGCUUCAGUUUCAGUCUCCACAGGUGCCGGGGCCGCUUCAAAUCCCACAACCUCCAUGAAUUCACCAUGCUCCUCCAAGAAAUAACCAACAACACUAGGUAGCAUUUCCAAUUCACUUCACGACCUUGGAAUGAGCAGUUGCUUUAUCAGUUUCAUGGCAGAGGGUGAGCACUGGAGCUUUCCUCUUGACAACACUUUACCUGGAAAGCGGAGAGUGGAUACCGGUAAUCCAUGAUAAAUAGAAACUUCCCCACUUUUCCGGACUGGAGGUGAUCUCCUCAUGUUGCUGGCCUAUAGAUCCAUCUUCUGGAGAAAACACCAGUUGAAAAUUAUCCACUGAAGCAACUGUCACUUGUCCACGGAAGUCCGAGCACCAGCAUACCCAGAUUGGUGGUUUUGGAAUAUAGGUUUGAAGAGUUUGAUGGGUGUGCAAGGUGUAGACAUGGGGCAUGAUAGCAAAGUGGUGAGAUGAGGUGAUAAUGAGUGUAAAUAGGCUUAGAGAGAAAGGUGAAUAAAUAUGGUGGGGGAGUAGACUGUUGACAAUGGGUAUGUAUGAGUCCUAUGCCUGUGGGUAUGGUGAGAGAUGAACUGCAAGUGAUGGGCAUGAUGUGGUGUGGGGUGGAUUAGUGGGAUGACAGUAUACAAAGAGAGCGUGGUGUAGAGAGAGAAUGCAAGAUGAUGAGUGCAUGUGUAGAUAUGGGUGUGGGCAUGGUGGUAUGAAGCGUGUGGUGGAUGAUGGACUGAAGGUGAUGGGCAUGACAAUGGGCAUGAACAGGGAUGGAGUCAUGUGGGCACGAGACGAGCAUGAGCGCGGAAUGAGUGUGAUGCAACCAUGCAUGGUAUGAAAAGGGUUUGGUGUAGUGAGAGAAAGUAGAUUAUUGGUGAUGGGUAUGAAUAAUGGCCGGGUUUGCAUGGUCCAUGCACUUGGAUGGGUGAGUUUGGGGAUGCUAGCAGAAGCCUUGGAAGGAAUACGGGCAGCCAUGCACGCGUGGGGUUUCAUGGAUAUCGAGUCAGGGUAUUUUGCUGGAGGAAGAGAGCAUGGGUCUGCACAAUAUGGGGAUUGGGAUCUCCUACGGACUCCCUAGCUAAUGGAGUUGUGAAAGGGAGACCAUCUGCUUUUCCGAUACCAGAUUAUGGGAAGUUCAGUGAUGGCUUCUCAAAAAUGGACCUUGAUGUUAACAAACCACCCUUGGGCAAUUUAGCAAUCCCUUCAUUCUCAGAAGACUCCGUCUCCAACAGACCAUAAUGAUACUGAACUAAUCCAUGUGAAACGGACAAGAAAGGCUCUGCUCGUGAAUGUUCCCUGGCAUAACCUCCUCUAGAAUGUCAUCAGACGAAACAAAACUAGAGAACCAGGUAUCUAGAACAAGUAAGUCUUCUCACUGGGCCAAACCCUCAACAAGCCUGUUGCAUUUCUCUGAUUUCUCCCACUGUUCUGCCAAAGUCUUUAUUUAUAAUAUAAUGGUUUAGAAAUAUCCUCCAUUAAUCACUCUGCCUUUGACCAACCCUGGUUAAGGAUCCAUACAUCAAAUCUGAUUACCACUUCUGGCCCACAACCGCUCGAGUUGAUAAUGAUUUUCCUCCAUAUCUACUCCUGUUCAUCUUCAUAAAAUUCCUUGGAAUCAUCAGUAUACUCACUGCAAUCUGUGGUAAAGACCACCACAUCCUCAUCGACAUCUUACUUUUUUCCUCUACGAAUGGCGCCUCACACUACUCACUAUUCUUUGGAUCUGAACCACUUUUUUUUUUUUUUUUUUUUUUUCAAAUAUUGGAUGUCAAGCCUCAACAGCAUAUAGUAGUCAAUUUGUACCAUCCCCAAUGUAUGGUAUGCAUGAUGCCCCGUGCUCAAAUUGCUCAAAAAGAACAGAGGAAUAUAGCUAAGAAAACAGGGCAUAGGAGAAAGGAACAAAAAAUAAAUCAAGGGCAACUGCAUUUCAGGACAUAUCAAUGUGUUCCCACUGGUGGAUGAAAGAUAUGAACAAAUUCAAAACAAAAAAUACGCCACAUAUGUUCAGGUGCCUAGCAACGAAAUAUGAUGCAAGUCCUCACCCAUUUUCUUAAACCAGGUUAAUGAAACAGCGAAAGGAUUAACAUCACAGAUGGAAACAUGACAAAUACAAACAACAUAUACACCCAGUGAAAUGAUAUUCAGAAUAAUGAAAUCAUACGGCUAAAUAUAAGCAUACCUGAAUGUGAUAGAUGUCCUACCCAGCUUUUCUUACUUUCUCUCUGUUUUCCUUGCCUUUCUAGCUCCGACAAUCGAAUCACCUUCUCUCUUACUCUUCUUUUCUCCCGCUUGAAAAACCUCCCUCUGGAAAUAUAUCUCUCCCCCAGCCAGACGACACCCACCUGCCUUGCAGUUGCAAGCCUCCAUUACCUUCAGAUUUUUCUGCCACCUUCCUCUUCUAGGCCCAUUUCCCCACUACUCUGCACCACUACCUUGCUAAUAACAGAAGACGCUCCUCAAUACAACGGCCUGCAGAUCCUCAUGCCACCUGUCAACCUUCCAUUGGCACUUCAAAAACAACAUACGAUUCUGCAUUGCCCUCUCAAAAGGAGACACGUGAUUGAGCAAGGCUCUUCCACGUGGCCAAAACGGGUAGCUGCAUGAAAGGCCCCAAAUGGGGGUCUACAAAUAUGCCCCUCUUUGGUAGAGUUCAUGAGUGUAAAGAACAUGAACACUGGAGUGAAAAGUAAGUGUGAGUAGUGAGUGAAAUGAAGUGAACUCUACCGAAGAAUCAAAGAGACCCCCAUAGGGAUAUUGGUGAAACGCGAAGUCACCCAGGCUAGUAGACGAACACAAAGGCUCUAAUCCUAAAAGAGAAAGAUGUCACAAAAUGCCUCUGCGGCCAUACUAAGGAUCCAAGCUCCCUCUAAGAUGUCUCCCGAAAGUGACUCGAAAAACCAAAUGCUAGAGGUGAGUAACGGUCGAGUCACCCUAGGGUACGGACAAGAAUGCGUCUAAAGGAGACUGCCCUAUGUGGACUACAUGAUGAAUACACGAUAAGCACAAAGUAACGAAGUGAGGAGGACGAUAAUAAGUGCAAAUCCAAUGAAGGUGAGACACGCAAUGCCACUGAAUAGGAAUGCUAGGAGCUGUGACUCUACAUGACAAGAUUGACUCUAAACACUAAACUAGGAAACAACGGCUCUGGAAGCCAACCAAAAACUAACUCUAAAAACUAAACUGAGAAUAACAGCUCUGGAAGCAAACCAAAAACUAACUCUAAAAACUAAACUAGAAAACAACAGCUCUGGAAGCCAACCAAAAACUAACUCUAAAUGCUAAACUGAGAAUAACAGCUCUGGAAGCAAACCAAAAACUAACUCUAAAAACUAAGCUAGAAAAUAACAGCUUUGUAAGCAAACCAAAAAAACUAACUCUAAAAGCUAAACUAGGAAACAACAGCUCUGGAAGCCAACAAAAACAAAAAAAAAACAAAAAAAAAAAAAAAAAAAAAAAAACUAACUCUAAAAGCUAAACUAGGAAACAACAGCUCUGGAAGCCACACAAAAAAAAAAACUAACUCUAAAAGCUAAACUAGAAAAUAACAGCUCUGGGAGCCUAAACAAGACGACAGUAAUGGCUCUGGAAGCCUAAACAAGAUGACAGUAAUGACUCUGGAAGCCUAAACGAGAUGACGGUAAUGACUCUGGAAGCCUAAACAAGAUGACAGUAAUGACUCUGGAAGCCUAAACGAGAUGACGGUAAUGACUCUGGAAGCCUAAACAAGAUGACAGUAAUGGCUCUGGAAGCCUAAACAAGAUGACAGUAAUGGCUCUGGAAGCCUAAACGAGAUGACGGUAAUGACUCUGGAAGCCUAAACAAGAUGACAGUAACGGCUCUAGAAGCCUAAGCAAGAUGAUAAUAACGACUUUGGAAGCCUAAACAAGAUGACGGUAAUGACUCUGGACGUCGAAACUAAAAAGUGAUGAUGAUGACUCUGAACGUCAAACUGAGAAGUGAUAAUGAUUCUGAACGCCGAAACCGAGGAUGUGACUCUGAAUGUUGAUCUGAAAAUCGAUGAUAGCUCUGAACGCCGAAACUGAGAAGUGAUGAUGAUGACUCUGAACGUCAAACUGAGAAGUGAUAAUGAUUCUGAACGCCGAAACCGAGAACGCGACUCUGAACGUCGAUCUGAAAACCAAUGACGGCUCUGAACGCCGAAACUGAGAGAAGUAGUGAUGAUGGCUCUGAACACCGAAGCUGAGAAGUGAUAACGACUCUGAACGCCGAAACCGAGAACGCGACUCUGAACGUCGAUCUGAAAACCGAUGACGGCUCUGAACGCCGAAACUGAGAGAAGUAGUGAUGAUGGCUCUGAACACCGAAGCUGAGAAGUGAUGAUGAUGACUCUGAACGUCAAACUGAGAAGUGAUAACGACUCUGAACGCCGAAAUCGAGGAUGUGACUCUGAAUGUCGAUCUGAAAACCAAUGAUAGCUCUGAACGCCGAAACUGAGAAGUGAUGAUGAUGACUCUGAACGUCAAACUGAGAAGUGAUAACGACUCUAAACGCCGAAACCGAGGAUGUGACUCUGAAUGUCGAUCUGAAAACUGAUGAUAGCUCUGAACGCCGAAACUGAGAAAUGAUGAUGAUGACUCUGAACGUCAAACUGAGAAGUGAUAACGACUCUGAACGCCGAAACCGAGGAUAUGACUCUGAAUGUCGAUCUGAAAAUCGAUGAUGGCUCUGAACGCCGAAAACGAGGAUGUGACUCUGAAUGUCGAUCUAAAACCCGAUGAUGGCUCUGAACGCUGAAACUAAGAAGCGGUGAUGGCUCUGAACGCCGAAACUAAAAGGUGAUGGUGUCUCUGAACGACGACAAAUGGAAAAGUGGCUCUGAACGCCGAACUGAAAAAUGUGACAUGAUGACUCUAAAUGUCGUAAACCGUGAAUGAACGGCAGCUCUGAACGCUAGACUGCAAGGAAACAAUGAGGGGGAAAUAUGCCCCAGUGUGGCAUGCCGCUGCAAACCUCAAACUACUAGAAAUGGCUAAAAGGGACUCUACGAGUCUCGAACGACGCACCACUGAGAGCUCAUGUCAACGAAGAGCUUAGGAACAAUGGUCAGUGAGGCGAAUACAAUAUAUCUCGGCUGAGUGAUGGAAACUGCGAUGGACAUGUGAGAGAACGAUCGGCUCCAUGGCUAAAUGAGGGAAAUAUGCCCCAGUAUGGCAUCAGAUGUAUCCGAUCUAUCCUGAUAACCCGAGAAUAGCACCGAUGGGACGCGUAACAGAUCUGAUAUGUACCCCACUGAAAUGAUGACGCGGGAAAUCCAGGCACCUAAGAUAACCCCAUCCAGGAAUCACGACUAUAUCAAAGAGUAUGAAUCUGGCUGAACGAAGUCAAGAGAGGCUCCUCGGAGUAUCCGGACAAAAUGAAAUCAAUCAUCAACCUGGCGUGUAUCUCAUGGCCGUGGAUGAUCAUGUAAACCAGUGGGGAUCUAUAAAUCUCGAUCAAGAUGGGGAAUAUGCCCCAGUGUGGCAUCGAAAAUGUAACAUGUCAAAAAAAAUCAGAUGAACUCAAAUCAUCUAUGCCUGCAACUGGCUAGAUGGCUCUCGAUAGACUCCACUAAGGAAUCAUCGUGAGGAUUGCGAAUAUAUCAUCAUCCCUGCAUACAUCUCGCAAAUAAGGAUAAGCACGCAACUCCCUCAUGAUCUGUAAAUCUCAUCCGAACGGAAAUAUGCCCCUGUAUGGCAUCGAAAUGCAGGAUAGGUCGGAGAUCAGAUAGCAUGGAAUCAUCUAUCCUAUAACAUGUGACCUCUGCGAAGAUCCAUAAAAAUCCUCCGAAACGGAAUAUGCCCCAGUAUGGCAUCUGACGUGCGACAAAUCAGGAAAAAACAGGUGACAUCGAAUCAUCCCUCAUCAAACACGUGAUCCUGGUAAUCCAAACACGGUCGAAACGGAUCUAAACAUCUGAGAAGUGUCUCCCAGAAGAAGAUGCAUGGCAAAUAUCUGGAUGUCGACUGAAUCUCAAACACCUGUCCACAUAGAAGCCGUAGAAGACGAUAUCUGAUCCCAUGGCCUCAGGGUGGUCUUAAGACACGGGACGUAAUGUAGGCUAGGGUGAUAGGGUGAUAGAAACGAAGGGAAACUAAGCUCAAAUACCCAAUGAUCAAAACCCAUGCCCUCGUGUGUGAAAUGCAACAUGUACAGAAAAUCCUGUGAGCCCUGGACCUGAGGGUGUCUAAUGUGAAUAUGAUGUCAAUGAGGAAACAAGUGAAGCAAAUCAAACUGAUAAUGAGAUAUGUAAUGGUGAUACGAAGGGAAUAUCAAACCCGAGAUGGGUCGUGGUAAGAAAAGAAUAAGAAGUGAAGUGAGAAUGACGAAUCAGAAGCGAAAACGAGGACGAUGAUAAUGAAGCGAAUAACAUCAAAAGGAGUGAUGAUCAACUCUGAUCAGACAUGGAAUGAUGUCACAUCAACUACGAACAUAAUGAUGGAACGGACAAUAACCCAGAGCUCCCAAAAGAAAGUCACUCAUCUCGCUCACAAAAUAUGCAACAAAAUGAAUACAAAGCCUGAGGGAUCCCGGGAAGCUCACAUACGAACUCCCGUCAACAAACAUACUCGAUCAAGUGGCCCUCGAAUAUCAAUACAUACACUCAGUGAUGGAUAACAAUACAUACCUGGUUUUUAUUUCUUUUUCCAUUUUUUUUUUUCUUUUUUUUUUUUUUUUUUUUUUUUUUUUACCCCCAAAGAUGACAUCAAAAAAGGAUAACAUACUCUCAAAUGUCAAUGUAACAUGAACUCUCUCUGAUGAUGUGACUUUCUCAAACUAAGGAUCCCUGGACCAACGUCCGUAUGAUAGAUAGUGGAAAUGACAUGACUACCCUCCAUGUAGUGAACUGAGGAAGAUCACCCCUCGGGGUGAAAGAAGAUGACGUGAAACGAACAGUAGAUAAGAUAAAGAAAAUAUGAUGAAUAACACGAACAGUGAGAUGAGAUGAAAUGCAAUGAUGUAGUGGCGAGCACAGAUAAUGAGAAGAACGUGCCCCUAGGUCCAAGGCUCAAUGAAACUCUCAAACAAUGCAUGCAUACACUAAAGGGCCCCAAUCCCGGUGUGAAAAUGUGAGCAAGGCUAUAAGAAAUGAAGGUUAUGAUGCGCGUGCGAGGCUCAAAUGGGCUAGCAAUGGACUAUAUAUAUCAGAAACGGGAUAAAGGGAUAUAGCUAACCGAAAUGAUAGCCACCCAUCCUGCGACCAUGGUCUCAAACAUAGUACCUCUUUAGCUGAUCCACAUUAGUCGGCUCUGAGAACUGGUUUCCAUCCAAAUCCAUCAACCAUGCGGCGCCCUCUGGGGACAACUCUCUGAUGAAGUAAGGCCCGCUCCAACUGGGUCUGAACUUCCCUCUAGGAUCUCUGAUCAAUCCUCUGAUGACUCUCAAAACUAAGUCACCUACAUGCAGUGGUCUGGGCUUGACCCGCUUUUUGAAAGCGCGGGCCAUCUUCCUCUGAUAUGCACGAACAUGGUCUGCUGCUCUCAAUCUCCUCUCAUCUAGGAGAUUGAGCUGAUCAAAUCGAGCCUGAGCCCAAUCCGUCUCGGGAAUCUGCUGCUCCAAGGCUACCCUCAAUGAACCCAUCUCGAUCUCAACUGGUAGCACUGCCUCCAUACCGUACACCAAUGAGUAGGGUGUGGCUCCUGUAGAGGUGCGAAAAGAAGUCCUGUAAGCCCAUAGUGCGAAAGGAAGCUUCUCGGACCAAUCCCGAGAAGUCUCAACCAUCUUCCGCAAUAUCCUCUUAAUAUUCUUAUUCGCGGCCUCUACUGCCCCAUUCGUCUGCGGCCUGUACGCAGACGAUCUAUGAUGCCGGAUGCUGUAUCUCUGUACUAAGGUGUCAACCUCUGCUCUGAAAUGCACCCCUCUGUCUGAAAUAAGCUCGUGAGGGACUCCAUAGCGACAAAUGAUGUGCGAUCUAAUGAAACUGGCAACUCCAGAUGAUGUCAAUCUCGCAUACGAGGCGGCCUCCACCCACUUGGUAAAGUAAUCAAUAGCUACCAGGAUGAACUCAUGACCACUGGAAGAUUUCGGCGAAAUCUUCCCGAUGAUAUCGAUACCCCAUACUGAAAACAGCCAUGGUGAAGUCAAUGCAUGCAACUCUGAGGGCGGCACGUGAAUGAGAUCUCCGUGUAUCUGACACUCAGGACAUCUCUGGACGAACUGACAACAAUCCGUCUCCAUAGUCAACCAGAAAUAGCCGGUCCUCAUGAUCUUACGGGCCAACAUAUGCCCUCCCAUAUGUGGUCCACAAACUCCCGCAUGAACCUCUCUCAUCACUCGAUCGGCAGAGGCACGGUCUAAACACAACAAUAGCAUCCCGUCAGCUGAUCGUCUAUACAGCGUCUCGCCGCAAAUGACGAAUCGGGCAGCCAACUGUCUCAAUGCUCUCUUAUCCUUGGCCGUGGCGACCUCAGGAUAUACGCCGAGUCUCAAAAAGUGAUAUAUGUCGUGAUACCAUGGCAAACCAUCAUUUGGCUCUACAUCAUCAAUCAAACAACAAUACGCAGGAGCAGAUCUCGACUCGAUCAACAAUGGUCGAACAGUGGCAUCGGCGGGAAUGUCGAUCAUGGAAGCUAGAGUAGCUAAAGCAUCAGCAAACUGGUUCUGCGCUCUAGGCAGAUGUGUAUAUCUCAUAUCCUCAAAUCUCGCGACCAGUAGCUCCAAAUACGCGUGGUAAGGCCUAAGCUUCACAUCUCUAGUCUUCCACUCGCCCUGUAUCUGUCUCAAUACCAGAUUGGAGUCACCAAACACCUCCAUCUGUCUAAUCCCAAGCUCGAGGGCUGUCUCUAACCCCAAGAUACAUGCCUCAUACUCAACAAUGUUGUUCGUGGCCAGAUGUUGAUUCGAGAAUGCCAAACGAACAGAUCUGGGAAUGUGAUCACCAUGAGGGGAUAUCAACAAAACGCCUAUCCCGUAUCCAGAAUGGUUGGCUGCACCAUCAAAGUACAUGCGCCAACCCGACAGACUAGUCACAGCUGCGACAUCCUCGUCUGGAAAAUCAUCGUCAAUAGCUCUGGCAUCAGAAACUGGUAAUGAGGCUAAGUGAUCUGCGACAAUGCUCCCUCUGAUGGACUUCUGAGUGACAUAAUGAAUGUCAAACUCAGUCAGAAGUACCAGCCAUCUCAUAAGGCGACCAACUAGGUAUAUCAAGACGAGGAAUCAAAGGUCCGAUCCUACAAAGCACGAAGAACGGAAUAAGGAUAUGGCUCGGGGAAUGUAUAGAAGAAAAGAUAAUCUGAACGGGAACAAGCAAAGCAUCCAAGUGAAGAUGAGCGGUCCGACCGUACUCAAAUUCGUCCUGAUCUCAGUGCACUCUCAUCUGGAGACUAAACAGAGGGAAAAUCGGAUCCAAAACUACGGCUACAGAGGCACGGAAAGCCCUCAGAUGCACCCACGUGUAGGGAGGGAAUCCUAAUCGAAGGAUCUAUGGCUCAACCUACAAGGUCAAGGUGGCUCUAAAUGGAUAAGGGUGGACUUUAAAAUAUCCCUAGCAGAAGCGAUCAUACCCUCCGGCGAUACGCAACCCUCUGCACGCCUCCGAAGAGACGGGGCGCUUCCAUGCAAGGUGGUCAUCACCUCCACACAUGCACUACCUCGCAUUCCAGGGGGUUUCCUAUGGUGAAACCUCUCAAACUCUCAACACUCAAUAGUCUACUAGCGUGCACAGUGAUGGUGUGGGUGCAUCCGAAACCCUAAGAAGCUAAAGCAGGAUAUGAAACACACUGGCCACAUAAAUAUCCAUGAAACCUAGCUCCGGGCUAUACAGGUCUUCAAUGAUCGGACUCCAAUCGACAUCAAAGUGUCGCUCUCCUCCAGAANNNNNNNNNNNNNNNNNNNNNNNNNNNNNNNNNNNNNNNNNNNNNNNNNNNNNNNNNNNNNNNNNNNNNNNNNNNNNNNNNNNNNNNNNNNNNNNNNNNNAGGCAUGUCAAGAAUGGCUCUAAUCUUGUCCGGAUCCACCUCUAUGCCUCGCUCACUGACUAUGUAUCCCAAGAGUUUCCCAGAAGUCACUCCAAAAGUGCACUUCUUGGGAUUCAGUCUCAAUCUGAACUGUCUGAUCCUCUCAAAGAACCUCUCAAGAGCUGCCAAGUGAUCUGAUCUAUCUCGGGAUUUCACUAUCAUGUCGUCUACAUAAACCUCGACAUCCCGAUGCAUCAUGUCAUGGAAGAGUGUGGUCGCUGCCCUCUGAUAGGUGGCUCCUGCGUUCUUCAAUCCGAAUGGCAUGACUCUAUAGCAAUAAGUACCCCACUCGGUAAUGAAGGACGUCUUCUCCAUGUCCUCUGGAGCCAUCAAGAUCUGACUGUACCCGAAAAAUCCGUCCAUAAAGGACAACAUCGAGUGACCUGCUGUACUGUCAACUAGCAUGUCGAUGUGUGGGAGAGGGAAAUCAUCCUUAGGACUGGCCUUGUUGAGAUCUCGGAAAUCAACACAGACUCUCACCUUGCCAUCCUUUUUAGGAACAGGGACGACAUUGGCCAGCCACUCCGGGUACUCGACCACUGAUAGAAACCCCACACUGAGUUGCUUCUGAAUCUCCUCUUUCACCUGCAAGCUCCAACGAGGGUGCAAUCGUCUCAACUUCUGCUUAACCGGUCUGGCAUGGGGCAGAAGUGGCAAACGAUGCUGGACGAUGGAUGGAUCAAGGCCCGGCAUGUCCUCAUAGGACCAUGCGAAAACGUCCAAGUAGGAUCUGAGCAACUGGAUGAGACUAUCUCUCUCAUCUGAGGAUAAAUCUGACCCGAUCCUCAACUCCCUAGGCUGAUCUGCGGUGCCGAAAUCAACAAUCUCUAUGUCUCCUAUAGCAGGUGAAACCCUCUGAUCAACGGGAUCCGAAUCGGAAACAGAAGAUGAGUCAUCAUCUGAGUCGUGCUGUGCAAUCUCAUCAUCAAUAUCAAAAAUCUGUGGUGUGGGUGAAGAUGGUGCAGAUAAAUCAAUAUCCCAAGAGACAGGCAGAUACUCAAAAAUGCUCAAAUCCAUAGAUGAAACAUCGGAAACAAUGUCAGAACAGGAGACGAACCCCGACAGAAUGUCAAAUGAAAGAGGUGGGUCCACAAAGUCGGACGCUCCCUCAACAAUGCCAACAUGGCUAUCAAUCAAAUCAUCAAAAACUAUAGCAUCCUCAACAAUCUCCAGAGUAGGGGUUGUCUGGAUCUCCUCAACGAUCUCGAUGAAAGACACCCCGAAAAGAUCGAAUGGUGAAGUGAGCCCAGGAUGAACUCUCUCCUCGAUCGGGCUCAAGCUCAGGGCGAGCAUCUCGUCGAUGUACUCGUCGUGUGGGACGGCUCCGUCCACUAUGUCUUCGACCCCAGCAAAGGUCCCAUGCUCAUCGGUCUCGUCCGGGAAGCAAAGCGUCAUAAGGCUCGUGCGAUCUGGAGACGAAGGAGCAAUCAACACAGAAGUCGAAGAGCCAGGAGCUCCGUCUCUCAAUCGUAACUGCUGGACAAGGCGCUGAAGCUCGACCUCCUGAGUGGUGCUAAGUCCUCCAAUGAUCAUGUCCGAACGGGUCAAUGGCUCUGAUGCCCUCACAAAAUAAUCAGAUAAGCUCCUGGUGUAUGGACGAAGAGGAUAGUAGAAAGGUGUGUGGGUCAGUCGAGCUCUCACUCUCUCCUUGCGCAAACGCGCCAUGUAGAGAUAAUCGGCCUCAGUGGGGAUGAACCCAAGUCCGAACGGUACGUCGUGAUCAGGGAUGGCUAUGAACUCGCUCGGUCCAUGCUGACGUCGACCCAACCCCAUGCCGGGUAGAUAGGACAUACUCCGCAUGAUAUCGAGCACCACUGUGCUCCCAUGCCGGUCAAAGGACAUGGCCACAAAAUCCCGGCAGAAAUCCUCUAUCUCCACAGUCUGCACCUCAUCGAAGGUGAAUCCAGUCAGAAAAAGAUCGUCAUCAGUGUGACUAAUCUCGAGCACAAGCUCGGCAGCAAUGAACAUGUCUCCCACAGACUGCACCACGACGACCUGACCAUCGUGAAUAAACUUCACCUUCUGAUGAAGGGAAGAAGGAAUGGCCCCGACUCUGUGGAUCCAUGGUCGGCCCAGAAGCAGGUUAAAGGAUGUAGGAAUCCUCAAAACCUGGAAUACAGCGACAAAAGUGGCCGGACCGAUCAGCAACUCGAUCUCCAAUGUACCCAUGACCUCCCUCCGAGUACUGUCAUAUGCGCGAACGGUCUGAGUAGUGGGACCAAAAUCAGAAGGAGCGUAUCCAAGGGCGAUGGCAGUGGCAAGAGGACAUACGUUCAGGGCCGAGCCAUUGUCCAAGAGGACAGAUGGGACUCGGCGGCCUGAACAGCCAACAGAUAUGUAGAGUGGGCGAGUGUGGUCUGAGCCCUCCGGUGGCAAGUCAUCAUCGGAAAAGACGAUACAAGUGGCUCUGCCAACCGUCAUCAUAUGAAUGAGUCCCUCGGGAGUGGUCGUGGUAUCAACUCUGAUCUGGCUCAGAGCUCGAGUCAGUGCAUCCCGAUGAGUACUGGAGGACGCUAAAAGGCUCCAGAUAGAAAUACGAGCCUGAGUGCUCUGCAACUGCCUCAAAAUCUCAUCAUUCUCUGCUCUGACCUCCUCCUGGGAUGACGUAUCCCCUAAGGGUCUAGCGGCAGCGGCUGGAGGUGGCUGUCUCACUACUCUCCCUCCCCGGAGGAUAUACUGAACGUCCGGAGUCUGAGGAUCAUCACUGUGUGGAGCCUGAACCUCCUCAACAUCUGGGAUCAGAAUGUACGGCGCCUGAACGCUAUAGCGCGUGAAUGUCAGAGGCUCGGAAGUGGCUGCCUGUACAGAUGCUGCCUCAGGAACUAAUCGGAAUGGAGCAGGAAUCUGUGGCUCUAGGGUCACCCCACUCGUCUCAUAAAUCCCAGCUGGCAUGAUAGGCUCCGGGUCUGAAUCAUCCCAACUCAACAUAUGGACAUGAUCAUCAGUCUCAUCGAAGUCCAAGAAAUGAAUACCACCGGCUGGUGGAGGAACUGCAUGUGUGGUGUGGGUCGGCAACGGGUUUGUGGUCACACUCGGCUGACCCAAGUGUACCAAACCCUGGUCUAUCAGAUCCUGAAUAGCAUGCCUCAGAGCGGUGCAUCGAUCGGUCUCAUGUCCAGGCCCCUGAUGAUAAGCACAGUGUAAGUCCAUCCUAAACUGAGCUGGAAUCGGCUGAGGUAGUGGUCGAGGAGUGAGAGCAGUCAAUAAACCAGCCUCCGUAAGCUUCCGAAGAGCCUGGCUCAACGGCAUGCCUAUCUGCGAGAACUGCCUCUGCGUCCUCAAAGCGAACGGAGCAGAAGUCUGCUGGGCUCCAGGUCGGGGAUAAGGCGCCGCAGGUCUCGCGGUGAACUGAGCAGCGUAGCAUGGCUGCCCUGUGGCUGUGUAGGAGACCGCGGGUCUCUCAAUGCCCUGAGUGGCAUAAGAAGGUAAAACCAAUGUCUGUGGCAUGUGCGUCUGAUCGUAAGCCGGCCGAGGUGCCCGUGGCCUGUACUGAUGAGAUGCGUAGGAAGAAUGAGGCUCGGAAAACUGUGGGAUCGGCUGAUGGCGUCUGAGAGGCCUCUGACUGGAUGAACUGAUAGCACCAACCUCUGUCGGUCUCGGUCCUACGAAUGGUUUCUUCCCCUUAACAUCACUAGGGGAAGAAUCUGCCCAUAAACCUCUCGUGAUGCCGUCCUCGACAUCAUACAAAGCCAUAACCAGAGACCCAAAAUCUGUGAACGGGACCCCGACCACAUGUCUGGCGAUCCCCGGCUGUAGGCUCCUCAAAACCAUCUGAAUCUGGUCUCUCUCUGAUGGUCUAUCCACUAUCUCAGCUAUCUUCCCGCGCCAGCGGGAAAUGAAAGAAGAAACGGACUCCUCUGUCCUCUGCCUCAGAGCCUCGAGCUCUCUCCUCGAUACGUCUACAACAGUGUUAAACGAAAACUGUCGUAGGAACUCCUGGGCCAAGUCAUCCCAUGUACGGCGUCUCGAGGACUCUAGAGACGCAAACCAGCGCUGAGCCGCCCCACUCAAAGAUAGGGGGAAAAGAGUGAUCAUCUGAGGCUCGUCCAGUCCAUGAGCCCUCAUCACGGUGCUAUAAAGUCUGAGGUGGAGGCGCGGACAACCAAUACCAGUGUACCUCUCAAUAUCUGGCAUCCUGAACUUAGCCGGCAAGCUGGCUACCGGCAUAGCCCCAAAAUCAUCCCAAACAACGGAUCCAUCUGACACUCUCAUCUGUCUCAUACACUGCUCGAUGCGGUUCAUGCGCGCAUGCGUGUCAUCAGCGACAACGGCCUGGGCGACUGCAAGUGGAGCGAUCCCAGAAUGCCCGUGUAAUACAUAUGGUGAUGUCUGAUGCACUGAAGGAACUGGUGGGGGUGGUGGAGGUGGCACCGGGUCAUAGGAUACCUCGUCCUGAGCGAUAUGUGGCCUGCUCUGCUGGUCAUUGAUCUCCUGCCUAAGGCCAGCCAGAGCCUCCUGGAUAGAAGCCAUGGCAGUCGUGAACUGAUCGACCGUGACAACCUGCUGAUCCAUAUCUGGUGUAUCUGAAACCCGAACUAAUCUGCCCUCUACUCUGAUCCACGAAACUAUACCCAGACUGAGAGUAAAAAUCCUGAUCCUGAAAGUACUCCUCCUCUGCUCUGAUCCACAAAAGGUAUAUCAAGACGAGGAAUCAAAGGUCCGAUCCUACAAAGCACGAAGAACGGAAUAAGGAUAUGGCUCGGGGAAUGUAUAGAAGAAAAGAUAAUCUGAACGGGAACAAGCAAAGCAUCCAAGUGAAGAUGAGCGGUCCGACCGUACUCAAAUUCGUCCUGAUCUCAGUGCACUCUCAUCUAGAGACUAAACAGAGGGAAAAUCGGAUCCAAAACUACGGCUACAGAGGCACGGAAAGCCCUCAGAUGCACCCACGUGUAGGGAGGGAAUCCUAAUCGAAGGAUCUAUGGCUCAACCUACAAGGUCAAGGUGGCUCUAAAUGGAUAAGGGUGGACUUUAAAAUAUCCCUAGCAGAAGCGAUCAUACCCUCCGGCGAUACGCAACCCUCUGCACGCCUCCGAAGAGACGGGGCGCUUCCAUGCAAGGUGGUCAUCACCUCCACACAUGCACUACCUCGCAUUCCAGGGGGUUUCCUAUGGUGAAACCUCUCAAACUCUCAACACUCAAUAGUCUACUAGCGUGCACAGUGAUGGUGUGGGUGCAUCCGAAACCCUAAGAAGCUAAAGCAGGAUAUGAAACACACUGGCCACAUAAAUAUCCAUGAAACCUAGCUCCGGGCUAUACAGGUCUUCAAUGAUCGGACUCCAAUCGACAUCAAAGUGUCGCUCUCCUCCAGAAUGCUCCCGUACAUCGAUAUAGCCCGUUGCUAGACCCUACUCCUAAUCUCUGGCUCGGUCAGAGAGCAAACACACAGAAGGUCUCACACUUGCAAUAGUGAGAACCGGGAUGAAAGGAAUGACCGAAACCAAGAGAGUUGGAGGUAAGGGGAUAUAUGUGCGGCCCACAUAGACAGGCAACAUGCAAUCAUGCAGAAGGAAGGCAGUCACGUGUCAUACAGUCAAGCAAAGUACAGGAUAUAUCACUCAUGUCCACACAAAAAGCUACAACUAUCAGGAUGAAUAGCUAUAUGAACAUCAUGCUCAAAAGACGAUCAAGAUAAUAUGCAAGUCAGAGAAAACAACACAGCAAGUCAAAUGAUAUACACCAGUGAAUCCAUGCAUGUGAGGUGAGCAGAAUAAUCAGGAAGAAACAGAAUCGCUAUACCAAGCAAAACAAGGUGAGCAACCUAUGAUAAUCGGCAUGUCAAUGUACCAAACUAAUAUAGCAAUGAAGUACAGAAAAAACGACAUCCGAAGCCCCAAAUCAAGAUGAUCAAUCAUAUCAAUGUCACAACACAAUAUCCAAGCAUACAUCAAAAACUCCCAAUGUGCAAUCAAGAGACAAGUACUCGCUGAUCGACUCAUCAAAUGCCAUGUUUGCUUCAUCUUAAGUUCAAGUUUGACCCUCUAUAGUUCCCCAGCGGAGUCGCCAUUUUGUGGACCCCGCAUUUCGAUGGCUCGAAUGCGUUCCCCACUCGAUGGCGAGCUCGAUUUUUAUUUUGAAAAAUUGAUUUUUAUUGAUUAUUUGAAAAUGACUUGGAGUCGCCACUUAUUUUUGUUUUAUUUUUAAAGGGUAAACAAAAUAAGAAAGAAAAACCCUAAGUGUGACUCCUUAUUUUGGAAAAGGUGAUCUACGAAAAACCGGAUCGGGUUCGGGGGUCAGGUUACUUAUCGGGAAGGUACGGUAAAGACCGUAGCACCCCUCUAAGUCCCUAAAGUCGGGUCUCUACUACUAAAAUGAAGCUGACAUGGCAAUCAAUGAGAAAAUCAAUGAAUACUCAAAUCAAUCAUGCACAUAUAAGUAUCAAAACAUGCGUAUAGCAAGACCAGAAUAAGGACAGAUGCGUACCUGGGCAACGAUCUUCAAUGCGCUAUCAAGAAGUGAGAUUAGUGCACAAUUAAAGGAUGGUCACAUGCAUAUCAUAGAGCAGAAUAAAUCAUGUAUGGCACCCAAAUCAACCAAACAAUCCAUCAAUCAUAAAAUCUCAUAUGUUGGGCCCCCACCAAAGCCCGAUUGAUUUUUGCAUGAAUUAAUUCCAUAAAUUCCCUUGCUUGGAAUUACGGAAUUUUAUUCUAGCUUAUUUUAAAACAUUUUGAAAAUCUGAGGAGUUGUGAAAAUUGCUUGUCAGGGAGAAAAGUGACAGCAAAUUUUUAUUAUNNNNNNNNNNNNNNNNNNNNNNNNNNNNNNNNNNNNNNNNNNNNNNNNNNNNNNNNNNNNNNNNNNNNNNNNNNNNNNNNNNNNNNNNNNNNNNNNNNNNNNNNNNNNNNNNNNNNNNNNNNNNNNNNNNNNNNNNNNNNNNNNNNNNNNNNNNNNNNNNNNNNNNNNNNNNNNNNNNNNNNNNNNNNNNNNNNNNNNNNNNNNNNNNNNNNNNNNNNNNNNNNNNNNNNNNNNNNNNNNNNNNNNNNNNNNNNNNNNNNNNNNNNNNNNNNNNNNNNNNNNNNNNNNNNNNNNNNNNNNNNNNNNNNNNNNNNNNNNNNNNNNNNNNNNNNNNNNNNNNNNNNNNNNNNNNNNNNNNNNNNNNNNNNNNNNNNNNNNNNNNNNNNNNNNNNNNNNNNNNNNNNNNNNNNNNNNNNNNNNNNNNNNNNNNNNNNNNNNNNNNNNNNNNNNNNNNNNNNNNNNNNNNNNNNNNNNNNNNNNNNNNNNNNNNNNNNNNNNNNNNNNNNNNNNNNNNNNNNNNNNNNNNNNNNNNNNNNNNNNNNNNNNNNNNNNNNNNNNNNNNNNNNNNNNNNNNNNNNNNNNNNNNNNNNNNNNNNNNNNNNNNNNNNNNNNNNNNNNNNNNNNNNNNNNNNNNNNNNNNNNNNNNNNNNNNNNNNNNNNNNNNNNNNNNNNNNNNNNNNNNNNNNNNNNNNNNNNNNNNNNNNNNNNNNNNNNNNNNNNNNNNNNNNNNNNNNNNNNNNNNNNNNNNNNNNNNNNNNNNNNNNNNNNNNNNNNNNNNNNNNNNNNNNNNNNNNNNNNNNNNNNNNNNNNNNNNNNNNNNNNNNNNNNNNNNNNNNNNNNNNNNNNNNNNNNNNNNNNNNNNNNNNNNNNNNNNNNNNNNNNNNNNNNNNNNNNNNNNNNNNNNNNNNNNNNNNNNNNNNNNNNNNNNNNNNNNNNNNNNNNNNNNNNNNNNNNNNNNNNNNNNNNNNNNNNNNNNNNNNNNNNNNNNNNNNNNNNNNNNNNNNNNNNNNNNNNNNNNNNNNNNNNNNNNNNNNNNNNNNNNNNNNNNNNNNNNNNNNNNNNNNNNNNNNNNNNNNNNNNNNNNNNNNNNNNNNNNNNNNNNNNNNNNNNNNNNNNNNNNNNNNNNNNNNNNNNNNNNNNNNNNNNNNNNNNNNNNNNNNNNNNNNNNNNAGAAAGGUGAAUAAAUAUGGUGGGGGAGUAGACUGUUGACAAUGGGUAUGUAUGAGUCAUAUGCCUGGGGGUAUGGUGAGAGAUGAACUGCAAGUGAUGGGCAUGAUGUGGUGUGGGGUGGAUUAGUGGGAUGACAGUAUACAAAGAGAGCGUGGUGUAGAGAGAGAAUGCAAGAUGAUGAGUGCAUGUGUAGAUAUGGGUGUGGGCAUGGUGGUAUGAAGCGUGUGGUGGAUGAUGGACUGAAGGUGAUGGGCAUGACAAUGGGCAUGAACAGGGAUGGAGUCAUGUGGGCACGAGACGAGCAUGAGCGCGGAAUGAGUGUGAUGCAACCAUGCAUGGUAUGAAAAGGGUUUGGUGUAGUGAGAGAAAGUAGAUUAUUGGUGAUGGGUAUGAAUAAUGGCCGGGUUUGCAUGGUCCAUGCACUUGGAUGGGUGAGUUUGGGGAUGCUAGCAGAAGCCUUGGAAGGAAUACGGGCAGCCAUGCACGCGUGGGGUUUCAUGGAUAUCGAGUCAGGGUAUUUUGUUGGAGGAAGAGAGCAUGGGUCUGCACAAUAUGGGGAUUGGGAUCUCCUACGGACUCCCUAGCUAAUGGAGUUGUGAAAGGGAGACCAUCUGCUUUUCCGAUACCAGAUUAUGGGAAGUUCAGUGAUGGCUUCUCAAAAAAUAUUGGUCCACCUUGAUGUUAACAAACCACCCUUGGGCAAUUUAGCAAUCCCUUCAUUCUCAGAAGACUCCGUCUCCAACAGACCAUAAUGAUACUGAACUAAUCCAUGUGAAACGGACAAGAAAGGCUCUGCUCGUGAAUGUUCCCUGGCAUAACCUCCUCUAGAAUGUCAUCAGACGAAACAAAACUAGAGAACCAGGUAUCUGGAACAAGUAAGUCUUCUCUCUGGGCCAAACCCUCAACAAGCCUGUUGCAUUUCUCUGAUUUCUCCCACUGUUCUGCCAAAGUCUUUAUUUAUAAUAUAAUGGUUUAGAAAUAUCCUCCAUUAAUCACUCUACCUUUGACCAACCCUGGUUAAGGAUCCAUACAUCAAAUCUGAUUACCACUUCUGGCCCACAACCGCUCGAGUUGAUAAUGAUUUUCCUCCAUAUCUACUCCUGUUCAUCUUCAUAAAAUUCCUUGGAAUCAUCAGUAUACUCACUGCAAUCUGUGGUAAAGACCACCACAUCCUCAUCGACAUCUUACUUUUUUCCUCUACGAAUGGCGCCUCACACUACUCACUAUUCUUUGGAUCUGAACCACUUUUUUUUUUUUUUUGUUUUUUCAAAUAUUGGAUGUCAAGCCUCAACAGCAUAUAGUAGUCAAUUUGUACCAUCCCCAAUGUAUGGUAUGCAUGAUGCCCCGUGCUCAAAUUGCUCAAAAAGAACAGAGGAAUAUAGCCAAGAAAACAGGGCAUAGGAGAAAGGAACAAAAAAUAAAUCAAGGGCAACUGCAUUUCAGGACAUAUCAAUGUGUUCCCACUGGUGGAUGAAAGAUAUGAACAAAUUCAAAACAAAAAAUACGCCACAUAUGUUCAGGUGCCUAGCAACAAAAUAUGAUGCAAGUCCUCACCCAUUUUCUUAAACCAGGUUAAUGAAACAGCGAAAGGAUUAACAUCACAGAUGGAAACAUGACAAAUACAAACAACAUAUACACCCAGUGAAAUGAUAUUCAGAAUAAUGAAAUCAUACGGCUAAAUAUAAGCAUACCUGAAUGUGAUAGAUGUCCUACCCAGCUUUUCUUACUUUCUCUCUGUUUUCCUUGCCUUUCUAGCUCCGACAAUCGAAUCACCUUCUCUCUUACUCUUCUUUUCUCCCGCUUGAAAAACCUCCCUCUGGAAAUAUAUCUCUCCCCCAGCCAGACGACACCCACCUGCCUUGCAGUUGCAAGCCUCCAUUACCUUCAGAUUUUUCUGCCACCUUCCUCUUCUAGGCCCAUUUCCCCACUACUCUGCACCACUACCUUGCUAAUAACAGAAGACGCUCCUCAAUACAACGGCCUGCAGAUCCUCAUGCCACCUGUCAACCUUCCAUUGGCACUUCAAAAACAACAUACGAUUCUGCAUUGCCCUCUCAAAAGGAGACACGUGAUUGAGCAAGGCUCUUCCACGUGGCCAAAACGGGUAGCUGCAUGAAAGGCCCCAAAUGGGGGUCUACAGCAGGAUAUACUUUUUCGUCAAUGUGUGCCUGAAUGACCUAAAACUAGUCCCAAUUAAUGAUAUGACAUUGUAUUUGCUAUUCUCAUCAACCAAGAAUACACCCGAAAAUAUAAGAUCUUGAUUAUUUAAUAAGCAUGUAAGGUAUACACAAAAUAUAGGAAAAUAAUUUAAGUACAUUACUAUAUACCUUAUAAGAAGAUCUUGAUUAUUUAAUAAUCAUGUAAGGUCUACACAAAAUAUAGGAAAAUAAUUUCAAUAGAUUACUAUAUACCUUAAUGCAAUCCCAUAAUUUCUCCUUCAAUUCCACAGGCAUUACUCUCCAAUCAAUAUGAUAUACUGGCACCAUGGUUUGUGUUAGCACCCCCAAGUAUGAUACAAGUUGUACAUAUCCCUCACCCACUCCCUCACCAUCAUCAUUAUAUUGAAUGUCAAUUUUCACUCAUUCACUUCUCUUUUUAGCAAUUUCAGGUUUUACAGUUGGGCCUCUAAACAUUUUUGGUGAAGUAAUCUUCUGUUUUCCUUCCUUUCCAUCCAUCUACAUGACAAUCAAAAGAAUAUGAUCAAUCUCAUAAUACAUAUAUAUAUAUAUCUUACAUUCAAAAGUAAAGCAUGAUAUUUUAAUAGUUACCUACUCUUUAUCUCUUCUUGGUUGAGACAUCUGUAAAGAUGUUGCACUUUUUGGCCAAGUUCCAAAUAAUUAAGAAUUAUGCACUACUAAACAACACUUGAAAAUGUAUCUCAACUAAAUCUAAAGAAAUUAGUUACAAAAUGAUUUCAUAAGUAGGAAUAAAUCAUUGUUGUACAAAACUUGCAAUACAUGAAAAUUAAUCUUAAAUCUCAAUAUAUAUAAAUAUGAUACUAACUGAAUUUAUUUAAAAUAGCUUAGCAAGUAUAUAAUAGUAAAAAUAUAUUUGAGAAUAAUAAAAUAAAAACAUAACAUUGUUGAGCAUCACAUUGUAGAUUAACAAUAACUCAAAAAUCACAUAAUACACUUAGUAGUCACAAAGCAUAACCCCAAAAAACAAAAACAAAAAACAAGAAAAUUGUAGACCCUCAAUUUUGUCCCUUUAGCACAUGUCUUUAAGUUCACUUCCAAUGCUCCAUAGUAAUUCCUUGGUGGCCCAUUGCUACUCAUACUACUUACCUUUUUUUUAGCCACCUUGGAGACCUUGGUUGAGGGGUUUAUCCAACUCCACAUUAUGACCUUGGCAGCCCUAAUUUAGACUUAGCCACUUUCCUGAACGCCUUAGGCCCACUUAGGUACACUUGGCCCACUAGGCGUCACCUUAAGCCCACUUAAGCACUUUUAAACCCAUUUUUUAUAUGACUUGCAUGAUUGCAUGGCCUACAUGACUUGUGUGGCUUAUAUGGAUUUCUUUAUUAUUUAAUUUCAUUUUAUUUUAUUUUAUUAUAAGUUUUCUUGGCUUUUUGGGCAUGAGGAAAGGGUCUGUCAUCUAUUUUGAAGGAGAAUCAACAGAAUUUUGAAAAAGAGGAGAUUUUGUUUUUAUAGGGAUAGCACAUAUAUUAUUUUCAUGGGGAAAUCGGUUACAAAAGGGAAAAAACUAAGAAAGGAAAGUGGAUUUCCUUUUUGGAUCACAAAAGUUUUUUUGGAGGGAGAUUUUUUUAUUGUCUUUGUAGAGAGACACAAAAAGGAAAAAAGGAGGGGAUUUUCCUCUAACAUAUUUGGGGGGGUUCUUUGGGAAGGCUGAUCUACGCAAAAAAUGAGAGGAAAAAAAAGCCACAGAUUAAGGGGGAAGGGACUCACGGAUUUGGAGGAGGAUUUUCUCCAUGGAUGAAGGGGGAAGGGACUCCCGGAGGAUUUUCUCCAUGGAUGAAGAGGGAAGGGACUCACAGAUUUGAUGAGGAGGAUUUUCUCCAUGGAUGGAGGGGAUGGGUAGCAGAAGAUGAGAGGCUGCUUCGAUAGUGUGAAUUUUUCUGGAAAGGGCCAAGGACCAUAGGAGAGGAUCAGGGACAGAGGCACUAUUACUUUGAGAAGCCCAUGAGUUCUUGAAGUCUCCAACAUAUCCCUUGAGGUAAGCUCUUUAGUGUGAAAUCCAAUUUAUUUUAUUUUCUCUGUUUCUUUUCCUCUUUCUUCUAUUGUCAUUAAGAUUUGCUACUGUUGAUUUUAAGUGUUUCAUAAAUUUGCCUGACUUCUGAUCCCAUUGUUGCUUCUUUGUUUGUGUUCAAGAAUCGUUCAAUUCUUCUUUGUGAUAUUUCAAAACCCUUUUAUUCCACCUGCAUUUAAGCCCACCGAUUCAGACAUGAAGUGUGGCUUUUUGAUAGUUCUUAUUUUCUUCAUUUAUGUUCUUUCUUUCUUUAUUAUUUUUUUGGCUAUUUUCUCCUUGCUCUUGGUGUUUGCACAUUCUUGGGCAUGGGACUACACACUUGGACGUCAAACCAUGGGAUGAUGAAACUGACAUGAAAGAGCUUGAGGCAACAUUAAUCAAAUCAAGAUUCGUGGCAAGACUAUGGCUGCUAUAUUGAGUUAGAUGUUUUCCAUAUGGGUUUGGUUCUCUUUCAUGAAUUUGCGGUUGGUUUAAAGUCUCCAAUUUUCUAUAUGGGAGAAGCAAUAUUAAGUAUUUUGGAUAUCUAAGUUUGUCUCUACUUCUGCAUUGAUUAUAUGUUGUGAGCAUGGUGGGUUUGUGAGGAAGGAAAUGUGUAUCAUUGGGGAAUUUUAAUCUUCAUAGAAUUACCACCACAGAGGACUACAGUGGACUAGGACAUGGUUAUAAAGAAUCCAGGCUAGUUCCCCAGUCUGUAAUUGCAUUGAUCAAUGAUAUUUUUGUCCAGUGGUUCAGUCAUCAGUAGUCACAAUUGCUUGUCCAAUGGUUCAGUCAUCAGUAGUCACGGCCGCUAAAAGGGGGAGGUUAACAACCAAAAAAAAAGAAGUGGCAAUUCCUGAACUAGAGCCUCCGAGAUGGUUUGUUAUAGACCUGCACUAUGUGAACUGGGGAACUGUUGUCUUUCUUCUGUUUAGUGUGGAAGUUGUACUACUUAAGCAAAUGAGAAAAAAGGGGUUUGAUAAUGGGUGUAUGGAAUGCUCCUACAUCGGUAAGAAUAUUUCAGGGUCUUCUCUCGCUGCUGAUGUUCUGGACUAAGGCAAGGAAGAGUGUUUUCUCAUCUAUGAUACUAUUCCCAAUGGAAGCUUGCUGCAAUAUCUGGAUGUGAUUGAUAACAAUGGGAAGGUCCUUGAAUAGUCUACUAGAGUUUCUAUCAUCAACGACAUUGCCAAAGGUGCCAGGUAUUUACAUGAGAAGAAAGUGAUUUAUCAAACACAACAUGGGCCCUACAAAUACUAGAAUGAAGAUGCAUCCAGAAUGAAGACCUCCUAGAAUCCAUACAAUGUUCCAUUGAAACAGUCGAAGUCCACUCCUUCAUUGAUGUUGGUAACACAACACGCAAAGCCUGUACUCAAGCUUCUCUAGUCUCUCCUCAAAUCCUAAUGCCCAACCUCAGUGGCUUAAUACAUCUGAAACUGAUGCCAAACGGAUCCCUGAUGAAGGAAAUUAUGGAUACAUACAAAAGAUUUAAGAAUCAGCUUCAUCAGUACAAGCCCCAGAAGCAGUUUGCUGGAAAUGUACUUAAGCUCCAUGAGCAGACCCGUAAGUUGCAGUCGUGUCUUUGAUCGAGUUAGUAAGCUGCUCUCCCUCAAGGUUCGAACCAGAUAAAGGCAACUGGAGUUACUGCUGGUUACACUUUAACUUCUUCAUGGCCUAUACAGUUGGAAUUGCAGAUGAUAUGCAAGUGCUCAUAUUGAUGGUAUCGCUACAAAAUACUCCGAAAUUGUCGAAACAAAAGUUAUUCAAGCAAAGAUGGCAAACUGCAAUGAGAGUCUAUUGAAGAUCUCAGAGAUGAGAGGUUUGCUGAGUUCAAUAAAGAUGGCAAGUAACUUGAUGCCGAUGUUCACCUCAAGCACGUUCCGCGAUGGUCAUGCUGCUGCAUAUGUAGUGAUUUUGAUGGAAGACAGUAAGCCCAUUGGUGAGAAAUCGUUUUAUAACUUCCCAGAAUGCUUGGGAAGCAUCCCUGCUGUUUAAAUGAACUUCCCGAGAAGUGCUUGUGUAACUUGCUAAGCUGGCUACCUGAGUUGAACCACUGUGAUAUCAGUGGGGGAAAGAAACAACAAAGGCUCAACGAAGAGAUUGUACCCCGGGAGUUCAGAACUGGUGGUUAUGCGUGACGUUAUUCGGGAUUUAUAAUCGAAAAGGCUUCCUACAUGGCCAGAAUACAGAGGAUGAUUGGUUUGGGAUUGAAAAGAAGAUGAUCAUUAUUCAUCAGCUUCAUCCAAUUUUGGAGACUUUCAUGACAAGAUUGUGGGUUGAAGCUGGUCAUGUCUUUUCUUCAAAACAAAUCUUGUUGCCUGCCAAAAGAGGGCUCAUUUCUCAUGUCAUAAAAAAUGCUCAUGUCCUUGGAGAAAUUUGUGAGAUAAAAUGCGAUUAUAGUUUGCUAGCUAAAACUCAUUUCCAAGGUGCCAAUUAAAUCAACUGCCAAAAAGUUCACAGAGCACUACUCUUUGGGAUUUCAAUUCCUAGUGAUAUUGGAUAUAGGGAGUUUGUUUGUGAUAUUUUGUUCGAGAUAGAGUCUAAAAACGCAGGUUCUUCUGACAUGAAAGCCAUUGAAAACUGACGUGAGCCACCGAACAUUUCUGCUCAUGACAAGAAGAGUUGUAGGAAAAGUUGGCCAGGUUGUCUGAUGACCAUUGAUGUCCAAUCAGUUCAACAUUUUCGGCUACAGUAGCACCAGUUGUGAGUGGCUUUCUCAAGACAUCGUUCCUGAUUCCUGAAAGCAUUUCAGAUCAGUAUGAGACUUCAAGAUGGAAAUUAAAGAAUUUCCCAUGACUGCCAGAUUCGGUAGUUUGAUUUGAACAGAAUGGCGUCUCGUGAUUUUUGGAAUCAUGCAAACGAAUACACCCAACAUUGCAAAUGGAUCAAUUUCCUAUGACCUGGAAUCUCAACUAACUCUCUGGGUUAGAGAAUUCCAGUCGUAGCCAUGUCAUGAUACUACAAGACACCAGAAUUUAAAUUCAAGCAGCCAUACAAGGUUUCUUCCAAGCUGAUAGCACCACCUAGCACAGGUUUUGAUACCUUAACCUGUGGACAGAGUUUGCUUUUGGGAACAUUCCAUAUACUCGAAAUGGCAUCAAUGUCUUCUAAGUCACUACUUUUGGAUCAGUAUUUAGAGCUAGAUCUUAAUAUCGUCAUGCUAAAUUGUUGCUUUUGGUUUCAGAGACAUGAAUUGCUUGGAUAAUGCAUCCGGCUUGGCAAUUAUAAUUGUAAUGUCAGUCAUCACCUGCCUAAUGUCUCUAGUUACUGGAUUGUGUUGGCACCAGAACAUCUCCUCUAUAAUUGGCUUCAUAUUCUUCUCUGGCGUAAUUGAAGCUUUCUACUUCUUGGCUUUUCUCAUCAAGUUCCUGGAAGGAGCAUGGAUUUCUAAGCCACUCCUGAACAUGCAUAUAGGAAUGGAUGACGAGUCCAAUAAUCGUGACAUGGUGAAUUCUAGUUUAGAAAUCCCUAAUGCAGGUGAUGGUCAUGCUAAUGCCUUUCAUGCUAGCGUUGAUAUUGAUAUGAAUGGUGCCAGCGCUGAAGAUCAAACUGAGUAAAUUGGGUCUACUGCUGAAUAUGGUACGGAUGAACGACAAUCAAGGCAAAACACUAGUUUUCUUGCUACUGAGAUCCACUACUCAUCAAAAAAACCUAUCCCAAAUCAGUCCAACAAAAGGUGGGAUCUCUUUUUCCUUAAUUUUGCCUUUUUUUAAUAGGCAAAAUGAGCAUAAACAAUACUUUAUAAGGUGUCAAUGAAAAUAAACGUUCUUUGCCAUCUCAAAACCUUUUUAUAAGAUGAAAAUUAAUGUAUCCAUCUAACCUCUUAAGUUGUUCCUUCAUUGCAGGAUCUAAAUCAUCAUCAAUAUCUCCAUCUUCCAAACUAUGAUUAUGGUGGUUUUGAAAAGUGUGAACCUGAACAAUGUUCGAUUCCCCAAUUGCAUGAGCUAUGACUUUCCAAGGACAUUCAUUAACUGUGCAAACAACUGUCAUGUGUUUCCUACUAUUCCUCUUGAAGCAAUAACGGAAUCUACCAGUAAUUAACAUCAAAUAAACGGCAUCACGGAACUCGACAGCAUUGGGGAAGGUAUGUCCACUACCCAUAAUGGAAUUUUCAAACCGCCUUGAGUCACGUUCGAGUAUAUUUGAUUCCGCACAUCUUUGGGAAAACCCAUAUGACUCAAUUGUAAGAGAGUUAUUACAGAUAUCAAUUGGCGGAUCACCACCGGAGGAAAGUAGGUGUGCCAAAUUCGAACCAACAAUAGGAGUAGGGGCACUACAAAUUUAAAAAAAAAAAAAAUAUAUAUAUAUAUAUAUAUAUAUAUUCAUCUGUCUACAUAUAUUUCAAAAGUUGAUAGACAAAGUGAAUGUGAUGUUGGUAAGGCUAUAAGUACCUAUUCGAUACUAUACAGGCUUCAACAACUUCACUUGAUGAUGAGACAUAGGCUCGACAAAACAUUUCGUUGAAUUGAAUAGUGCAGGCAUGUGAUAUUCUAUAUAGGAUUGGUGAAUAGUCUCAUAGUCUAAGAUCAUGUUUGGUAGAGAGACAAAUGGAACACAGAUUUAUGAGAGGACAAGAUUGAAAGUUUGCAUAAAGCAAUUCUCUAAAUUAAGGACAUUUUGAAUAGUUCACUAGGAGAUUACAAGAGGAAAGAGAGAAGUAUGGCUUACAAGCCCACCAUGCUUAUCUCGAUGUAUUUGGAAGUGAAGCAAUAAAAGAAUCUUUGAUGAUGUUGAUCAAUCAGAAUUGUAGCUGAACAAUGUUUUCCUAAAUUUUUUGUUGAAUGGUCUGCUAGAUCAAUAGGAAAUAGAAGCCUUUCUUUUGUAGAUUUCAUUUGAUAUUUCAGCUAGUACUUUAAGGAUCAAGGAGUUUUAUUUUCCCCCUUUUUUUUCUUUUAAAAUCCUUAUGAACAUCACAAGUACAAAGGAAGUGCCCUCUUCUUAGCAAUUGUUUCACAACAUUUUACGUAUCAAAACAUUUUUUUUCAUUCUCCAAAAUGCCAAAAAAAUAAUGUCCAAAACAUUGAUUUUUAUUUUUUUAUUAAUCAAUUAAAUAUAAUUUAAAAUAAAAUAAUUAGAAUUAUAUUUUUUUAAUGAUGAACCUUAACUAAUUUAAAUUAAAUAUAUAUUAUCAAAGAGUACCAUAGUCCAAUGGUAGCAGGGAUUGAACCCAAGCCACAAUUUUGAUUUAAUAAAAAUUAAGAUGGCUAAUUAAUAAUUAAUAAUUAUUUAUAUGGAGCAAAUUGUUCUCAUGAUUUGUUUCCCCUUUUGUUUUUUUUAUCAUACUAAAUCUAAAGCUCAAAAGGGUCAUCCACUUCUCUCACUCGGGCAUCAAGGAGCCCUUUUCUGAAGUUGCCCUCCAAACGAGAGAAUCCCUAAAAAGGCCCUAUUUUCCUCUGCAACUCUCAAUCCUUGUAGGUACUAAUCUAAUCACAUUAUUAAUUUUUUUUUAAACCCUCAUUUGAUUCCCAAGAAAAUCCAUCCCCCAUUUGAUUUCCGGGAAAAUUCAUCCUUGUUUGAUUUUCGAGAAAAUCCAUGCAAAACCCCAAGGAAAACAAAAAAAAAAUGCUUUUUUUUCCUCCCUAUGUUUUCUAGAUCUGUUCUAGGGGUCUCUUUGCUUUUGUGCCAUUGGGUUUAAAUUUCACAAACCCUAAAUCCACGAUUUUUGAGCUAGGUUGAAAAAUAUAACCUUUGCCUGCAAAUCGUGAUCAGAUUACCAAAUAGCAUCUUAUGUUUUUUUUUAUAUAUAAAAAAAAAAUUUGGAUAGAUUUUGCAUCAUGCAUGGGCUAUGCUGGUAGGAAAUAUCGGGAAAUUUCCCGAAAAUACGAUAAAAAAUACCGAUAAAUACCAAAAUAUUUCUCGAUAUUUCAAACACUAGUGGUUCUCAAAUUUUUUUUCCUCAAUGAUUCCCCACAAACAACCGUCUUGUAAACAUAAAUAUUUAAGAUAUAACAAAAAAAAAUCCCCAAAUAUUCUAAAUCACGGGGUCGUGAACAAUGCAAAACAACCUUCAGCCCAAAUAUUUUCUCAACAGCCAAACAAAUCCUUAAAUGGAAAACUCACAUGCGAUUAAUCCAAAAGAAAGAGGAAACUCCACUUCGGUUUCCAGAAACCUGAAAAAUAUUCACCUUUGAUGAAGAAAUAUGAAGAUAUGACUCAACUUUGGCUUCGUUGAAGGUUUUUGGAAGAUGGCUAUUGGGUUUGGGUGGUCAGCUCGUGAAGAGAGACACUAGGGUUAGGCCAAAAUGAGACGAAAUGAGAGGAAGUGAAGAGUCAUGAAAAUGCAGAGCAAACGAGCCAUGAAAAUGUAGAUUGGGUUAGGGCAAAAUGAGAGGAAGUGACAGAGAGUUUCCCCAAAUUUCAAAGUUUAUCGAGUCGGGUGUUCUAUGGGUUUUGCAAAUUUGAUAACUUUUAAGUUUUUGAUUUUCGUGUUUAUUAAAGGCACAACUCUCGGGUGACAUGGACACGAGUGAUGGUUGCUGAUAGGGAUGCAUGGAGGGGUAAUUUCGAAAAUCCAAUUAUAAAUUGUAUAUAAUGCAUGAAAAGGAAAAAAUUUCUUGAAAUAGUGGACAUAUCUUGGGUUAUGCAAACUUGGGUUUUGAAAACAAUAUUAUUAGGAAAUGGGGCUCUCGAAACACAACUUUCCCUAUUUUUUAUAUUCCAAAUAUAAUAGUUCAUGUUAAUUAAACUAAUUAAAUAAUUUAAUUAAGUUAAUUUUUUGAAUCUAAAUCUAACGAGAUUGAAAUUAACUAGUUGAAUCUAAUUCUUACUAGUUUGAAUGUGAAAAUAAAAUUAAAUAAUCAUCUAAAAUAUAACAUAUCCAUCUAUAAUUAAAUAAUCAAAUUAACCUAAGCUUAUUCAAUAAAAAUAUACAAAUUAAUUACAAUUGAAUGUAAAAAUAAUAUUAAAUCAUCCAUAUUGAAAAUAUACUAAUUAAUUGAAAAUACAUUAAUUAAUUACAAUUGAAAACAAAAUUAAUUACAAUUUAAAACAAACAUACCUUAAAAUAAUUGAAUAAUUGAGCAACCUUAGAAAAUUUUUGAGCAAUAAGAGAUCAAAUAAAGAAUGAAAUUAAAUGUGGAUGAAAUGGAUGCAAAAUGAGUUAUUUAUAGGAAAAUUUUGGGCCAAAAUAGCUAUUGAUAGAUGAUUUCACUAUUGAAAAACAGUUUUGGCCGUUGGAUCAAAAUCAGGGCGACAUAUGACCAUUGGAUCAUGAAAUAACCAUUGGAAUAUCAUCCCAACGUUGGACCAAACCCAAAUUCAAUCUGGGGAGUUAGAUCAAUGCAGGCAUGAUGUAGGCCGUUAGAUCACGCUGAAAAGAGGAGGCAAAUUUUCUUUAAAAAAUCGACGAUUUAUCACCGAUAUAUAGACGUUUUUCCAACAUCAGUGAUGAUUGAUUGAUAAAACCGUCAAUUUAUCGCUGAUCAGCGAUAUAUCGACUAGAUUUUGGCAAUUUUUUGUUUUUUUGCCUCUUCGAUAAAUCCCCACAAAAUAUCGUGUUGAAACUCUCCGAUACACGAUAUAUCGAUGACAUACCGCCGAUAUAUCUUUGUGUUCCUAGUGAGGUUGAUGAUUUACUAAUAUGUUUCAAGUGCACAAUGAGGGAUUAAUUCUUAUUGCACACUAGGGCAUAGCCAUUUUAAAUAUCUUUAUCAAAGUUAGUGGUUUGAUUUUUAGAGAACACUUCUUAUUUGUUGAUAUUGCUAUCACCUACAAAGUAUGGUUUUAUACAUCCCUAAUUCGAAACAACAACUAUCCAUUGCAUUUGAGCAAGGUGGAGAUGUUGUUGGUUAUUAUUGCAUGCUAGGGCAUAGCCAUCAUCAUGGUUUUCUAAUCAAGUUAAUGAUGCAUUGACAUUAUGACGGAUUGAUCUAGUUUGGUUGUCUUCAUAGUUUAUUUUUGUCAAUGAAUGGCAUUGUCAUGGAUGAUUUAAAUACAUUAAUUCGAACACAUUCAUUUUGAAAACAAUCCAUGAACACAUUCCAAAAAAAGAAAAAGGGUAUCUAGGGAAUGGAUCAAUGCAUGUAUACUGAUUAUGUUCUAUAUCAUUGCACUGAGAAUAAUGAAUAGGUCUCUUAUGACUGCAUUAUGAUUCGAUAAGACAUUGUCAUAGUCUCCUAAUAGAUGUUUUACUUUAGGGCUUUAAGAGAAGGAAAUGAUCAAGCUUCUUUAUCAUGCAUGCAUGCUCUCAUCAACACAAAGUUGAGGCAUGUCAUUCAUCAAUAUAGAUCAGAAUGAGCCUAAAUAAAUCAAAGUUCUAAGUGGAAAAUGUUCAAUAUAGGGUUAUACAUCUAAGUGUAACAUGAUCGAAUUUUAUUCAAAUGUAUAAACUAUAAAUGAUUACAUACCUUUUUUUUUUUCCGAAUUCGCUCAUACCAUUAAGAUUUUUCAUCCACAAGAUACAACCUAUAUUGCAAAAAAUUAAAAAUUAAAAUAAAAGUGAAAAAAAAUUGUAUUAGAAUAUUAAGAAAACUCUACUUAUAAAUAUAAAAGAAUCCAAUUGUUUAAUAUUAAAAAAUCUCAAAUUUAAAAUCUAAAUAUUGAGGGUAAUUUUCUAUUUUUCCAUCUCAUAAUGAAUGAAACUCUAAUAUCUCCCUGCUAACUUACUAAAAGGGUCAUUAUCAACAUUUUUCACCUUAGAGCGAAUGUAAAAUUAUAAAAUUAUUAUCUGAGAACACCCACUUUACAAAUUAGAGAAAAAAACCUAAAAUAAAAAGGAAAAGUAUACCAUAAGGAAUAUUUAUUUCAAGCUCUUUAAAGUACUGAGAGCACCCAUUUUACAAAAUUGUACUCAAGUCAUGUAACAUUUGAAUCCAACUCAUUGAAACUCAUCAUUUUGUCUCAAAAAAGGUUUUUCAUUUUUUUAUUAUUAAAAAAAACCAUAAGCAGCUGAUUGUAUUCAAGUAAUUCAAUGGAUAGCCCUCAAAGGUAGGCAUCAAUUUAUCAGACAUUCAAACUAAACCACGGCAUCAAAAGAUUAUAACGAUAAGAAUAUAUAUACCUCCAGGCGAAGGAGCCAUUGAUGCUAUUAAAAGUUUGUUCUUCAAAAGAGCUUUAAGAAGUGAUCGAUUGUUCUUCAAGAGAGCUUCCAAAGAGCUUAGGGGGCUUUUUCUGUAUCCAAUUUGUUGAUCUCACUCUCAACCAACAGUAAAAGAAUAAACCUAAUCAGGAAAGAUUAAAGCUAACCAUAAAAGAACCAAACUCACCUCAGUAUAUAUGAGUUGGAUUUUUUUCAAGAGACAAUGAAAUAGAGAUGCUUCUGAGAGGAGAGGGUGAGGACAUGCAAAUGAGGAUUUGUGUGAAGAAAGAAUCGUUUACUUUCCAAAGGGACAUGCGGGCUUCUUCACUAGGAGGAUUUAAGUCAACUGGGAAUGGAUUUAAACAGCUCCAUGGUAACAAAAAUAAAUAAAAAAAUAAAGAAAAAUGUGUCCUCCAACAGUUUAUUGAUACAGUAAAGUGGACAUAUUACACUACCAUUAUGAGAAAUGACACAUUUGAAGGAGAGAGUCUUUUGAUAUAAUUGAGGCAUUAAAGUUUAAGCACUCUAUCUAACUUAUAAUCUUUAUAAAAAAGAAUUUCACGGAGACCAACUCAAAUGUAUAAAUAGCUUAUACAUUCCAACAUAAAGCAACAGCUGAUGGGAAACUGUGACUUCAAGGAGUUUUGGGCUGAAAGAAGGGGAAAGUCCCAUUAUGGUUUUUAGUCGAAUAAACAUGUUGACAGAUUCACACAAAAUCGGGCGGUUCGUCUGAUUCGACGGUCUAACUCUCUGGUUAGAUGAUUCAAUGGCGAUUCAAACUCAGAACAGUCCAUUCCGGCGAAUCAGACCGAAGGUCGGACCGAUUUUAAAACUAUGCAUUCACCAACGAAUCUGAGAAAAUCAAAAUUAAUUUUUACAAGCCGAAUUCAUAAGAAGACGAGAAAGGGAGUCAUCUCUGAACAGUAGACACAGAAGAACUUUAUUGAAAUUGGUGUUGCUUUUUGAAAGAGACGAAGUCGGCCAGCUACUUGGAAAGUUUGACUGGACAAGACUUUGAGUUGAUUUGAUGGGAGGUGGAGCAGUUUAUUGGGACUUCAAAAAUAUUUUUCUCUUCCAACCGUCCUUAGAUUUAAAAUAUUUUUUAUCAAAAUAUUUAUUUAGAAUUUUUUUCUUAAUGGAAUCACUUAUUAAAUACUUAAAAAAAAUUAAUAAAAUUUCCUUAAAAGUUUAAACAUCAUAAGAUAUUUAAAUUUUUGAAUGACCAUGUUUCGUAUUUAUGCCCAUAAUAAUUUCAUAUUAAAUUAAAAUAAAAUAUUUUUAUUUUAGUUAUUAAAUAAUAAAUGAUAUUUAAAUUGAAUUUAUAAUUAAAUGAUUAGUAUCAAAUUUAUUUCUUUUUAAGAUAAACAAAACAAACUCUACUAAUACUAAUAGUAUUUUGAUCAAACCUGAAGCAAUGGUCAUUGUAAGUAUAUUUCCCACCAAAAUAAUAUAAAAGUAAACAAUAAUACCCUUAUUAACUAAGGACAAAAUAAAUUGGAGUUCAACUAUUUUUUUAUUUUAUCCAAAUUUACCAAAAGACAUAAUAACUCCAUUUUUUUUUCGAAUUUAAAGAUUCAAAUAUGACAAAUAUAUAAGAAUUUAUAUAAUUUAAAAUAAGAUAUAAAAAACAAUUUUUAAAAUUUUCUAUUAAUUUUUUUUACCUCAAAUAAGCACUUAAUUUUUUUUUAGAGCAUUUACUAUAAAAGAAUUUAAUUCUCACCUAAAUAGAAGUAAAAAAUAAUUAUUAUUAUUAUAAAUUAUUUAUCUAAAAUUAUAGUAUGAAAAUCUUAAUAAUUUUUUAUAUUGAUAUUAUUAUUUUAAAUUUUUAUUAUUAUUAUUAUUAUUAUUAUUAUUAUUAUUAUUAUUAUUAAUUUUAAUUCAAUUAAUUAAUUUAUAAAUUCCUAACUUAUGUGAAACUUUUAUUUUCUAAAUUUAUUUUUACGAAUCUUCUAUUUUCUUUAUUUAAUUAAACUAAAUUUCUUGGAAACCUAUUUCUUUUAUUAGUAGAACUAAACUUAUUACUAUUAUAAAUUUUAUUACAAUCAUUCAACAUGCUUAAUCCUAUUAGUAUUUUUAUUAUUCUUUAUUAUUACUAUUUCUAACACAUUCUUACUCACGCACAUUAUCAUGUAUCAAUCACUUUCCAUCCACUGUAAUUACGUAUCUCUUUCACUUUUCCUAUAGCUAUUUUUUUUUCUUUUUACUUUUUUUUUCUUAUUUUCAUAUUAAAUCCACCGCCAUUUUUUUGUCUAAACACCUACAAGCACGCGCAGAGUGGCCACCCAACCCAACUCAUUCCUUGCAUCAUCAUAUCAUAUGCACAUAAUGCAACGUCUCCUCAGAGGAUGAUGUUAAUUGUCAGUUGUCACUCAUCAUUUCAUACUUAAAUGCCAUUACAAAUAGAAUUAGUCCAAGAUCUUAUUGAAAAUCUAGUCUCUUCUAAAAGGGAGAAUUGUGUUUUGGGUCCAGCUGAGCCCAAAAAUUAAGAUAAGGUCUAUGUAAUUGACCUAAUUAAUGAUAAGGAUAUUAGAUGUUAACAGACGAAAAGACCCUUUACUUUUUCAACUCAAAUGGUUGUAAAUUAAUGGGUUUCACAACUGGUAAACUUGAAAUGUCAUGUCACCAGAGUGAAAAUUUUGAAUCUUCCUACCCCUUUCUCUCCCUUCGUAAACAACAUAUGCACAAACGAUGUCGACUAUGACUGUCCCCCAAUCGCUUUCUUCAACAGCCGAGGAUUGUGAGCAUUUCAGAAAAGCUUUUGUAAGUAUUUUAUCAUGAUCAUUCCCAAAUCCAAAUGACGGGGGUCUGAAUUAUUUGCUGAUAUUUUGAUUUGAUUAGGUUGAGGCGUUUAUAGGUAUUUUAUCAUCAUCGUCCAGAGUGAAUAAAUGGGUUUCGUCCAAACGGUGAGCUUUGGGGAAGAAUAUUGUUCGGUGAUGAUGCAAUUAAUCUGGAAUAGCUAUCCUUCGGAUCAAAAAUAUUUUGAAAGCAAAGAAGUUGGUCAACCUAACGAAACAGAGAAAAUGAAGAACUCCAAUGAAGAUAUAAACCGGCCACAACUGUGGUCGUGAUGAUGGCAGUGGCCCAACAACCUCGUGUGAAUAUGGAAAUAUGUUAAAUAGGGUAUAUGCCUUAUUGUUGGGUAAGUUUCCAUUUUAUAAAUUGAUGGCUUCCACCAACUGCUAUGUCCACCAAUUGACUACUCAUUGUUAGCAUAUCAAACAUCUAUGUAGUCCAUCAGCUUCAGUUUUAGUGGGUUGUGGGCCAUAUGGUGCACCAGUUGGACAAUGCAAAACCUCCGUUCUCUUUGAUGAGUCCAGACCUCUAAAAAGCCUCGAAUGUAACUAUUGUUCUGUGGCUGACAAACACUGGGCAAGGUGUAUAUGCAUAAGGUGUUGUGUUCCUUUGGAACAUUCUAGGUUAUUCCAUUUUUUACAUUUUUCCUUUUCGUUUUGUAUACCUUGACCUGGUUACAUGAUGCAUGCACAGUUAAUGCUACUUUUGGUCUUAUUGUCUUUCUAUGUGGCUGGAGACUUUUGUAAUCAGGCUUUAUAAGCUCUAGAGGCUUGGGGCUCAUAGAAACUAAUAUCAUGAGAUUAAUUUAGGAUCCACUCUCUCAGAAUCUCUCUUGCUCUUUGUGUUAGCUGUAAGUUCAUGACUAUUUCACAUUCUAUUAAAAAUUCUAUUAGCUAUCUUGAUUUUAUCAAAAUCAUUCUGCUUGAAUUCCUAAAUUUUCUUUUUGAAGAUUUUUCUUGUCUUAGCCCACUCCACCCAACUUUUCCUUUCUUGUUCUUUUGAUUAGUAUCUGAAACAAUUUUUAUUUCGUUGAUCAAUGUAUAUUCUUGCAACAAAUGAAUUAAAAAUUUAAUUUGUGCCCAAUUAGUUUGGUGUAAAUUUCAUCCACAUUUAUCUCAUGUAAUUUUAAUUGGAAAUAUUUGGUGUUUAUGGGAAUAAACAGGAAGCUUGAAAUUGCUAAUCAUUGGCAUUAAAUUGAAGCAGGUUUAGAAAUGAAAGUUCUGGAUCAGGAAAGAAUGGAUGAGAAGGAGAAUUGCGGACAGAAGAAAAUAAUGUCUCCCUGUUUGGCUCUGAAGAAUUGCUUGGAGGAGAAAAGGGUGACUACUCUAAAAGUCAGCCACAGUUAGAAGCAUUUUGGUCUUCUUUAGAGUUUCCUCGUAAAUUAUAGACAAUUGUUAAGCCUGGUGCCACAUGUGAUGUUUAAAAAGUUGUUCACUAGUUGAAUGGAACCCAUCUUUAGGCAUGUUUUUUAUUGAAUAAAAUAUAUGUUUGAAUAAUAAUUUGCCAUGCUUAACAUAUAAUCUUCUUCUGAAUUCUAGUUGGAAAGUUGGAAUUAGCUUCGAAUAGUUUCACAUUAAUGGACAAAUUGCUGUUUUUUUAAUUUUCUUGUAUUGUUAAAAAAGUAUAGGGAACAAAUUGAUACUUCAAUUUUUCCUUAUUUUAUUAACCAAAAGAUUGCAAACAUGAUUAACCUAUGCAUGAGCAGACAUUCAAUAGUGGUUGUAUGGAAUUUUUGUCUGUGUACAAGACAUUUACACUAAGUGUACAAGAUAUAUGUGCUUAAUGUACAAGGGUGUACAAAGGUACCUAUGUUGAAGUAUUUGCAAUCGUUUUAAAAUCAUGUCCAUUUUGAAAGGAUGAGGAACAUUCCCUCACACACAUUCCUUGAUCACGCACUCAUCCUGUUCAAUUUUAUUACUUCAUACAUGUUGAUUGGAUGACCAACCACAGUAAUGAUGAAUAGGAACCUAUAUUGGGUUUUACUUCCCCCUUUUCCCUUAGGCAUCACAUUGGAACAUGAUAGCUCACCCAUAUGCACGCUUUUAGUUUUAGGUAUGUCAAAUUUUUUCCAUUGUAUAAGACAUUUAAACUAAGUGUACAAUGCAAAUGUGCUAACUGUACAAGUGUGUACAAUGCUACCUAUGUUGAAGGAUUUCAAAUGGUUUUGAAUAAAUUGCUUGCUCAUUUAUUUUUUUUAAGGGGGACAUUCCUCAUAGUCAUUCCUCAUUUCCCUUCGUACACAUUCAUUGGAUGAGAUAACACACUUAUGAUGAAUAGGAACCUAAAUUGGGUUUCAUUUUCCCCCUUUUAAUUGAGCCAUGACAUUGGAAUGUGGUUAACCCGCCAAUAUGCACUAGUUCUAUUCUAGCUAGGUUGAAUUUUUGCAAUUGUACAAGGCAGUUACACCAAGUGUACAAGACCAAUUUACUAAAUGUACAUAGGUAUACAAGGGUGUCUAUCUUAGGGGAUUUCAAGUGAUUCUGAAGAACUUCCUAUCUUACUAUUUCCAAUCGUGGGGGACAUUUCUCGCACAUAUUGCUUGACAACACACUUAGUGCAUGCAUUUUAUUUGAUGUCUACUAUGUUAAUUCCUUCUAUUAGCUUCCCUAGUAAUGAUGAAUAUGAACCGAAAUUAGGGUAAAGUUUUUUUUCAUUUUCCUUAAUCCAUGAGAAUGGAAACAUUGGUUACCCACCCAUAUGCACUCGUUCGGUUGUGCCUAUGUGGGAUUUUGUGACUGUACAAGGCAUUUACACUAAGUGUACAGUGCAAAUGUGCUAACUGUACAACUGUGUACAAUGCUACCUAUGUUGAAGGAUUUCAAAUGCUUUUGAAAAAAUUGUUUGCUCAUUUUUUUUUCUAAGGGGGACAUUCCUCAUUUCCAUUUCUACACAUUCAUUGGAUGAGAUAGCGCGCUUGUGAUGAAUAGGAACCUAAAUUGUGUGUCAUUUUUCCCCUUUUCAAUGAGCCAUGACAUUGGAACGUGCUUAACCUGGCCAUAUGCACUAGUUCUGUUGUAUCUAGGUGGAAUUUCUGCAACUGUACAAGGCAUUUACACUAAGUGUACAAGGCCAAUGUACUAAAAGUACAAGGGUGUACAAAGGUGUCUAUCUUACUUUUUCAAAUCGUGGGGAACAUUUCUCACACAUAUUGCUUGAUAACACAUUCAUUACAUGCAUUUUAUUUGAUGUCUACCAUGUUAAUUCAUUCUAUUAGCUUCCUUAGUGAUGAUGAAUAUGAACCGAAAUUAGGGUAAACUUUUUUUGUCAUUUUCCCUAGUCCAUAGUAAUGGAAACAUUGGUUACCCACCCAUAUUCACUUGAAAAUAUGUACCUAUUAGGGAUUUGGUGACUGGACAAGGCAUUUACACUAAGUGUACAAAGCAAAUGUGCUAACUGUACAAGUGUGUACAAGGCUGCCUAUCUUGAAGGAUUUGAAAUGCUUUUGAAAAAAUUGCUUGCUCAUUUAUUUUUUCUAAGGGGGACAUUCCUCAUUUUCCUUUGUACACAUUCGUUGGAUGAGAUAGCACGCUUAUGAUGAAUAGGAACCUAAAUUUGGUGUCAUUUUUCCCCAACUCAGUGAGCCAUGACAUUGGAACGUGGUUAACUCGGCCAUAUGCACUAGUUCUGUUGUAUCGAGGUCAAAUUUCUACAACUGUACAAGGCAUUUACACUAAGUGUACAAGGUCAAUGUACUAAAAGUACAAGGGUGUACAUGGGUGUCUAUCUUACUUUUUCCAAUCGUGGGGAACAAUCCUCACACAUGUUGCUUGAUAACACACAAUUGCAUGCAUUUUAUUUAAUGUCUACCAUGUUCAUUCAUCCUAUUAGCUUCCCUAGUAAUGAUGCAUAUGAACCGAAAUUAGGGUAAAAUUUUUUUUCAUUUUCCCUAGUCCAUGGUAAUGGAAACAUUGGUUACCCACCCAUAUUCACUUGAAAAUAUGUACCUAUUAGGGAUUUGGUGAUUGGACAAGGCAUUUACACUAAGUGUACAAAGCAAAUGUGCUAACUGUACAAGUGUGUACAAGGCUGCCUAUCUUGAAGGAUUUGAAAUGCUUUUGAAAAAAUUGCUUGCUCAUUCCUCAACUGAAAUGAUAAUAACCUUUCAUUGAUUGAUAUCCACGUGGGCCCUCCUCAUGAUUGUCUUCAACCUGAUAAAGGGUAUGUGUUUUUUUUUUCCCUUAGUGAGAAAGCAAAUAAAGGCAUAAUAGAUAUAUGAGUGUGUUGGCUACUAAGUAGGUACUGGUUGGUGUUUGAUGAUGUUAAAAGCCUUUAUAAAGCAGCCUCUAGUAAGCACUGAUUUUGAGAUUUAAGUUCUUUUGAAUUUGAUCAUUUUUCCCUUUCUUUUCCAAGGUUUUUCUUUCCACCUUGGUUUUGUGAAGAAAGCUUGCAUUAUUGGAAUGAUUGUUAUUUAAUGUCGUUGCAGUUGCAAAUGACACAGCUAUUCACCAAAUCCCAACCUCUGUUUUGAAUCUGAGACAAGGUUAACAAUUCGUAUAGUUCAAGUUCUUCAUGGCCUUCUAGAGAGUGAGCAUGCAGCACAUGCAUAAGCAAACAAUAGGGCAAAAGCUCUUUCUGUUCAACUACAAUCCACACAAGGAAAACUUGAUUUACUUCAGCAACAAUUAACAUCAGUUUCUUUGAAUAAAACAGCAAUGGACGGUAAGCUCAACACUGCUUCCCAUGGAAAAUGUUUGAGAGUAGAUGACUUUGACCUGACUAUUGAAUCUGUUGAAGAUAUGGAUGGUAAUGAAAGAAUAACAAGAGAAAAUAAGAUGUCAACGAUCACAACUAGCCCUCUGAAGUUCACGCAGUCAGAAGAUGGUGUUUAAAUAUUUAAGGCCAACGAGGACAACAACAGCCAACAUACGAACCUAGAGGACUAUACAAAAUUCAUUGUGCUGAAACUUAUGAAAGAACUCACAAAACAUCAUUAUGGGGCUGAGCUGCUUCAGUUCAGGAAUCCCAACAAGAGAAACAUCUUGCUUUGUAUGAGAAACACGUGCUUUAAAAAUUGUAACCUGUCUAUAAUCUAACAAGAAUUGACUUGAUAGAUUAGCUUUUUAACCAAGUACUUAGUGCUGAAGAAGGUGUUUUGUGCUUGAACGGUGUCAUUCCCAUUAGUCCAAAAUUUUGGGAUGAUGAUCGCCAUUUUUCGAUGUGCUGAAUGAUUACUUUUAAGGUGUGGAGCUACUGCAUUCUGAGAAUGGUUAAUAAUAAUUUUUAAAAUCAUACAUAAUAAAUUUGAAAAUAAAGACUAAUAAUUUUCAAGUGAUUAUGGAUUAUUCUUGAGUUCCCCUUUUCUCUUGUCUGAACUUGCUAGUUCCCAAUACUAAAGUAGGAGUCCAGGGAUAAUUUCAACACAAAUAUUAACUAUAAGUCUCUGACAAACCUUAUUCUUAUUACCACCCAACUAACCUAAGGGCAAAGUGGGUUCUUAUUACCAAGCCAUGAGCAAUUUUGCCCACCAAAAAACCUAGGACAAAAAAGGGAAAAAGCCACACCAACAUGUAUGAUAACAAAUAAGAGCAACCAUACACUCUAUUAGGCAUAGACAUCUAGGUUAGUGUGGAGGUACUCUUCCACAACCUUGUACAUCCCCAUGGCCUUGUCUUUGCCGGUCUUGAUGUCCUCGUCCUUGAGCUCAAUAUUUGAGUGAUAAUGGCUAGUCAUCUUGCACAUAGAGCCUGAGCCCGAUGCCUUGAACUUUACCUCGUUUGAAAUGGCCUUGUUUUUACACUCUUAAUUGCCUAAAUUUCCUUUCUAAGAGGCUUCAUUUUCCAAUUCUAUUUCCUUUCACACCUUCAAUGGGAAUUUAGGAGACAACUUUUAGUAUUGUGUCUUAGUUUGAUUGAAGGUAAAAUUGAAACCCAUAACAACCCUGACUUGUUUGAACCCCAUGUCAGAAAAAGUAAAAAGAAAAACAACAAAGUGUAUAGAUUCUUCAAAUAGAUGUAUCUGUAAUUGAAACAAAACAGGUGGAACACACCCGUGAACUCACCAUUAACAUUACAAGCAACUAGAAUUAUUGCUGCCUUGAACUAGAUAUCAUAGAGAACACCAAAAGAAAAUAUCUAUAUAUAAAACAUAAAAUCUUUGAGUAAUCACAAUGCUACUUUCUAUUCCUAAUUUUCCGCUUCCCAUCUGUGGGAACUGGGUGCCUUCCAUUCCUGUGCUGUAGGGUCCCAACCCCAUUUGAUAGUUUCCAUGAUGGUGAAGGGCCCACGGUAGAAUUCAAAUUCCUGCAGGAAAAUUUUGAGAACAUUUUGUCAGUAUACAUGGGAACUUACUAGGUAACAAUAGUUGAAAUGAGAAAUAAAUCAGUUUGCAUUACCUUAGUUCUGGACUAUUUGCUGGCUUUGUAUUAGGUUUCUUGAUUUUUGACUCAAUCCCAUUAAUCAUGCAAAUUAUAUUUGCAUUAUUGAAUUGCCAAAGCAAAACGGCAUCAGAAGAAGCACUGAUGGCAGCAUCCUCAUGCAAAUCAUCAUUAUUAGCAAUGUCAUAACGAUUGUUUUCCAUGAAUAUGUUAUAUGAUUGAUCCGGGAAUAGCUUUGAAGAAUUUGAAAUAAGUUUUUGGUAGAAAGCAUCAGGCAAGUUCCUAUUCUCUGUUUCCCAACAUCCUAAAGGGUUUGGAACUCUAGGUACAACAUCUUGCUUAUUCACCAUAACCAUAUAUACCCACUAACUAGAGCCAAUGUCUUUGUCGUCCUCCAAAUAAUUUUGCACAUUACUAUUGACUGGAGGCCAAGGAGGUGAUUUCCCUAGUAACUCCUUAAGAUCAAAGCUUUGGUUCUUUUGCCUCAUCAUGGAAUUGCUGCGUGCCUACAUAAUCAGAACAUCAAACUUGAAUUCUGGUUUCACAAAGACUUGGAUGCAUAAUAAUCAGUCAACUAAAAUAAAGCCAUUGUUUGACAUCUACCUAGACCACAUCUAUGUGGAACCUAAUCAUACAUGAACUAGAAAUUACUUUUUAUGAAAAUUUCCAAUGAAUGUGAUAUAAUACAUAGUUUAUGAUCAUCUUCAAACUUAGGCAUGGCGUGUCAUGAUUAUCAAGAAAUAAAGGUUCCCUCACCAUCAUCAAUUUGCUAUCAUUCAAGUUUAAAUACACUUAUGUUAUUAUUCAAAGCUAAAUAUCAAUGAUUGGGGUAAAGAAAGAGGAAUAUCUCAUCAUGAUUAAAAAAAUAUUUACCUCGAUGUUGCUUGCAUCCCACAUUGGUUGCCUGCAACUAUUUUGAUCAUCUAACAUAUCUCCAGCCCGCUUGUUACAAUGAAAAGGUGAUAAAUCACUGGUUUUUGUUAUGUAUCUUUCAGAACUGUUUGUUUUGGUUCUCCUUUUUCCUUGCCAGAGCUGCCUUUAGAGUAGCAAUCUGAAAUAAUAGUUCAAAGUUUUCAGAAGAAUAAAUAAGAAUUGAGAAGAAUGAUAAAUAAUGAGAGCAUUCAGAACCUGUUCUUUCAGCUCUUUCACAUCUACACUAUCCUUGUUUACACGAGUAGCACUAAGUUCUACCGUGGCAAAUUGCUCUGCAAAUUUAACUGUGCUAAUUGUUUCUCCAUCCGCAUCCAGUUCAGGGCUAAUGUGAACAAACAUUAGUGUCUUAGCUUGCCCCCUUAAAGAGAAUUACAAUCUAAAAGCCAUAUUAUAAUUUUAAAAAUAAAAUUAAAGAAAACAGAAUCAAAUAUGAAGUUCAUACUCUGAAAAUACAUUAGUUUAUUCUUACCAAGUGAGUCUUGAAGAAGUUCUGUUAGUUUACUAUUCCUAUAAGGGACAUGUGGACUCUUCUGGGCAAGGGAAGAGAUGACAUCCCCUAGAGCAGAGAGAGAUCUGUUAAUAUGAUGUUCCUCCUUUAGUCUAUCUCCAGUGACCUCAGAUUUGUCUACUCUCCCACUGUCGGCCAGAUCAACAAGAUGCAUACAGCCAUGAAGAAUAGUUCCUGACAUCAAGUCUCUUCCCUGAACAUGAACAGUUAGGCAUAUGCAAGUUGAUUGAAAAUCAAGUGAGCAAAACCAAUAGAGAUUACUAAAAGAGUAUUCCUAGAUAAAUAUAUAAAGGAAUAUGAUCAUACCUAUGAGAGCAACUAUUAUGGUUUCAUAUGUUCACAAGUGGUAGAGAACCAGGGUUUUAAUUUCUAUGCAAUUUUGAAAAUUCAUUCUAAUAAUAUUUAAUUCUCCCUGUUUACUUACAAUGCAAUGACAAUCAACUUAAGUCAAAAAGCAGUCAAACUCCUACUAAUCCCAUAAUCCCAGUGUUCAUUUCCGCAUGUGGCACCAUAAAAAAACAUUUAAAGAAGUACGUUUGUCCACCAUAAAUUACAUACAAAUGUGCUAACUUUAUACAGUCUCGUCACAAAUUACAAUCCCCAUUAAUCCAUUCAGACACGGUCUUGGUGUGCAUUUUGUGCUGAAAACAACAUACUCCCCAUAAUCUUCAACCUAUAAUGUUUCAAUUUCCCCUGCAUUCAUUCAAGUUGAUAGCAACAAAUCAGCAAAUUAAUUAAUUAGGCUUUUGUAACUAUUUUAACAUUAAUGAGAUAGUCAUAGAUAAUUCCUCCUAUGUACCACAUCGAUUGAUUUGGAGAACCUGCCCAUUGACCACAACUCCAUGAAUUUCAUUACAAAAACUCCGCAAUCGUGCCUACGUCAAUAUCAUUAUCAAAACGUUAUUAAGUAUGGAAUUAUAAAUAAGAGAGGAACUUAAAAUAAGUUGCAAUCCAUUUUAACAUCAUCCCGGACUGCAAGGUCAAUACUCACUCAUUAGGUUGGAGAGGUACAUCAGGUGUUAGGAAAUUGAAUGUCCUCAAAUCAUAAGGUGAUACCUCUUUUUUUUUUGUGCAGCCAACCAUAGGACAACCUUAGCCUGAAACAUUUAUUAACACAACAAUUGAAAUUUUUAUGGGAAGACAUACUUAACAAAUUAUUAGUUGUUACUUGUUACUUUACCAAAUUUUGUUGAAUUCCACUCAAAGUUGUCUUCUUCCUACCAGGACAAGAAUCUAGCAAUUGGAUUCUCUUGUUUGAUAGGUCAUAUAUGCACAGUGUCCAAUGGUUCUUUAUGAGAACCGGUAAGAAGACCUACACCAAUAGACUGCCAUUAAACAUACAUUUAAAUAUUGUACCUUCAUGCAAUAAAAAUACAAAUCCAAGCAUUAAACACAGGAAUCCACCUUGUUAACAUUGACAUAUGGAAUAUCCAUCUGAUACACAUGUGGUUCAAAGCGUCCUAUAACUGCCUCCCUCACUAAGUGUUUUGCCUAGGAGUGGAUUACCAUUUCCUGCAUAUCAAAUAGGGGAUAACAUCAGGUUUGUCAUUGUAGGUAAUGCCUGGUUCAAGACAUGAAAUAAAGUUAAGCAAUGAUUUAAUGGAAUAGUCAUCAUUACAGCUAUGUAGGGGGAUAGAAACAGUUUCGUCUUCGGUUUAUGUUCAUACUGCAACAAUCUACAGUAGGCAUCGACGACCUGAUUUUGUAGAUCAUAAAAGUGUAAGCAACUAAUUAUAUUAAAGCCACACUUUCACUUUCAAACUUAAAAUAAUGCAUAAAGAGGGAUAAGAAGUCAUAUGCACGUCGUUCCCUAUCCAACCAUUCCCUUCGAAACAGCCCAAAUUGCCUCUGGUUAGGAUAGUGUCAUGCAUAGACACUAGUUCCUCACUAUUGCAAACACAUACAAUUUAGUUUUUGUGUUAUCACUAUCAUACAAUGAGAUGAGUGUCUCUGAAGUAUGUUACCUAGCAUCCAAAUCCUCUCUAAAUACCAGUGCAGCUGCUUGUUUUAAGUCCAUUCUGAUGGCAGAUUGUUUAGUUUGUGGUUGGGAUAUGUAUGGGGACAACAGGUUUGGAGCCAUUCAACGCACUCGUCGUCUCUAGACGUUCCUAUUUGUGGGGACAACAUUACCUUUUGGUUCUUCUUCACCAUCUGCAAUACGAGAUUUAGAACUAGUCAGCAAAGGUAUACAUUAUGAUUGAGUACUUGAGUUGUUAACCAUAUGGGUGUUUGCAUAAAUUUUAUCACUUACCGCUUACUACAUUAAUGGGUACACUGGGCUGCAACUCAAACUCAGGGGCAACAACGCGAUCUGGUGUGUCUAUCACAUGGUCUGCAGCAUGUGAAGCCAUGUACUCAUCACCAAGAAAUGCAUGGUCAUCGACUGUGGGAGUGUUGGCUGGUGCAUCGCCAGAGUGACCACCAGCAUCUGAAUUUACCCCACUAUGUCUUCGAGCCCCUAACUUAUGCAUAAGGCCACGCAUUAUUCUCAGCUGCUACUGAAUGCCCCAUUGAUAUUGGUCGAUUGCUCGUUCCGCAUCAUGAUAUUGAUGUCAUUUUUCCUAUCACAUGAUAUUGAUGUCAAUCUUUGAGCACAAAAUAUCACAACAACAUAUUUCUUUAUAGUUAAGAAUCAAAAAUAAAUUACAAUGACAAUGAAAUGAACAUUUAUUAAUUUUUUUAAAAAUUAACAGCUUACAUCACUAUUUUCAGCAUCAACAUUUGUGUCAUGGUCCACAUUAGUCUCUACCUCCAUAGUUCUUUCUACAGUUGGAGAUCUCUAGGACGCCUAUAAUUAGCAUUGAAGAUUAGUAAUUAAAUAAUGAGUGUUAUGCUAGUAAUGACAAUAUAUUUAUGCAUGCAUCACUUACAAAAUCAACCUCAGCAUGUCCGAAUGCUCCAAACUCCUUUAUCUUAACGACUAGUCGCCGCUUAAUCAAAUCAUCAGUCCAUGUCAAUGCUAGGGGCACUAUAAUGGGGACUUGAACUGAAGGAAUUUGGAAUUUAAUGACAUAAUGCAGCUGCAUAAUAAAUACAAACAUCAGUAGGCAAAUGUUACUUAGUUGUGCAAUAAAAUUAUAUAAAAAAAUGGAAGACAAAUACUGAAUAAGUUCAUUACCUGUAGAAAUAAAACACAGCCAUGUACCCAAGAGGUGUUAGACUGUUGGUAUCGCCUAAUUCCCUUAACCAGUUGGUCAAGCACAAACUAGGCCCAAUUAACGUCAUUUCAGAAUCCAUCCUCAUGGAUGGUAUGCCACAAGUUACGGCAACCAUUGAGCCUAGACGUGGGGGCCAACAAUGUGGCACAUGCGUAGUAAAUGAAUGCUCUACGAAACUCCUCGCCUACAGGUAAGUUCAGGAGUUUCUCCUUGCAUGCCCGAAUAGUCCUAAAUGGAUGCUCUGAUGAUGUAAAGGUCACCUGCAGAAUCCGCCCUUCUGUUGGGAGGCCGAAAAUGAGGCCAACAUUGAUGGCUGUAACAGGAUAGUGUUUCUAAGCUGAGAACUCUAUCCGUCUAAAUCCAACAUUGAAAUGUUGGAUUAGAAAGAUACAGAUGUUGUGGCGCACCUCUGUGCAAUUUAAGUUUAAGAGACCUCCAAAUUGGAGGUCUCUUAUGGCUUGUAUUUUUUCCUCUGGUAAACGGUUGCAGAGUUUCUUAAAUCGUGCAGUUGAGCAUCGUGUAAACAUUGAUGGGCCCUGCAUGCAAUGUUUGACAACAUGGCCAUGUUAGGAAUAGCAACAUCAUUGCAGUUGGUAAUGCAAAAAAUAAGUGAAAAAGUAAAGAUGUCAUUUCUCAUAGUUACAAAGACUUGUUUGCUUGUAUUUAGAAAUAAUAUACAGCAGGGUAAGACAUGAGAUGGGGUUAGGUGCUAUUGACAGUGAGAUAUCCUAUAAGAGAGAGGAUUGUUAGUUUAUGAAUAAGCUUAUAUAGAAUAGACAAUAACAGUAAAACUGUACAGAAUAGACUAUAAAAGUACAAAAAUAAAUAUGGGAAUAUUACAUGAUAUAUAAAAGAAGGAAAUCAAGUCAAUUUAUGGAAAUAAAUUGACUAAUUCUAUUAGAGAAAGAAACCAUAAACAAAUCAAUGAAUAAUCCUAUUUAAUUCCCAUUUAGAUUGUAAGACAACUUGAUAGAACCAAAAUCAUUGGUAAUGAAUUUGUGAUCUUCAACAACAAUGAACAAAUGGAGUAAACAGAAAAUGCUAUGGAAAAGUAGAUUUCUUUCAUUGCCUUAACAUGGUUACAAUAAAAUGCUUGAGAAGGUGGAAAUAAAAGCUCACUAACUCAAAGGCCUUUUCUUCGUAUUCCCUCGCACACACUAGGUUUUGUGUCAGGAAUAAUCUUUGCAAUAAUUGUAUUCCCCCAAGUGUUUUCCACUAUACCUAACAACAUACUGGUUGCUAAGGGCCUUGCAUUCAUGGAUGUGAGCAAGGAAAAAAACUUAAAGAGAUCUCUUUGUUUUCCCUGUUCUUUUCAUUCUUCUGGCUAUUUAAAAGGGGUCUAACCUGCUCCUUUUGAUACUUCUGACAGACACAAAAUCUUGAGGAACUACUAGAGCAAGCACUUUGCUAUUGCCAUUGAACAUGGACAAGGUUUGGAAUCCAAGCUUCCGUUGAGAGUAUUCCCACAUGGUAAUUACUAUCAUUGAAUAAUUGUACACUAUCUUCUAAUACCAUGAAUCAUGUGUUCGGCCGAAGUUAAUUCAUACCUAAGUUGUUAGCUGAGUGAGGAUCCAUGGGAAAAUAAAUGAAAACUAGGACUCUAAAUCUAAACUUCUGAAAGUUUUGAGGCUUGAAUCUGAUUCACUGGGCAUAAUAAUCUAAAAUUUGCAAAAUAGAGGAAGUGGUCAUUUCAAAUUAGGUACUGAUACAAUAUGAACUGCUACUACAUAAUUUUUUGUAGAAUAGUAAACAAAGAGUAUCUUUGCCCUUGAAAACAAGAAUAAAUAAGGUGAAUCCAUGAGUCUUGGAGAAUUAAAUGAAUGAAGAGGAGUUUGGAAACCAUAAACUCCAACUGGUAGAUGGCCAAUACAACAAGAACAUCAACUAAGGUAAUAAACAUCAAACAUAGUUUCAAGUAGAGGUUAUGACACUGCUUGUUACACUUGAAACUUCAUCAGCAGUUCUCCUUCAUUACCACAACAGUUUAACUAGCAUUAAGUUAUGUUUUAUGCCAAUGCAUCAGUCUUAAAACCAAAACAUAGUUCACAACAUACACUUAUAAUAUCCUGCUUAAUUACAAGUUUUUUGUUUGCCUAAGAAAUCAAAAUUUUAAUAUCAGGCAGGACUCGACUAGAGUUUCAACAGCUUGGUUGCAUACCCAUUUACAGAUGCCAAAUUAUUAGAUAUUUGAGAAUAUUCUGAGGCUUUAAUUUCAAGACUUAAACUUCAAGAAUUACAAAAAUCUUUAGAGAGAGAGGACUUAAUUAUUUGGACAAUAUUUACAACAACAAUAAUAAUCAUCAUCAUCAUGAAGAUUGAUGUUUCAGUUCUAAUGUUUCAGUCAGUUCAUGCACCAAAUCUUCUAUCAAUUUCACAUGGAGCCGACCUAUUCAUCCACAUUCACAUUUGGUUGAGCGAGAUAUUGGUCCAACACAUUAAAAUACUGCCCCAAAAGGAGAAUUUCUGCCUUAUCGCCCUGGAAUCCCAACUAUUUAAUUGAAUUUUUUUUGAGGUACAAGUCAAGAAAACUUCUGCAAGGGAUUACAAUCAUAUGUGCCAGAUUUUCACAGAGAGCACCAUUUCAUAUGUUUUAAAGGCUGGAUAUACAGUUGAGAGAAUUAGAGUGCGUUUGGAAAUGUUUUUUCUCGAAGUGUAAUUAAAUAAAAAGUUUUCCUUUCUCAUAGAUUAAAAACAUAAAAUAUGAAAUUUUUGAUAAAAUGGAAACCACUAUUUGGGGUGGGUAAGAAUAGCUAAGAGAUUGUAUGCAACAAAAAUCAUGAAGUUAGCUCAAAAUGGGAAUGAAAUUUUUAUUCCAUUAUAGAGUAUUAAGUGCAACCAAAUAUUGAAAUGAAUCUUUGUUAAGAUUUUCUAGAUACCAUUCCAUUCUUAGCAAAGGAACAGUCUUAUUAAUUCUAAAGUAAGUGUUAAGUACCUAAAGGAGAACAAAAAUAAUAUAAAAGAAAAAAAUUUUAAGAAAAUAAAUUGUAAACAUUUAUUUAUCUUCUUUUCCUUGAUUUUCUUAGCAAUCAAAUAAGAAAACAAUUUUAUAAAGUUAGAAAUAGAAAAUAUGAAAUUAAUAAAAUUGAAAACAUUAUUUAGAGGUGGAAUGAGAAAAACUUAGAGAUGUUGAUGAAAUAAAAAUAAUGAAUUAAAUUAACAUAAAAUUGGAAUGAAAUGUUCAUUGCAAUUCAACUUAUUAAAGUACAACAAAUAUUAGAAUGAAUAUUCAUUACCAUUCUAUAACUAGGAAACAAACACAAGACGAACUGAAUGCCUCAAGCAACAUCAACUAUCCAUUAGUUUGAUUUCCAGAAACUAGAAAUCCAAGAUUCACCUAGGAAAGUGUAAGAAGUGAUCUGAAGUAAAUAGAAAUCUUUAGUGCCAGUUAGAAAGUGAGGCUACUAGAUUAGCAGUAAUCUCUAUAUCUGAGCAGCUCUUGACAGUGAACCGAAGUUGAGCGUAAAAAAUAACUCUUGGUCCGUAUAGAAAAUCAAAUUUCAUUUUUUCACUCAAAUAAGCUAAACAAAGGCCAAAGAGGAAAAUAAACACAAUCAAAUUUCAUUCAUUUGGAGAUUUAAAAUUUGGGGAAAGAGACUCACUUCCUAGGGUUAUUUAUCAUUAGUCUCUGACAUGCAAUUUUGAUUCGAGUAUGGCAAGGAUUUCGGUGAGCGAGUUGGUUGUUCAUCAGCAAUCUAGUUGCUGACUCAGCUCCUAAGGUUUUAUGCCUUUGGAAGAAGAGUUCAAUGGCCAUCACUAGCAACGUCUCUCAACAUUGAGGGUUGAAAAGAGUGAAUAGAAGAAAAAUGUCAAACAAUUAGUAAGAAAACAAAAUCACAAGUCAUUUGAAGAUUCUCACCAGUGGGUUCUUAAUAGUUUAAAGUAAGGAAGUGGCUCUUAGUGGGUUAUUGGCUAAAACUGGGGCUACCUAGUAAAACCUGUUGAACCGAUUCCAAACCGGUUCAACCGAUUGAGAAAAAUUCUAAAAUUUAACAAAAGAUUCCUCGAAGAAUAAGGAAUCCAACAAAACAAAAAAAACAGCGCUCAAUUUCGAGCUUGGAUGAGGGAGAACCGGUCAAAACAAUGCAAUGUGUUUAUAAAACGGGGCUGCUUAGCAAAACCUGUUUAACCGGUUCCCAAACGGUCCAACCGAUUGAGAAAAAUUCUAAAAAUUUACCAGAAGAUUCCUCGAAGAAUAAAUAAUCCAACAAAAAAACGACACUCAAUUCUGAGCUCGAAUGAGGGAGAAUCGACUAAAACAAUGCAAUGUGUUUAUAAAACGAGGCUGCCUAGCAGAACCUAUUGAACUGGCUCCCAACCGAUUCAACUGAUUGAGAAAAUUUUUGAAACUUUACUAGAAGAUUCCUCGAAGAAUAAGGAAUCCAAAAAAAAAUGAAUCUCAAUUCCGAGCCUGGAUGGGGGAGAACCGGCCGAAACAAUGCAAUGUGUUUAUAAAAUGGGGUUGCCUAGCAGAACCUGCUGAAUCGGUUCCCAACCAGUACAAUCAAUUAAGAAAAAUUAUGAAACUUUACCAAUAGAUUCCUAAAAAGAAUAAGGAAUCCAACAAAAAAAACGACGCUCAAUUCCAAGCCCGGAUGAGGGAGAAUCGGCUGAAACAAUGCAAUGUGUUUAUAAAAUGGGGUUGCCUAGCAGAACCUAUUGAACCGGUUCCUAACCGGUACAACCGAUUGAGAAAAAUUCUGAAACUUUACAAGUAGAUUCUCAACCGACAAAACAGCCUCCAUACCAUACACUAAAGAGUAAGGUGUAGCUCCUAUGGAGGUGCGAAAAGAGGUACAGUAUGCCCACAAUGCAAAAGGAAGUUUCUCUGACUAAUCUCGAGAAGUUUCAGUCAUCAUCCUGAAAAUUCUCUUAAUAUUCUUAUUCGCAGCCUCUACUGCCCUGUUGGUCUGUGGCCUAUAUGCUGAAGAUCUAUGAUGUCGGAUGUCAUACUUUUGCAACAAAGUAUCUACCUCAACUGGGAAGUGCACCCCUCUAUCUGAAAUUAAUUCAUGGGGAACCCCAUAGCGGCAAAUGAUGUGUGACCUGAUGAAACUAGCAACCCUAGCAAAUGUCAAAGAAUAAGGAAUCCAAAAAAAAAAAAAAAAAAACGGCGCUCAAUUCCGAGCUCGGAUGAGGGAGAACCGGCCAAAACAAUGCAAUGUGUUCCUUGUAGAAGGCCAAACCCGAACCACCCAACCUUAUUAAAACUAAGGCCACGGAUCUCAUUAAACAACCAACAAUGCAGCCUCCCUGAACUCAAGAAACCCAACUGGAAAUUCAGCCACACAGACAUCCACAUGCGGCCACCUAAAUCUCCUGAAACCAAACUGAAAUUUCAUUCACUUGAAGCCUUCCACCUACAGCUACUUAAAUCCCAUGGAACAAACUGAAAUUUCAGCCUCCUAUAGCCUAUGAAUCCAGUUGAAAUUCAGCCACCUAUAGCCCCCUCUCCCCAAUACAACUACUGGAAUCACCAAGAAGCAAACCGAAAUUUCAGCCACAUGGGGCCUCUACAUAUAGCCACAAGACCCAGGGUUUAAGUCCAGAUUAUUGAUGGGUAGCCCCAAAUUUAAAAAACAGAGAAGGUCAUGGAGACCCUUUCUCAAUACAAAGCAAAGGAGGUUUCAAGAAAAACCAAGUGGCAGAAAUGCCCAUACCAACAUAGCCACCUGAAUCUAGCAUUUAAGAAGUUCCUCAAUCCAAAGCUACAAGGCCAUAAGAAUCCUUCCCUUAACAAUCAAAAGGUCACAAUGACCUUCAACCAAAACCAAAACUAAUGAAGGCAGUGACCCUAUUACUCACACAUCAAAAGUAGGUCACACACCCCCCAAUUCUUUAUCAGAACCAACCCAAAAUGAGACAUCCACAACUAACAUAAAAAAUGAAACAUGCAAUAGUUACAUAUCAAGAGCAUCCAUAAAGCUUACCAGAUUGUUCUCCCCUCAAGCAGAAAUUUGCUUGGCUUCAAGGCCGUCUUUCCUUCAAGUUCUCACCAAUCAAGAGCUCCUUACUCUCUUCCCUCUUUGCUCACUUCACGUGCACCCAAAACUUUCUUAAAUGCUCAAAACCUUCUCCACACUCUGUUCUUUUCCCUCACCAAACUUGGACAAAGUUUUGUCCCUUAGAAAAAAAUGCAAAGGAAAAGGUCCUUCUCUAUUUCCAUUUUGCCUUUUUAUACCAGAACCCCUGCUCCUCCCACUUCCACCUUCGUUUUUCCCUCUUUUAGCUCUGGAAAGUGCCCCCAUCAACCUCGGAAUCCAUCUCCAUAAACACUCCUCACAGUCACGAGGUGAGCUGUUCUCUCCACAUUUACUCCAUUGCUUCACCACCAAGAAUCCAUAUGGAUUCAUGGUGGGCUAUAAGGAACCUAAACCAAGGCUCAAAAUGGACCCAAAAUAUUUCCCAAGACCGAUUUGGAGCUUAUGGGCCCUAGUCAUGUAGGAUUUGGGCCCCAAAAUCAGUGCUCUAUACAAGUUGGCCCAACGAAUUGGUUGAACCAGUUGAUAAAAAAAUUGAAAUUUUGACAGAAUAUUCCUUGAAGAACAAGGAGUCCAUAAAAAAAAUGGUGUGUGAUUCUGAGUUCGGAUGAGGAAGAUAUGAUCGAAACAAGCUCAAGUGCUCCGUAUUCGAACCUGCUCCUAUGAACUCUGGCUAAACUAAAGAUUUGGGGAGAUCUCACUUCCUUCUUUUAGCAUGAUGUGAAAAACUAAGGAAUUGGUCAUGACAACACUCCAAAAUGAACUACACACUCACACUACAUUGGANNNNNNNNNNNNNNNNNNNNNNNNNNNNNNNNNNNNNNNNNNNNNNNNNNNNNNNNNNNNNNNNNNNNNNNNNNNNNNNNNNNNNNNNNNNNNNNNNNNNUGACAACACUCCAAAAUGAACUACACACUCACACUACAUUGGACCGCAGAUGAACCUACACAAGGCUCGAAAAUCGAUCAAGCCCAAAAGGGGGUCAUGGUGGUGCCAUAAGGAAAAAAUUGGGUGCAUGUGACAUCCCUAAGAUAAAUGCAAGUGUCGAAGGACAAAAUUGAGGGUCUACAGUAUUACAUUUUUCAAAGAGAUUAUGGAUGUCAUGGAAAACUCUUUAAAGAUCUCAAAUUUAUCAAAUAAUCAAUGGCUCGAUGAUAAUACACUGUUGUUGAUUCCAAGAUUUUCAAAUCCGAGUGGGCUGAUGGUGACUCACAAAACUGUUCUUCAAUUCUGUGGUUCAAAUUAGUGGACUUCUUUAAACCACCUUUCAAAUUGGACAGUUGCAUAGAGGACAAAACUGCUUUUGAUGGAUUUAAAGCUCUUCAAAUCCAUGAACUUCAAAGGUUUUUAGAUUCGUCCUCAAAGCCUAUAUAAGGCCCCUAUUUCUCUUUAGAAGGCAUCAACAUUUUAGUAGGAAAAUUGAGAGCAAACAAGUGAGAUAUCCUCUUGAGUGAAUGACCUUGUAAUUGAGAAAACUCAAAACUCUCAAAGUGUUUGUAAGGCAAUGUUUGGGCCUCAAAUGAAAUGGUAGCAAGGGAGAAAAUCAGGAAAGAGAAAAACAACCAAUGUCUAGGGCUAAAACCAAAUGCUUUGGAGGUAGUAAAAUUAGGGUAGGAUACGUGGAAUUCCAACUUAGAUUUUUGUGAUUUUGUUUUUUCAUAAUCAGUAAAGGCCAUUUUCGAAAAUAUUAAAAAUUCAUAUUCUUCUUCUCAAUUUUGACACUUCCUUUAGGUCUUAGGCUUAAAUGACGAGAACUUAUAUGGACCAAAGAUUAAUUUUUGGGCCUAGCUGGAUCCAAAACACAAUUCUCCCUAUAUUAUGUACACCUGAAACAUUUUUCAAAUUAAUUUUAUGAACUAAUUUUGAAAUAUAUCUUCAUAGCAUCUACACAAAGCAUAUAUAUUGUGUAUGUACUAUUAAUAAAAAUUUGUUUACAUGAAAUUAAAAAUAAUCAUGUUUUAAAAUAAAUAAAAAAAUUAUAUAUGAAAACCUAAGAAUAUACUAUUAUUUCAAUAGAGAUAAAAUUGUUAAAAUACUAAUAAAUUAAAUAUCUUAAAUUGAUAAAUUAUAUGAAUAAAUAAGAAAAGAAAAAAAAAAUAUAAAAAAACAACAUGCAAACAUGUGAAACUAAAAAGUUCAAAGGCAUGAAAUUCAAUAUGGCAAAAAUUCAAAAAAAUGGAACCACAUUUGCAUUUUUAACUUCAUACAUUUACAUUUAUUUUAUUUUAUUUUAAGUUUGUCUUAUUUAUAUGUUAUACAACUCUAUUAUUUUUAAAUUAUUAAUUUAUUGAUAAAUAAAAUAGUAAUUAUUAUUAUUAUCAAUUUAUUUUUGUUUAAGUAAUACUAGAUCCUUAAGUUUACAUGUAUAAUAUUUUUAUCAUUAAAGUAUAUAUUUUUAAUUUCAAUAAUAAUUUUUAAAAGCACUGAAACUUCAAUAGUGAAGUCUUAUUUGGCAAUUACAACAUUAUAAAAAUGAAUUCACAUCUGGCAAUUGAGGUUUUAACUUAAAUUUUUUUUAUAAAAAUGAUAACAUGGGUCCUCCAUGUCAACAAAAGGGGCAUUUUAGACAAAAGUUUAGGAAAGUGGUUAAAAUAAAAUUUUCCCCAUAAUAGGGCUAUUUUGGCCCAAAACACUUCAGAAAAAAAAAAAAAACUCCUAAAGUUUUUGUUCCUUUCUCAUUCUCAUUAAUGUCUAAUAUUGGAGCGAAAACAAAUGAUUAUUAAAACCUUAUAGUCCUAGGUACAUUCAAGCACAAGAAUCAAAAUCAUCAAAUCCAUUCCUAUUAAAAAAAAAUUGGGAUGAAAACAUAAUAUUGAUUCUCUUUCCCCAUUUUUAUGUACCAAACAUGGCCUAAACAUGUGAGAUAAAGAAAAUGAUCAAGCUUCUUUAUUAUACAUGCUUUCUUAAAAGAAAAAAAAAAAGUAGGCAUUAAUUUUAUGCAUUGGUAAUGAUCAAAUUGAACCUAAAUAAAUCAAGUUUUAGGCAAACAUCUAAAUAAACUUGACUUUAUUAGCACAAACAUGAAAAUAUUUAAUAUGGGUUUAUAUAUCCAUGUGUAACAUGAUUGAAUUCUAUUCAAAUGUGUAAAAAUAAAUAAUUAAAUAAUUACAUACCUUUUUUUCCGACUUUGCUCAUGCCAUUAAGAUUUUUCACCCACGAAAAACAACCUAUAUUACAAAAAAUGAAACAAGAUGAGCAACAUUUUUAAUGCUAAAGCAAAUGUUAAAAUUAUAAAAUUAUUAUCAUUGGACACAUACUUUUUUAAACAUAUGAGCAAGCUAAUUGAAAAUAAUAAAUAUAAAAAACAAAGAUUUUUUAUAAUGCUUAUAAAUAAGUUAAAACAACAAAUAAAAAAAAUAUUAAUAUACUAAAAAAUCCAAGUUUAUGAAAGGUAUUAAGAAUCCAGUGUAUAAGUUGAACAAUUAAAUAGGAAUUUAAAAUUAAAAUAUUAUACCUUAAAUUGGAAAUAGCUAGAUACUUGGUGUUUAUCAGAAUCUUAUCUCUACCCUAUACAGAUCAUAAACAAAUUAAAGAAAAAAAAUAAAAUUAGAAGGAAAAAUAUACUAUAAGGCAUAUUUAUUUCGAGCCCAUCGAAAUACUGAGAGCAACCACUUUACAAAAUUGUAUUCAUGUCAUGUAACUCACUGUUUUUUCUCAAAAAAAGUUUUUUUUUUUUAUGAAAAAAAAAAAAAACAUACCUAAACUGUUGAUUGUCUUGAAGUAAUUCAAAGAAUAGCCCUCGAUGUAUCAUAAAUUCACAUUAAACCACAAAAUCAAAAGAUUGUAAAGCUAAGAAUAUAUAUACCUCCAGGGGAAGGAGCCAUUGAUGUUGAAAGCUUGUUCUUCAAAAGAGCUUUAAGAUGUGAUUGUAAAGCUAAGAAUAUAAAUUCACACUAAACGACCUUUCUCUGCAUCCAAUGUUUUGAUCCCCUCUCAAACAUUAACGCUAACCACUACCUCGGUAUAUGCUUCGGAUUUUUUCCAAGAAAGAAUGAAAGAGAGAUGCUUCUGAGAGGAGAGAGAGAGGACACAUUUGUAAAGUGGACGUAAUACAACCUCUACCAUUAUGGGAAAUGACACAUUUGUAGUAUCGGGGUUUGUGGUAUUGGAACUUUCAGAUAAGGAAUUUGAAAAUUUUUAAAUAUAUAAUUAAAAAAAAAAUAGUCGAAUAAGAAAGUCCUUUCAAUAUGAUCUUUAUGAAUAAUAAAGAAAUGUUUGCAUGAAGAUCAACUCAAUAUGAUCCGUAUGUUCUAAUUAAUUUUCUUUUUCUUUUUUUUUUUUCAUAUUAAUUUUAUUAUUAAUUCUACCACCAAUCCUGAGAAGAUCAAAAUUAAUUCCUACAAGCCUAAAUCAUUGAAAGACCUUUUCUCGAGAAAAGAGAGUUCAGAGAUAUUUAUGAACCGAGAGUGGAUACAGAAGACCCUUAUUGAAUGUAGGGUUUCUUUGAAAAGAGACGAAGUCGGUCAACAUCUCUGAAAAGUCUGAAUGGAGAGGACUCUGAGUUGAGUUGAUGGGGCAGCGGACCAGUUUAUUGGGACUUUAACAGAGAUAUUUUCUCUCUAUGACGCUGCCCUUUGAGCUGUCUCCACUUGCAACUUUUCUUUUGUACCAGACCAUCCUAACAAACAAAAAUUUAAAUUUAUAAAAUAUAACUAUUUAAAAUUAAUUAAUAAUUUACAUUUUUUAAUUAAAAUUACUACUUUUAAUGUUUAAUAACAGUUUUUUAAUGAUAUAAGUAUUAUUUUUUAUUAUAAUAAAUACUAUUUUUAAUUGAGGAGUAUAUAAAAUUUGAAUUAUUUAAAAAAAUUUUCUAUUUUAUAAAUAUUUUUAUAUAAAUACAUCAAAACUUUUUUUUAUUUUUUCAAAUGAAUAUAUAUACAUAUAUAUAUAUAUUUUUUAUUUUUUCAAAUGAAUAUAUAUACAUAUAUAUAUAUAUAUAUAUAUAUAUAUAUAUAUAUAUAUAUAUAUAUAUAUAUAUAUAAUUGAUUCUUUAAAAUAUUUUAGACAUUUUAAAAUUUUAUCCAAUUCCUUUUUAUAAAAAACCAUUUUUUAACAUUGAGGUCAUUUCCAAAACUACCCUCAAAUGUUAUUUCAUAUGUAAAACCAAUUCAAUCUUAUUUUAUGUAUUAAUUUUAUUUUAUGAGUUCAAAUAAUAAUAGCAUAAUAAUAUAUAUUAAGCUACAAUACUAAAAUAUUUUAAUUAACAUUAAUAUUUUAACAUUUUGGAUUGGAAAUGCUCUAAUGAAAGAUAUUUUGCUGCCCAUUGCAUUAAAACAAGCAUUUGACAAAACAUUUUAUCUUACAUAUUGGCACAACAAAAUUUCAUUAUAAAUCUACAAAAUAAUCCAUCACAAUGAAUAUGCAAACAUUUUCACCAUGAUUUCCAACCAUGUUUCCCUAUGAUCACUACUAUUUACGAGGAAAGAUUUAAAACUUGUUUGUCAAAAUUGAUUUAUUAAUUAUAGUUUUAAUUAAUAAUUAAUCAAUUAUUAAUUUAUUUUUUUUGUUAUAAAAAUUAUACUUCAAGGAUUUUAUUACAUGUUCAUGGUUUUACACUAUUCUAAAUAAAUCAAAAUUUAGGUAAAAUAAAUUCAUUUUUCUUAAGAUUUAAAUUAAAUACAAAUGCAGCUUAAAAUUCCACCCAUUACCUCCCUUAAAAUACUAUAACUAUUCAAGUUAUACACUACAAUCAAACAUAUUACAAAAAAAAAAAAAAAUCAUUAGUCAGAUUAAUUCAAGAGGUAGUGUAAAGCAUAGUAUGUUAAUUUUGACCAAGUGUUGCAUCCAAUUCUUAUACAAAAGUCUAUAUAUUACAAGAAAUUAAAGUGAGAAAAGGAUUAAAAGUUUAAAAACAUGGGAAUGAUAAACCCCAAGUAAAUAUCUAUUUGAAACCUUGUCAAAAUUUGCCUCAAGUUGACUUUUGAAUUAACUUUACUAUUAUAAUCACUACUACAAAAAUAAUAUAUGAUGUUACUAUUUAUGGUGUCGCAUUUAAAAUAAUGACACCAUUGAACUUAAAAUUUAUAAAGGUGACACAUCAUAUAAAAAAUCUUCAAUUAGGAUAGUUAGAUGAUGCUAAUUUCAGAUUUACGGUGUCAUUUUUUGGAAGUGACACCAUAUGAAAUAAAAAGUUUUAAAUUUUAUAACUCAAUGGGCCCUUUUUAAAAAUAGUGAGUAGGAACAAUUUAUGAAAAGUCCAUUGUUUCCAUAUAUACAUUAACUAAUAUAAAAGAUCUUGUUGCUUAACCCUAACCAUCGUUUUCUUCUCUUUCUUCUCACACCCAUGGUCGGCACACCCAUAAUUGAUAUUCUUUGCUUCGUAAAAUCUCGUGUAAGUCAAAUCUCUUAUCUAUCAUCUUCAUUUUUUUUUAUUAAUGCAAAAACUUUGUAGUAUAANNNNNNNNNNNNNNNNNNNNNNNNNNNNNNNNNNNNNNNNNNNNNNNNNNNNNNNNNNNNNNNNNNNNNNNNNNNNNNNNNNNNNNNNNNNNNNNNNNNNNNNNNNNNNNNNNNNNNNNNNNNNNNNNNNNNNNNNNNNNNNNNNNNNNNNNNNNNNNNNNNNNNNNNNNNNNNNNNNNNNNNNNNNNNNNNNNNNNNNNNNNNNNNNNNNNNNNNNNNNNNNNNNNNNNNNNNNNNNNNNNNNNNNNNNNNNNNNNNNNNNNNNNNNNNNNNNNNNNNNNNNNNNNNNNNNNNNNNNNNNNNNNNNNNNNNNNNNNNNNNNNNNNNNNNNNNNNNNNNNNNNNNNNNNNNNNNNNNNNNNNNNNNNNNNNNNNNNNNNNNNNNNNNNNNNNNNNNNNNNNNNNNNNNNNNNNNNNNNNNNNNNNNNNNNNNNNNNNNNNNNNNNNNNNNNNNNNNNNNNNNNNNNNNNNNNNNNNNNNNNNNNNNNNNNNNNNNNNNNNNNNNNNNNNNNNNNNNNNNNNNNNNNNNNNNNNNNNNNNNNNNNNNNNNNNNNNNNNNNNNNNNNNNNNNNNNNNNNNNNNNNNNNNNNNNNNNNNNNNNNNNNNNNNNNNNNNNNNNNNNNNNNNNNNNNNNNNNNNNNNNNNNNNNNNNNNNNNNNNNNNNNNNNNNNNNNNNNNNNNNNNNNNNNNNNNNNNNNNNNNNNNNNNNNNNNNNNNNNNNNNNNNNNNNNNNNNNNNNNNNNNNNNNNNNNNNNNNNNNNNNNNNNNNNNNNNNNNNNNNNNNNNNNNNNNNNNNNNNNNNNNNNNNNNNNNNNNNNNNNNNNNNNNNNNNNNNNNNNNNNNNNNNNNNNNNNNNNNNNNNNNNNNNNNNNNNNNNNNNNNNNNNNNNNNNNNNNNNNNNNNNNNNNNNNNNNNNNNNNNNNNNNNNNNNNNNNNNNNNNNNNNNNNNNNNNNNNNNNNNNNNNNNNNNNNNNNNNNNNNNNNNNNNNNNNNNNNNNNNNNNNNNNNNNNNNNNNNNNNNNNNNNNNNNNNNNNNNNNNNNNNNNNNNNNNNNNNNNNNNNNNNNNNNNNNNNNNNNNNNNNNNNNNNNNNNNNNNNNNNNNNNNNNNNNNNNNNNNNNNNNNNNNNNNNNNNNNNNNNNNNNNNNNNNNNNNNNNNNNNNNNNNNNNNNNNNNNNNNNNNNNNNNNNNNNNNNNNNNNNNNNNNNNNNNNNNNNNNNNNNNNNNNNNNNNNNNNNNNNNNNNNNNNNNNNNNNNNNNNNNNNNNNNNNNNNNNNNNNNNNNNNNNNNNNNNNNNNNNNNNNNNNNNNNNNNNNNNNNNNNNNNNNNNNNNNNNNNNNNNNNNNNNNNNNNNNNNNNNNNNNNNNNNNNNNNNNNNNNNNNNNNNNNNNNNNNNNNNNNNNNNNNNNNNNNNNNNNNNNNNNNNNNNNNNNNNNNNNNNNNNNNNNNNNNNNNNNNNNNNNNNNNNNNNNNNNNNNNNNNNNNNNNNNNNNNNNNNNNNNNNNNNNNNNNNNNNNNNNNNNNNNNNNNNNNNNNNNNNNNNNNNNNNNNNNNNNNNNNNNNNNNNNNNNNNNNNNNNNNNNNNNNNNNNNNNNNNNNNNNNNNNNNNNNNNNNNNNNNNNNNNNNNNNNNNNNNNNNNNNNNNNNNNNNNNNNNNNNNNNNNNNNNNNNNNNNNNNNNNNNNNNNNNNNNNNNNNNNNNNNNNNNNNNNNNNNNNNNNNNNNNNNNNNNNNNNNNNNNNNNNNNNNNNNNNNNNNNNNNNNNNNNNNNNNNNNNNNNNNNNNNNNNNNNNNNNNNNNNNNNNNNNNNNNNNNNNNNNNNNNNNNNNNNNNNNNNNNNNNNNNNNNNNNNNNNNNNNNNNNNNNNNNNNNNNNNNNNNNNNNNNNNNNNNNNNNNNNNNNNNNNNNNNNNNNNNNNNNNNNNNNNNNNNNNNNNNNNNNNNNNNNNNNNNNNNNNNNNNNNNNNNNNNNNNNNNNNNNNNNNNNNNNNNNNNNNNNNNNNNNNNNNNNNNNNNNNNNNNNNNNNNNNNNNNNNNNNNNNNNNNNNNNNNNNNNNNNNNNNNNNNNNNNNNNNNNNNNNNNNNNNNNNNNNNNNNNNNNNNNNNNNNNNNNNNNNNNNNNNNNNNNNNNNNNNNNNNNNNNNNNNNNNNNNNNNNNNNNNNNNNNNNNNNNNNNNNNNNNNNNNNNNNNNNNNNNNNNNNNNNNNNNNNNNNNNNNNNNNNNNNNNNNNNNNNNNNNNNNNNNNNNNNNNNNNNNNNNNNNNNNNNNNNNNNNNNNNNNNNNNNNNNNNNNNNNNNNNNNNNNNNNNNNNNNNNNNNNNNNNNNNNNNNNNNNNNNNNNNNNNNNNNNNNNNNNNNNNNNNNNNNNNNNNNNNNNNNNNNNNNNNNNNNNNNNNNNNNNNNNNNNNNNNNNNNNNNNNNNNNNNNNNNNNNNNNNNNNNNNNNNNNNNNNNNNNNNNNNNNNNNNNNNNNNNNNNNNNNNNNNNNNNNNNNNNNNNNNNNNNNNNNNNNNNNNNNNNNNNNNNNNNNNNNNNNNNNNNNNNNNNNNNNNNNNNNNNNNNNNNNNNNNNNNNNNNNNNNNNNNNNNNNNNNNNNNNNNNNNNNNNNNNNNNNNNNNNNNNNNNNNNNNNNNNNNNNNNNNNNNNNNNNNNNNNNNNNNNNNNNNNNNNNNNNNNNNNNNNNNNNNNNNNNNNNNNNNNNNNNNNNNNNNNNNNNNNNNNNNNNNNNNNNNNNNNNNNNNNNNNNNNNNNNNNNNNNNNNNNNNNNNNNNNNNNNNNNNNNNNNNNNNNNNNNNNNNNNNNNNNNNNNNNNNNNNNNNNNNNNNNNNNNNNNNNNNNNNNNNNNNNNNNNNNNNNNNNNNNNNNNNNNNNNNNNNNNNNNNNNNNNNNNNNNNNNNNNNNNNNNNNNNNNNNNNNNNNNNNNNNNNNNNNNNNNNNNNNNNNNNNNNNNNNNNNNNNNNNNNNNNNNNNNNNNNNNNNNNNNNNNNNNNNNNNNNNNNNNNNNNNNNNNNNNNNNNNNNNNNNNNNNNNNNNNNNNNNNNNNNNNNNNNNNNNNNNNNNNNNNNNNNNNNNNNNNNNNNNNNNNNNNNNNNNNNNNNNNNNNNNNNNNNNNNNNNNNNNNNNNNNNNNNNNNNNNNNNNNNNNNNNNNNNNNNNNNNNNNNNNNNNNNNNNNNNNNNNNNNNNNNNNNNNNNNNNNNNNNNNNNNNNNNNNNNNNNNNNNNNNNNNNNNNNNNNNNNNNNNNNNNNNNNNNNNNNNNNNNNNNNNNNNNNNNNNNNNNNNNNNNNNNNNNNNNNNNNNNNNNNNNNNNNNNNNNNNNNNNNNNNNNNNNNNNNNNNNNNNNNNNNNNNNNNNNNNNNNNNNNNNNNNNNNNNNNNNNNNNNNNNNNNNNNNNNNNNNNNNNNNNNNNNNNNNNNNNNNNNNNNNNNNNNNNNNNNNNNNNNNNNNNNNNNNNNNNNNNNNNNNNNNNNNNNNNNNNNNNNNNNNNNNNNNNNNNNNNNNNNNNNNNNNNNNNNNNNNNNNNNNNNNNNNNNNNNNNNNNNNNNNNNNNNNNNNNNNNNNNNNNNNNNNNNNNNNNNNNNNNNNNNNNNNNNNNNNNNNNNNNNNNNNNNNNNNNNNNNNNNNNNNNNNNNNNNNNNNNNNNNNNNNNNNNNNNNNNNNNNNNNNNNNNNNNNNNNNNNNNNNNNNNNNNNNNNNNNNNNNNNNNNNNNNNNNNNNNNNNNNNNNNNNNNNNNNNNNNNNNNNNNNNNNNNNNNNNNNNNNNNNNNNNNNNNNNNNNNNNNNNNNNNNNNNNNNNNNNNNNNNNNNNNNNNNNNNNNNNNNNNNNNNNNNNNNNNNNNNNNNNNNNNNNNNNNNNNNNNNNNNNNNNNNNNNNNNNNNNNNNNNNNNNNNNNNNNNNNNNNNNNNNNNNNNNNNNNNNNNNNNNNNNNNNNNNNNNNNNNNNNNNNNNNNNNNNNNNNNNNNNNNNNNNNNNNNNNNNNNNNNNNNNNNNNNUUGAUAUACAAAUAUUAUUGGAUGAUGUAAUAUGUUACAAAUUAAUUCAUAAGCAUUAUGAAAAUAUAAGUUAAAUGUAAUAUGAUUAUUAUAUUUAUGGACAAUUUACACAGGUUAGUCUUAUUUAUUAAUAAGCAUUACAAAAAUCUACAAACUAAUCAACAAAAAACAACCAUAUCUUCCAUAAUCAUUUACAAUGAUGUGACACCAUAAAUUAAAGGUGAUACAUUUAACGUGACACCAUAACUCAAAGAUGAUGCAUUUAAUAUGACACCUUAUAUAUUUCAUACAACUCUAUAUCAAAUUAAGCAUCACUAAAAAUAUAUGGUGUCUCUUCUAAAUGUGUCACCAUUUAUUUGCUUUGGUGUUGCUUCCAAAUACAUCACCAAUUGAUACCCUCUAUGGUGUCAGUGGAUAAGGUGACGCUAUGUUGUAGUGACACCCUAUGUUUAUAGUGACUUAUUAUAAAUGUCACCAUAUAUCUUUUUCCUUGUAGUGAAUGGAAGUAUAAAUUUUAAAAGGAUUCUCUGUGAUUAUAGGAUUUAAUUCUAAUACUCUUAUACGUAGCCAAGGGUCAUUGGACUCAUGGCAGCACACAAACAUAUCCCCUUGUAUCUAUGGAAAUUGACAUGCAAAAUACAAAUAUUUCCUCUUACAUCCCUAUUGUGUUAUAGCAUGAGUAUGAAUGUGUAUUGUCAUCUUAAGCAAACUAAUGUUGUUGCCAAUUUUUCUUGGACGCUUUUUUUAAAAAUAAAAAUAAAAUAAUGUAAGGCUAUAUAGCAGAUUCAAUUGAUAUUUUUUUCAUCUUGUCCUACAUAUGAAAAUUACAAGUAGUUCAAGAAUCCUUGUUGAAUGAAAUUGACUGAAAACAAAUCUUAUUUAUGUAAAUUCUCAAAUACUUACAACAAGAAGCCCAAACCCCCACCCCAUCUUCAUGAACUUCAUAACAAAAUACUAUAAUCCUCCCUAUGAAAUAGAACUAAUUAAUUUAAUAUCAAUAAAUCCAAAUUGCUUUCAACAUCAGGCACAAGGAGGGAUUUGAAAGUUUGUGGUUUUAUACAAUAGAACCAUCUAGAGGGAGGUUGAAUAGAUAAUCUUUUAUUAUUAGCUCAAAAACUUCAAUUUUUAUUUUAUUGUAUUGAGUUAUAUAAUUGUUAAUGUUUAAACAUCUUAUAUCGUAAAACUACUUGGAGGUGAUUUAGUGUCUUUAUGUAUUGGCAAUUCUAGGUUGAAAUUUUCAUUGUAUUCGCCUAACUCAGUUACUUCAAAUCCUUCUUCAAACUCUUGUCAUUCCUAAAUUGCUCAUAAUUGAAGAUUGUUAAAGGAGAUAGUUGGUGUUCUUGAGGCAAUUGAUGAUAUUAAACAUUGAUCAACCGAGUUUUAAACUUUUAUUCUUUUGCUGAAAAUUGGAGUUGAAGUUUAAGGAUAUCAAAUUUUGUAUUUAAAUUAUUUGGAUCAAUUACUAAUUGAUCAUGCUAAAAGGUAACAAUUUAUGUUGUAACAUGAAUUUUACAAUCUCAUCUUAUCUAUUAGAAUUUGAUCAAAUCUAUAAAAUCUUUAUUUUUUCCAAACAAAUCUGAGUUAUUAGAUGGAGAUUAAAACCUUAGUAUUUAAGCCCCUUUUUUUUAGAAAAGGCUUUAACAAUUGUAAGAGCUAGGUGGCUUUCUUGAGCUUCAAAUUCUUUAUCUAUUUUGGGAUGUUUGGUUUGAUUUUUUUUUUUAUUUUUUUUUUAUGGGUUUUAAGUUAAAAAUCUUUCAAAAUGAGUUGAUUCAAUAUAGGUUUCAUUCACACUCUUGCAUUUGUCAUCUUUAGGAUAAAAUCUAAAUUUCUUCUUAUGUAGGUUCAAGAAAAGGUCGAAAGUUUGGUGUGAACUUUAAGUAUGCUUUAAAAGAAGAAAGUGGGUAACUUAAGUUUGAAGGUACUAGGCAAACAAUUCCAAAGAGGAUUGAAGGUUUGAGUUAAGUAAAUCCUUGUAUUCAGUUUUUUUUUUCAUAGUGUUUGUUUUUUUUUAUCAUCUAUAGGCCUGUGAUAGUUUACCUAUUCAAAGGUUUUGUAUAUUAAAUCUUGUUGUUAUUAUCUCUUUAUUUCUAUCUUAUAUUUUCAUUAGUCUAUGUUGUGUCUAUGAAAGUUCCAUUGAUUUGUUAUAUAUGUUGGUUGAUUGAGAAAAUGAACUAAAAAAUGAUCAUUUAACCUUUGGCAUAGUAUGAAAUAAUUUAUGAUUUAGUAUUAAUGAGAAUUAAAACUUUGUAAAUUAUCAAAACUAUGUAGAUUUGAGCUCAGAUGUUGAAGCAUCUCUUAAAGGCAGUUGAGGUGCUCUCAACACUUGACUAUCACUUGAGCAUCUUUUUAAGACUCUAGGGUAUGCUUGAAGCUCAACUUCAAAAUUUUAUUUUUUGAUUAAAAUAAACACCUACUUUUUCAAUUUUCAUAUUGUCUACUUCAUGUAUUCUUAAAUCAUCAUUAUCCUUUUUGUAACUCCCAAUAUUUAUUAGCAUCUUUCUGAGUUGAUUCUACAACAAUCUUGCAUCUUCAAAAGAAGUGGAAGUCAAUGGAACCAAAUUGUCAACCUAAUCUAAAUAGAUUAAUGUACCAUCACUUUAAUUAGGAUAUAAUUAAUCAAUUAAAAAAAUAGCAUUUAAUCAUAUAAAGAAAUAUAUGAUUUAUGUGAAAAAACCACCAAUAAAGCAUCCUAGAGACCUUACAUAUAUAAAAGUCAUAGGGUUCAUAGAUUGUCAAGUUAAAUUCACUAAAUAUGAAGAAUAAGUACAUAGAUUUAGCUAGUAAUUAUUACUCUCCCUCAAACUUAUAUUGGUAGUCACCAAUUCUCAAUUCCAUAACAUAGUUACUUCCAUGCUGCUUAGUGGAUUGCUCAUGACCUUAAGGGAAUGUGAUAGACAAUGUGAACUAAAAACAAGGCAAGCUCAUUAAGAUGUUCCUUUUUAAUGCAUAAGGUGUGCAAUAAAAUGAGAUCGAGAAUCCUAUGCUUUGAGAGAAGGAUACUACAGUAAAAAAUGGUACCCAAAUACUAUUGAAUGACAACAUAGCUCUUGUUGCUCCUUUAUUUUUAUUUAUUUUAUUUUUUUAUUUUUGUAAUUAUCUCUUUUUUUGUUUUGAUAUCAACAUUAGAAAUAUAGAAGUCCAGAAAUUUUUUUUAGUGCUUGCAUAUUGAAGGUUCAUGCUAUAAGAGUUGGAAAAACUUGAAUAGAAACUCCCUUGAAUGAUGUAUCAAAGCUCAAUGUAUCAAUGUUAACAUAAACAUUUGAGUAGAGUAGGAUAACAUUUCUAUGUCAUAUGAAGAAAUAUACUAAAAGGGAACCAUGAAUACGAUUGGAGAAAUAUAUAUUAUAAUUUAGAGGAUUAUUAUGGUCUAUUGGUCAUAUUCAAAUGGAAGUAAUAUGGUAAUCAAUAUUUCCAUGUCAUUUGAAGAAACAUAAUAAGAGGGAACCAUGCAUGGAUAUGAUUUGAGAAAUAUAUAUUAUAAUUUAGAGGAUUACUACCUUAUAUUGGUUAUAUUCAAAUGAAAGUAAUAUGGUAAUCAAUAUGUAAUCGGUAAGAAAAUAGGUUAUGAACAAGUCAUAUUAUAACUACCUCAAAAAUCAAUAAUACAAGGAUGAAAGAGGUAUACUGAGGAAGGGUCACACCUAAAGGAUCACUUUAUUAGCACAAGUAGGAAAAUGUUAACAUAGGGUUAUGCAUUUAAGUGUAACAUGAUUGAAUUUUAUUACAAUGUCUAAAAUUUAAAUAAUUGCAUACCUCUUUUCUGAUUUUGCUCAUGCCAUUAAGAUUUUUUAUCCACAAGAAACAACCUAUAUUACAAAAAAUGGAAAAAUUAUUUUAGAAUAGUAAGAAAUUUAGGGUUCUUAUAAAUAAAAAAGAAUAUAAUUUUUUAAUACUUAAAAAAAAAAUUCCAAAGGUAAGAAUCUAAAAGCCUAUUUGAUUGUGUGAUUUAAAAACAAUUUUCUGUUUUUAAAAAUAGAAAAUUGUUUUUAAAAAUUUCUAAUUAACAUUGUUGGGUUGUCAUUCUCUAAAAACAAUUUUUAAAAACAAAGUGAAAUAGAUAAUAAUUUUUAGAGAAUAAAUAUGAAUUGUUUUCACUAGUUUUUACAAAUAAAAGAAAAAUGUGGAUUCAUUUGGGUUAUGUUUUUUUAAACUUGUUUUUUAUUCUUCAACUUAAAAAUAAUUUUUAAAAACAAAUUUAAGAAAAUAUGGCCAAAAAAACCCUAAAUGUUUACAGUAAUUUUCUAAUUUUUCAUCUCAUAAGCAAUCAAACUCUAACAUCUCACUAUUAACGUAUUAGAAAUGCAUUAUCAACUUUUUAAGUGAUACAACAUUUUGCAUAUUAAAGGGAAUGUAUAAUUAUAAAAUUAUUUUCAUAGGACAAAUACCUUUUUAAACAUAUGAGCAACCUAAUUCUGAAAAAGAGAAAAAAAGAAUGAUAAAGAGCACAAUAUUUUUUUUUUGUAUAGUGCUUAAAAAUUAGUUAAAACAACAAAUAAAAAAUAUUAAUUUACUGAAAGAUCUAAGUUUUUGAAACAUAUUAAGAAUCCAUUGUGUAAGUUGAACAAUUAAACAAGAAUUCAAAAUUAUCCUAUUGUAUUUUAAACUGGAAGUAGCUAGAUACUCACGAGGUUUAUCAAAAUCUUGUCUCUAUUCUCCAUAGAUCAUAAAUAAGUUAAAGAAAAAAUAAAACCAAGAAGAAAAAAAUACUAUAAGAUAUAUUUAUUCCAAGCUCGUCGAAAUACUGAGAGCACCCAUUUACAAAAUUGUAUUCCCGUCAUGUAACAAUUGAAUCCAACUCAUGUGACUCAUUGUUUUUUUUUUCUCAAAAACAAGUUUUUUUAAUUGCAAAAGAAAAAAGACUUAUCUGUUGAUGGUCUUGAAGUAAUUCAAAGGAUAGCCCUCAGAGGUAGGUACCAAAAACCACAAUAUCAAAAGAUGGUAAAACUAAUAAUAUAUGAAGAGUCGGUACAUUAAGUGAGAUUUUUUUAUAAGAGUACUGUAGUUUUAGAAAAUAAUUCUCAAACUACCGUAGUAGGAAAAAUAAUUCCAAAUCCACCGUAAUUUUUGUCAGGUAUGAAAGAUGAAUUUUUUUUUUAAAUCGUCUCUUCAAAAUACUAUUUAUAACAUUUUAAAAAAAAAUUUUAAAUCAUCUUUCUAAAAUAUGAGAAAUUGUCUCUUGAAAAUACAACUUUGGAAAAAAAAAAGAAGAUGAUUUUCAGAAGAAAGAAAAACUAAGAAGUAAUAAAUCAUCUCUUGAAAAGACGAUUUUUCACCAACAAUUUUCACAAAAAAAAAUUCAUAAAAAAAAGAAAAAGAGAAAACUUCAAAAAUCCAUUUUUCCAUUCCCUACUAUACUUAUACAAUAAUACAAUUAUUAUAAAUAUAUAUUAUAAAAUUAAUUAAUUUUAUUUACUAAAUUUAAUAUUUUUUCUAUUAUUUUUUUCUAAAAAAAAAAUUAUUAUUAAUUUAUUAAAAAAAUAAAAAAUUGAGAAAUUGUCUCUUGAAGAGACGAUUUUCACCAAAAAAUAAAAAAAAAGAAUAAAAAUAAAAAUUCAAAAAUCAAUUUUUCCAUUCUCUGUCAUACUUAUACAAUAAUAAAAUUAUUAUAAAUAUAUAUUAUAAAAUUAAUUAAUUUAUUUACUAAAUUUAAUAUAAGAUAAAUAAUAUUUAUCUAUUAUUCUUUUUUCUUUCAUUUUGGAAAAAAAAUAUUAUCAAUUUAUGUGAAAAAUGAGUUUAAAAAAUAAAUUUAUUAUUAAUUUAUUAAAUAAUUAUUUACAAAAUAAUUAAUUUUGUUUUUUUAUUUUAAAAUUAAUUUUAUUAUAUAAAUUUUAAAUUUUAAAAUAUUAAUCUUUAAGUUAAAAUUUUACUAUAAAAAAUGAAUAAUUUCACAUAUUUUUAGGCGAAUUUUACUUAUCAUAAGGCCUCCACUACACACAUCAUUUCCCCUAAUCCAAUAAUGCACUACACCCAUAGACCAUAGGAGAAUCUUACCUAGUACACUCUAUCACUUCAUACACUAUUACACUACAAUUCCAUUACAACACUCAACCAAUUUGACAAGAGUUUGAAGUAUUGUCAUUUCUUUUUAAAUGUUUAAAUACUCCACCAAUUUGAUCGUUUCAAGUAUUGUCAUUUCUUUUAAAACAUUCAAACGUGUGUAUAUAUAUAUAUAUACACACACCCCAUAUCCUACACACUAUACCCAUUCUACCUCUUCCCAACUUCACUUACAAUAUAAAUCAAUUUCAAACUUCUUCAUCCUCAUUUUCUCUUUCUUCCCCAUUUGAAACCAAGUUUUUCACUUUCCAUCGCUUUUAUCCAAAUCUCCCAUUUCUCUUUGUGGAACUUCUGGGUAUAUCUCCUAUUUUUUCUUCAAACACUCACACUGUUUAUCUUGAAAGGUAAUAUUUUUGCUUUAUUUUUAUUUCAAAUUAUUUUGUAAUAUAUGGUUUUUAUUAUUAUAUAAGUUUUAAAAUUUAUUUGGAUUAUGCAAUAUUUGUUUGAAUAAUAUUUAUUGGAAAUUAUUAUUUUAAAUAGAUUAAAUCAUUAAAAAAUAAAUAAAAGUUAUAUUAUUUUAUUUUUAGAUAAUAUUUUUGCCCUUGUUUCAUAUUUAUUUUGUAAUGCAUGAUGGAUAUUUAUUGUUAUACAUAUAUUAAUUUAUUGGAUUUAUGUUAAUUUUUUUAGAAUAUUAUUUGUUGUAAAUUAUCAUUAUAUAAUUCAAAAAAUAAAAGUGGUAUUAGUUUAUUUAAUUAAUAUGGAAUAAUAGGAUUAUUGAUUAUGUUUAUCAAUCAAAUAAUAUGUUUUAUAAAAUAAUAAAAUUAAAAAUUAAAAAGAAAAUAAAAUAUUAGUAAAAUGAGAAUGGAAAAUAAUAAUAAUAAAAUAAUUAUAUAUCUAUGUAUUUGCAUAAAAUAUUAUUUUAAAAAUAUUAAAGUCUAAAAAAUAGAAAUACAACAUUAUCUGACAUUAUGAAUUUAUUCUAUAUAUUUUUUUAAAAUUAAUGUUAGCCUUAAAUCAUUGAAAAAAUUGUUGUAAAAAUAAAAAUAUAAAUAAAAGUAGAAGUAAAACUAAAAUGUUAUUUGAUAUAUUUAAAUGAAUAUUUAAAUGUAUAGAAUAUAAAAUAAAAAAGUAAUGGUGUAUAAUAUAAAAUAGUAACCGUGCGUAUUAAAUGUAUAUAAUAUGUAAAUUUAUAUUUAAAAUGUUAAAUAAUAGCCAUAUUGUGGAUCCCGCAUUUCGGCUCAUGCGAUUUCCACUCGAUGACAAGUUCGAUUUUUAUUCGAAAAUGAUUUUAUUUAUUAAAAAAAAAUAUGACUUGAAGUCGCUACUUAUUUUUGUUUUAUUUUUAAAAGGGUAAACAAAAUAAGAAAGAAAACCCUAAGCGUGACUCCUUAUUUUGGAAAAUGUGGUCUGUGAAAAACCGGAUCAGGCUCGGGGGUCAGGUUACUUAUUGGGAAGGUACGGUAAAGACCGUAGCACCCCUCUAAGUCCCUAAAGUCGGGUCUCUACUAAUAAAAUGAAGCUGACGUGGCAAUCAAUAGGAAAAUCAAUGGAUACUCAAAUUAAUCAUGCACAUAUGGGAAUCAAAAGCAUGCAUAGAGAAUGAACAGAACGGGAGUGGAUGCGUACUUGGAACAUGAACGAGCGAUACGUUAUCAUAAAAAUAGAGUCGGUGUACAAUAAAGAAUACAAAACAUGUCACAUGCAUUACCAAACAAUGAUUAAGCUGUUCGAGGGAGGAUUGAAAUUUAUUCGAGGAUUGGAGUCUUAGAGAUUAUUUAAAAAUCGAAUUUUUAGGAAUUAAAUAUAAGAAUGAGAAUUUUAGAAAUUAAAUUAGAAAUAAAUUGGGACUUCGAGAUUUAUUCGAGAAUUGGAGAUUUGCAAAAUAAAUUUAAGGACUGGAAUUUCUAAAAUUAAAUUUGAAAGAAAUUGGAACUUUGGAAAUUAUUUGGGAGUUUGGGAUUUUUAAGAAUUAUUUGAGAAUGAAUGAAAAUUCGAUUUGAAAGAAAUUAGAGUUUCAAAAUUUACUUGAAAGUGAAAUUUUAGAAAUUAAAUUCGGAAUUAUGGAAUUUUUGGAAAAUUAAGUCUUAAAAAUUUGAAUCUUGGAAAGUUAAAUUUAAAAUUAGAAUUUGAAAAUUAUUCCGAGAAUUGAAUUUUGAAGAAUUAAAUCUAAAAAUUGGAGCUUUGGAAAAUUAAAUUAAGAAUUUGAGUUUUGAAAAUCAACUUUAGAAAUUGAGGAUUCGAAAAAACAUUCAAAAGUGGAGACCUUGAAAAUUAGAUUUAAGAAAAGAAUUUUGAGAAAUUAAACUUUGGGAAUAAAGAUUUUGAAAGUUAAAUUCGAAAAUUAAAAAAAAAAAAUGGAAAGUUAAACCUUGAUAUCAAAGAGGAAGAAUUUGAAUAAAUGAAUAAAUAAACAAAUAUAUAUAUAUAUAUAUAUAUAUAUAUAUAAAAGAAUAAAAUGGAGGUGGUCGUUGGGGGUGCGGGCCAAGGGUGGCCCCGUGAAGUGACAUGAUCACCUCAUGAUUACCAUCUCCCUAAACUUUAAGCUCCGCCAUACCAAAUAACCGCAAUCAGUCCAACGGUCUCUGAUGAUCGAGAGUUGUUUCAUCAAGAGAGGGUAUUUCUCCAUUGAUUUUAGGAACAUGAGGAAUAGAGACCAUCUGAUUUAAUAUUUUGCCUACUUCACCAUCGAGUGCAUUCUCAUCUGUCAGAUCUAGAGAAUAUGACCAACCCUCCCCAUUGUGUGACUUUUCGUCAGGACUAGAACAUGAACUAGAAAGUCCCAUACCAUCUAUAUCUUUCUGGCCGCUCUCAUGCCUAAAUCCAUAAUUUUCCAUAGAUUGAUCGGGCCAUUCUUUUGGAAGAAUAGAUACUUGCAAAUCCUCUACCACUUCAUGUGAAAAUCUAGCUGUUUCGUCAAUAGCAAGUUGUGAUAGUUCUUCUUAAAGAGCAUGUUCGAUAAUCUCACCAUUCUCCGCAUUGCCACAUUCAUUAUCAUAACGAUCUUCCUUUAAAUGUUAUCCAUCAUAAUAACUUACAUCAUUUUGCACAAUGGUGCCACCAUACCCGCACUUAGAAAACGGAUCAUCAUCAGAAGCCGGAGACCCCACCGAACAACAAUAGGAUCUUGCCCACAUGCGAUCAUUUGCAAUGAUAUCAAUGUCGGCUGCAUUGAUCUUGACAGCAGCUAAUUCUUUCUCCUUCAUUCUCAUGGCAUUCUCGUUAGCAUCGGUCGACAUAAUGACAAUAAGCAGUUUUUGAGGUUCUUCUUGAAUUUUAUCAAGGAGAUAUCGUCCAUCCAUGCAGCUGCCCCAUUAUUUUACUUUGACCGGGACCUGAAAAACUUGCCUCACUAUUCAUUCCCGCAUNNNNNNNNNNNNNNNNNNNNNNNNNNNNNNNNNNNNNNNNNNNNNNNNNNNNNNNNNNNNNNNNNNNNNNNNNNNNNNNNNNNNNNNNNNNNNNNNNNNNCAAGCAUGACAAUAUUAAGAUCCAACUCUAGGUAUUGAUUCAAAAGUAGUGGCUUAGGAGGCAUCGAUAUUAUUUUGAGUGUAUGGAACGUUCUCAAAAGUGAACUAUGCCCACAGAUCGGAGUAACAAAACCUGUAUUAGGCAAUGCUGUCAGCUUGCAGGGAGUCUUUCAUGACUGCUUAAACUCGAAUUCGGGCAUCUUAAAGUACCACAACAUGGCCAUAGUUGAAACUCCCAAACCCGAAGAGAGUUAGUUGAGGUUCCAGAUAAAGAAAAUUGGUGCGCUUGAGCUCAUCAGGUGCAGAAGGUAUGACCUUAACCGAUUCGGUGGGUUUGGGGUUGUAAGGUUUAGUGGUUGGAAUGUUUUGGUAAGAAGAAUAGGAUGAGAGACUAGUUGAGCUAAGGGAUCAAAGUUGAGUUGUAUCUGAUGGGUGAUCCAGAUGACGGUUUUCUUCUUGUUAAGUGCAACAGAUGAAAAGUUGGAUGGGGUAUGAGGAGUAUUUGGCUUUUGGUUUAUGCUCGGUAUAGAACAAAUGUCAUGGGAAUGCGUUGAAAGGAUGCUAGGGAAUCGUACGUACGUGUACACAGCAUCUGCGUGGGAGGCUAGAGAAAUAAUGGGUGGGAAAAGAAAACGGGUCAAACGUAAGGGGUGAUUUGAAGAUAGUGAGAGAAUGAAAUAAGUGUGUAUGCUUGUGGUGGUUAUCGAAAAUGUGAGGGGUGGGGAGUGUGAUAGCUUCAAUGGGUAUGAGAAUAGGGAUAAGCCGACAGGGAGCACGAUAGAGGGUGGAUUUUGCAAAAGGUCUUGUGGGCCAUGCAAAGGUGGAAGAGAUGGGGUACAUGGUAGGUAUUGAAAAAUGGUGUGUGGUGUAGAGAGAUGAAACGGGAGGUGAGCAGUGAGUGGGAUGUAGGGGUAAAAGGGUGGCCAUGCACACAUGUGGAGUAAACCCAUCAAUAUUGCACUUCCCAAUUCAUCCCGUGGCCGAUGAAUACAACAUCCCGGUGCUACUUCUCAUACCCAUUUUGCAUUUUCUGAAUGUCAACACCUGAAUAUAGCUUUGAAUGCUGAAAAGGUGGCGACAAACACCCGAUCAUGAUAGGAUGAUGGCUCUGAAUGUCAAGCUGGGAAGGAAUGGUGGCUUUGAAGGCCCAAACCGAGAAGAUAUGGUGGCUUUGAAUGUCAAACUGCGGAGAAUGAUGGCUCUGAACGCCCGAAUGUGAGAACGACGGCUCCUUGAACGCCUGAAACUGUGAAGAGGUAGUGGCUCUGAACGUUGAACUAAAAAGAGAUGAUGGCUCUGAAUGUCGAAACUGAAGAUGCAAUGAUGAUGGCUCUGAACGCCGAAACUGAAAAUGUGACUCUUAACAUCAAAUUGAAAAUGCGAUGAUGGCUCUGAACGCCGAAACUGAGAAGCGACGAUGAUGGCUCUGAACGCCAAAACCAAAAAUGCGAUGAUGAUGGCUUAGAGUGCCGAAACUAAAAAUGCGACUCUGAACGUCAAGUUGAAAAUGUGAUGAUGAUGACUCUGAACACCAAAACUAAGAGGCGAUAAUGAUGGAUCUGAAUGCCGAAACCAAAAAUGCGAUGAUGAUGGCUCUGAACGCCGAAACUGAAAAUGCGACUCUGAACGUCAAGCUGAAAAUGUGAUGAUGAUGGCUCUGAACGCCGAAACUGAGAAGCGAUAAUGAUGGCUCCGAACGCUGAAAGAAAAAAUGAGAUGAUGAUGGCUCUGAACGCUGAAACUGAGAAGCGGUGAUGAUGGCUCUGAAUGCCAAAACGGAAAAUGAUAUAAUGACCCUGAAUGCCGAACUAUGAACAUGGCUUUGAAUGCCAAACUGCGAAUAAAUGGUGGCUUUGAACGCCAAACUAAAAAUAAUAGCCAUGAAUGCUAAGCAAAAACAACGGCUGUGAACGCCAAUGAUAACUAUGAAUGUCAAGCUGAGAAANNNNNNNNNNNNNNNNNNNNNNNNNNNNNNNNNNNNNNNNNNNNNNNNNNNNNNNNNNNNNNNNNNNNNNNNNNNNNNNNNNNNNNNNNNNNNNNNNNNNCAAAAACAACUGGCUGUGAACGCCAAUGAUAACUAUGAAUGUCAAGCUGAGAAAGACAACUUUAAACGUCGUAAUUGAGAGGACAUGGUGGCUUUGAACACCAGGCUGAAAAUGGAUGACUUUGAACAUCAUAACCGAUAAUGGAUGGUGGCUCUAAAUGCCAAACUGUAAGGAAAUGAUUAGGGGGGGGGGGGGGGGGGNNNNNNNNNNNNNNNNNNNNNNNNNNNNNNNNNNNNNNNNNNNNNNNNNNNNNNNNNNNNNNNNNNNNNNNNNNNNNNNNNNNNNNNNNNNNNNNNNNNNAGUCUCAUGACCCGCUCGAUGAAAUCACGAGGUUUGUCGGAGUGUCGCAAUAAGCCGAACUCCUCUAACUCAUAAUGCUCUGCCGAAAGAAUCUAUCGUCACCCCGAACGGAUAAUCCGAUAGUCUUAGGGAGUAGUCUGGUAAGAGACAUACCACGAUCUUGACAUAACAAUCUACUGAAUAGUCUUGGCUAGUGAGGCUAUCAAAACCCGAAUAUCGUGCUCCACUGAAAGCUCAUCUCGACGAAAAGCACAGGAAUAGUGACCAGUGAAGCAAAUGCAAUAUCUCUUGACUGAGUAAUGAAAACUAUAAUAGAUCUGUGAGAGAAUGAUCAUCUCCAUAGCUAAAGGAGGGAAAUAUGCCCCAGUAUGGCAUCAGAUAUAUCCAAUCUGUCCUAAUAACUCAAGAAUAACUCUAUGGGGACAUACAAAGGAUCUAACAUGUACUCCACUGAAAUAGUGACGCAGGCAUCCACGCGCCUGAGAUAACUCCUUCUAAGAAUCACGACUAUAUCAGAAAACGUGAAUCUGGCUGAAAGACUCAAGAGAGGCUCCAUGGAGUAUCAGGACACAAUGAAAUCGAAUCAUCAACCCGAUGUGUAUCUCAAAAUCGAGGGUGAUCAUGCGAAUCAGUGGGGGAUGUACAAAUCUCGACUGAAAUGGGGAAUACACCCCAGUGUGGCAUCAUAAAUGUGACAAGUCGGAAAGUCAGAUGAGCUCAAAUCAUCCAUCAUCGAAUUCGUGAUCCAAGUCAUCCAUGUCUAUAACUGAAUCAGACCCACAGAUCAAAGGGGCGUCUCCCAGAAGGAAAGCAUGAUGACAUCUAAGUGUCGAGAAGUGCAGGCCUAACUGGGCAAUUCCCAAGAGGCUCCAUUGAGGAAUCAUCAUAAAGAUACCGAAUAGAUCAUCGUCUCGAUGUACGUCUUGCAAAUGGGGAUAAGCGCGUAACUCCACCAAGAUCUAUAAAUCUCAUCCUGAAUGGUAAUAUGCCCCAGUAUGGCAUCAAACAUAUGAUAGGUCGGAGACCGGGCAACAUGAAAUCAUCUAUCAUCGAACAUGCGACAUCUGUGAAGAUCCAUAAAUCUCAUCUAAAAUGGAAAAUAUGCCCUCGUAUGGCAUCAGGUGCAUAAUAGGUCAAAAGAACAAGUGACAUGAAACCAUCUCUCAUCAAACAUGUGACCUCUGUGAAGAUCCGUAAAUCUCAUCUGAAACGGAAAUAUGCCCCAGUAUGGCAUCGGAUGUGUGACAGGUCAGAAGAACAAGUGACAUGAAACCAUCUCUCAUCAAACAUGUAAUCCUGGUCAUCCGAAUCCAUAACUGAAUCAUGCCCACAGAUCUAAGAUGUACCUCCCGGAUGGAGAAGCAUGAUGGCAUCUAAGUGCCGAGAAGUGCGGGCCUAGCUAGAUGGCUCUCGGCAGGCUCCACUGAGGAAUCAUGAUAAGGUAACGAUCAUGUCCACGUCUUAGUGAGCAUCUAGUAAGUGAUGAUGAUCGUGCAAGUCCAUGAGGAUCCAUAAACCUCUAAAUGAAAUGGGAUAUGCCCUAGUGUGGCAUCAGAGGUACGAUAGGUCAAAAAUCGGGUGACACCAAAUCAUCCAUCGUCAAACACAUAAUCCCGGUAAUUCGAACACAACUGAAUCGGACCUACACAUCAAAGAGGCGACUCCUAGAAGAAGGAAGCACGACGAUAUCUAAAUAUCAACCAGAUCUCAAACACUCGUCCAAGUAGAGGCUGUCAAAGAUGACAUCUGAUCCCAUGACCUCAGGGUGGUCUUAAGACAUGGGACGUAACGUAGGCCAAGGUGAUAAGGUGAUAGAAAUGAAGGAAAACUAGACUCAAAUACCCAAUGAUCAAAAACCCACGCCCUCAUAUAUGAAAUGCAACAUGUAUAAUGAAUCUCGUGAGCCAUGGACCUAAGGAUGCCUAACAUGAAUAUGAUGUCGAUAAGGAGACAAAUAAAGCAAAAUGAACUGAUAGUGAUAUGUGUAAUGAUGAUGUGAAGAGAGUAUCAAACCCGAGAUGGGUUGCUGUAAGAAAAGAAUAAGACGUGAAGUGAAAAUGAUGAAUCCAAAGCGAAAACGAGGAUGAUGAUGAAACAAAUAACACAAAGAGGAGUAGUGAUCAACUCAAAUCAGACAUGGAGUGAAGUCACAUCAACAAUGAACGUAAUGAUGGAAGGGACAAUGACCCAGAGCUCCUAAGAGAAGGUCACUCAUCUCGCUCUCAAAAUAUACAAUAAAAAUGAAUACAAAGCAUAGAGGGUCUCAGAAAGCUCACAUACGAACUCCCAUCAACAAACAUACUCAAUCAAGUCACCCUCGAACAUCAACAUACACACUCAAUGAUAGAAAAUAAUACACAUGCGUUUUGUUUUUUUUUUUUUUACAUAUAUACAAAUGUACACACCUUGAACAUGAACAAAAUAAGCCUAAAUAUGAUAUCAAUAAUGGAUAGACGCUAUCUCGAAAGCUAAGGUAACAAAAACCCUCUUUGACAAGAUAACCUUUUCAAACUAAGAAUCUCUGAACCAGUGUCCGUUGGAUAGAUAGUGGUAAUGAUAUGACUACCCUCCAUGUAAUGAACUGAGGAAGAUCACCACUCGGGGUGGAAAGAAUAUGAAGCAAAACAAGUAGUAGAUAGAAUAAAGAAGAAUAGAUGAAGAACACAACCAAUGAGAUACAAUGGAAUGCAGUGAUGCAAUGAUGAGAAGAGAUAAUGAGAAGAAUGUGCCCCUCGGUCCAAGGCUCAUGAAACUUCCAAACAAUGAAUGCAUACACCAAAAGGGCCCCUAUCCCGGUGUGAAAAUGUGAGCAAGGCGAUAAGAAAGAAAUGCUAUAAUGCUCAUGCGAGGCUCAAUGGGCUAGCAACAGACUAUAUAUCAAAAGGGAAUAACAAGGUAUAUGGCUAACUGAAAUGACGGCCACCAUCCUACGACCAUGGUGUCAAACAUAGUACCUCUUUAGCUGAUCCAUAUUGGUCGGCUUUGAGAAUCGGUUUCCAUCUAAAUCCAUCAACCAUGCAACAUCCUCUGGGGUCAACUCCCUGAUGAAGUAAGGUUCGCUCCAGUUGGGUCUGAACUUCUUUCUAGGAUCUCUGAUCAAUCCCCUGAUGAUCUUCAGAACCAAGUCACCUAUCCGUAGUGGUCAGAGCUUGACCUGCUUUUUGAAAGUGCGGGCCAUCUUCCUCUGAUAUGCACGAAUGUGGUCGGCUGCUCUCAAUCUCCUCUCAUCUUGGAGAUUGAGCUGAUCAAAUCGAGACUGAGCCCAAUCUGCCUCGAGCAUCUGUUGCUCUAAUGCUACCCUCAAUGAACCCAACUCUAUCUCGACUGGUAGCACUACCUCCAUAUUGUAUACCAAAGAGUAGGGUGUGGCUCCUGUAGAGGUGUGAAAAGAAGUCCGGUAAGCCCACAAUGCGAAAGGAAGCUUCUCAAACCAAUCCCGAGAAGUCUUGAUCAUCCUCCGCAAGAUCCUCUUAAUAUUCUUAUUCACGGUCUCUACUGCCCCGUUCGUCUGCGGCCUGUACGCAGACGACCUAUGGUGUCGGAUGCCAUAUUACCGCACUAAAGUGUCAACCUCUGCCCUGAAAUGUACCCUUCUAUCCGAAAUCAGCUCAUGAGGGACUCCACAGCAACAGAUAAUGUGUGACCUGAUGAAACUAGCCACUCCAGAUGAUGUCAAUCUCGCAUACGAAGCGGCCUCCACCCACUUGGUGAAGUAAUCGAUGGCGACCAGGAUGAACUCAUGACCACUGGAAGAUUUCGGCGAAAUCUUUCCGAUGAUGUCAAUACCCCAUACAGAAAAUGGUCAUGGUGAAGUCAGUGCAUGCAACUCCGAGGACGGCACGUGAAUGAGAUCUCCAUGUAUCUGACACUCGGGACAUCUCUGAACAAACUGGAAACAAUCUAUCUCCAUGGUCAACCAGAAAUAGCCAAUCCUCAUGAUCUUACGGGCCAACAUAUGUCCUCCCAUAUGUGGUCUGCAGACUCUUGCAUGAACCUCUCUUAUCACUCUAUUGGCAGAGGCUCGGUCCAAGUACAAUAAUAGCAUCUCGUCAGCCGAUCGUCUAUACAAUGUCUUGCCACAAAUCACCAAUCCGGUGGCUAACUGUCUCAAUGAUCUCCUAUCCUUGGCCAUGGCAGUCUCAAGAUACACGCCAAGUCUCAGAAAGUGAUAUAUGUCAUGGUACCAGGGCAAACCAUCAUCUAUCUCCGUAUCAUCAAUUAGACAACAGUACGCAAGAGCAGAUCUCGACUCGAUCAACAAUGGGCGAACGGUGACAUCAGUAGGAAUGUCAAUCAUGGAAGCUAGAGUAGCUAAGGCAUCAGCAAACUGGUUCUGCGCUCUAGGCAGAUGGGUAUAUAUCAAAUCAUCGAAUCUCCCAACCAGUAGCUUUAAAUAUGCGUGGUAAGGCCUAAGCUUCACAUUUCUAGUCUUCCAUUUGCCUUGAAUCUGUCUCAAUACUAAAUUGGAGUCACCAAACACCUCUAUCUGUCUAAUCCCGAGCUCUAGGGCCGUUUCUAAUCCCAAGAUACAAGCCUUAUAUUCAACAAUGUUGUUCGUGGCAGGAUGUCGAUCCCAGAAUGCCAAACGAACAGAUCUGGGAAUGUGAUCACCAUGAGGGGAUAUCAACAAGACGCCUAUCCCGUAUCCAGAAUGGUUGGCUGCACCAUCAAAGUACAUGCGCCAACCUGAUAAACUGGUCACAACAGCCACAUCCUCGUCCGGGAAGUCAUCAUCAAUGGCUCUGCCGUCGGAAACUGGUAAAGAAACUAGGUGAUCCACGACAAUGCUCCCUUUGAUGGACUUCUGAGUGACAUAAUGGAUGUCAAACUCGAUUGGAAGUACCAACCAUCUUAUGAGGCGACCAACUAAGGCGGGUUUGUCAAACAAAUAUCUCAGAGGAUCUAAAUGGGAUAUCAAGUGCACUAAAUACUCUAUCAUAUAAUGUCUCAGUUGGCGUGUGGCCCAAACCAAUGCCAAACAGUAACACUCAAUCAUGACAUAUCUUGUCUCAUAGUCUAGCAUCCUCUUACUCAUAUAAUAAAUAGCUCGGUCCUUGCCUGAAUCAUCAAGCUGAGCUAACAUACACCCCAAUGCUACGUCUGAAACUGAUAGGUAUAGGAGUAAGGGACGACCUGGUGUAGGAGGCGCCAAGACUGGAGGUGACAACAAGUACUCUCUGAUCCUCUCAAAUGCACGCUGACACUGAUCAUCCCAAAUAGUAGGUUGACUCUUCCUCAAGAGUCGAAAAAUGGGCUCACAGAUGUCUGUCAAUCUGGCAAGGAAUCUGCUGAUGUACUGAAGUCUACCUAGGAAGCCUCUGACCUCUCUCUCUAUCCUCGGUGCAGGCAUGUCAAGAAUAGCUUUGAUCUUAUCCGGAUCUACCUUUAUGCCUCUUUCAUUGACCAUAUAUCCAAGGAGUUUCCCAGAAGUCACUCCGAAAGUGCACUUCUUGGGAUUGAGUCUCAAUCUGAAUUGUCUAAUCCUCUCAAAGAACCUCUCCAGAGCUGUCAGGUGAUCUGGUCUAUCUUGGGAUUUCACUAUCAUGUUGCCUACAUAAACCUCGACAUCCCGAUGCAUCAUGUCAUGGAAGAGGGUGGUCACCGCUCUUUGAUAAGUGGCUCCUGCGUUCUUCAAUCCGAAUGACAUGACUCUAUAGCAAUAAGUACCCCACUCGGUAAUGAAAGACAUUUUCUCCAUGUCCUCUAAAGUCAUUAAGAUCUGAUUGCAUCCGGAAAAUCCGUCCAUAAAGGACAACAUCGAAUGACCUGCCGUACUGUCAAUUAGCAUGUCGAUGUGUGGAAGAGGAAAAUCAUCCUUAGGAUUGACCUUGCUGAGGUCUCGAAAAUCAACACAGACUUUCACCUUGCCGUCCUUUUUGGGAAUAAGGACGACAUUGGCCAACCACUCCGGGUACUCGACCAUUGAAAAAAAUCCUACACUAAGUUGCUUCUGAAUCUCCUUAUUUACCUGCAAGCUCCAACGAGGAUGCAAUCGUGUCAACUUCUGCUUAACCGGUCUGAUAUGGGGCAGAAGUGGCAAACGAUGCUGGAUGAUAGAUGGAUCAAGGCUUGGCAUAUCCUCAUAGGACCAUGCGAAAAUGUCCAAGUAUGCUAUGAGCAACUGGAUGAGGCUAUCCCUUUCAUCAACAGAUAAAUCUGAUCCGAUCCUUAACUCCCUAGGCUGAUCUGCUGUGCCGAAAUAAAAAAUCUCUAUGUCCCCUACAACAUGUGAAACUCUCUGAUCAAUGGGAUCCGAAUCGGAAAUAGAAGAUGAGUCAUCGUCUGAAUCAUGCUGUGCAAUCUCAUCAUCAAUGUCAAAAAUCUAUGAUGUGGGUGAGGAUGGUGCGGGUAAAGCAAUAACAUGAGAGACAGACAAAUACUAAAAAAUGCUCAAAUCCAUAGAUGAAGAGUCAGAAACAUCGUCAUGACGGGAGACAAAUCCCGAUAAGACAUUAAAGGAAAGAGGUGGGUCCACAAAGUUGGACGCUCUCUUAACUAAGCCAACAAGGCCAUCAAACAAGCCAUCAACAACUAUAACAUCCUCAGCAAUCUCCAGAACGGGGGCGACCUGGAUCUCCUCGACAAUCUCGAGGAUGGACACCCCGAAGAGAUCGAAUGGUGAAGCGAGCUCAAAUGGGGCUAUCUCCUUGAUUUGGCUCAAGCUCAUCGCGAUCAUCUCAUCAACAUACUCGUCAUGUGGCACGACUUUGUCUAAUAUGUUGCUGCUCUCGAAAAAUGUCCAGUAAUCAUCGAUCUCAUCCGAGAAGCAAAGCGUCAUAAGGCUCGUGCGAUCUGGGGAGGAAGGAGUGAUCAACGCAGAAGUUGAAGGGCCAGGGGCUCCGUCACUCAAUCGUAACUGUCGGACGAGGCGCUGAAGCUCGGCCUCCUGGGUGGUGCUAAGUCCUCCGAUGAUCCCAUCAGAUAGUGCAUGUGGCUCCGACGCCCUCACAAAGUAAUCUGUUAGGCUCAUGGUAUAUGGGUGAACAGGAUAAUAAAAUGGAAUAUGGGUCAGUCGAGCCCUCACCCUCUCCUUCGGCAAUCGCUCCAUAUUACGAUAAUCAGCCUCAGUGGGGAUGAACCUGAGUCCGAAUGCUACGUCGUGAUCAAGGAAGGUCAUGAACUCACUAGGCCCGUACUGACGCUGCCCUAACCCCAUGCCGGGAAGAUAAGACAUACCCCUCAUCAUGUCAAGCACUAGAUACUGUGCUGGUCGAAAGAUAUGGCUACAAAGUCUCGACAGAAAUCCUCUAUCUCCAAAGUCUGCACCUCGUCGAAGGUGAAUCCGAUCAAAAAAAGAUAGUCAUCAGUGUGACUAAUCUGAAGUACAGGCUUGGCAGAAAUGAACACAUCUCCUAUAGACUGCACCACAACGGCCUGGCCAUCAUGAAUAAACUUCACCUUCUAAUGAAGGGAAUAAGGAAUGGCCCCAACUCUAUGGAUCCAUGGUCGGCUCAGAAGUAGGUUAAAGGAUGUAGGAAUCCUCAAAACCUGAAACACGACAACAAAAGUGGUCGGACCAAUCAAUAGCUCAAUCUCCAAUGUACCCAUGACCUUCCUCUGAGUACUAUCAUAUGCGCGAAUGGUCUGAGUGGAGGGACCGAAGUCAGAUGGUGCGUAGCCGAGGGCAAUGGCAGUGGAAAGAGGACAGACGUUCAGGACCAAGCCAUUGUCCAGAAAGAUAGAUGGGACUCGGCGGCCUGAACAAUCGACAGAUAUAUAAAGUGGACUUGUGUGGUCCGAGCCCUCCGUGGCAAGUCAUCAUCGAAGAAUACAAUGCAUGUGGCUCUGCUGGCCGUCAUCAUAUGAAUCAAUCUCUUAGGAGAAGUGGUAGUAUCGACUCUGAUCUGGUUCAAGGCUCGAAUCAGAGCAUCACGGUGAGUGCUCAAGGAUGCCAACAGGCUCUAGAUGGAAAUACGAGCUUGGGUGCUCUGUAGCUGUCUCAAAAUCUCGUCAUCCUUUACUCUGACCUCCUCGAGAGCAGAUAUACCCUCAACUAACCUAGCUGCUACGGGAGGUGGCUGUCGCAACACUCUACCUCAUUGGAGAAUAUAAUGAACAUCUAGAGUCUGAGAAUCAUCAACACGCGGAGCCUGAACCUCCUCAACAUCCGGGAUCAAGAUGAAUGAAGUCUGGACGCUGUAAUGUGGAAAAAUCAAUGGCUCAACAAUGGUAGUCUGUACCGAUGCCGCCCUGGGAACUAAUUCGAAUGAAACGGGCAUCCAAGGCCCCAAAGUCGCUUUGUCCAUCUCAUAAAUACCAUUUGACACAAUAGGCUCUGGGUUUGAAUCAUCCGAACUAAGCAUAUGAACGUGAUCAUCAAGCUCAACGAAGUCCAAGAAAUGUAUGCCAUCGGCCGGUGGAGGAACGACAUGUGUAGUGUGGGCAGGUAAUGGGUUUGUGGUCACAUUCAGCUGACCCUGACCCAAGUGCACCAAACCUUGGUUGAUCAAAUCCUGAACGACAUGCCUCAAAGCAGUUCAUCGAUCGGUCUCACGUCCAGGCCCUUGAUGGUAUGCACAGUGCAAAUCCAUCCUGAACUGAGGUGGAAUAGGCUGAGGAGGUGGCCUAGGGGUGAGAGCAGUCAAUAACCCGGCCUCUGUAAGCUUCCGAAGAGCCUGGCUCAAUGGCAUGCCUAAUUGUGAGAACUACCUCUGCGUCCUCAAAGCAAAUGGAGCAGAAGCCUGCUGAGCUCUGGGUCGGGGAUAAGAAGUUAUGGGUCUCGUAGUGAACUGAGCAGCAUAGCACGAUUGUCCUAUGGCCUUGUAUGAGACAGGUGACCUCUCGAUGCCUUGGGUGGCAUAGUAAGGCAAAGCCAAAGUCUGUGGCAUAUAGGACUAAUCAUGAGUCGGACGAGGCGCCCGUGGCCUAUACUGCUGAAGUGGAUAUGAAGGAUGAGUCUCUAGAAGCUGUGGGACCGACUGAUGGCGCCUGAGAGGUCUUUGACUAGAAGAACCGAUAGCGCUCACAUCAACUGACCUCUGUCCUCCAAAGGGUUUCUUCCCCUUAACAUCACUAGGGGAAGAAUCAGUUCACAAUUAUCUCAAGAUGCCGUCCUCGACAUCGUACAAAGCCAAAACCAACGAACCAAAAUCUAUGAAGAGUACCCCAAUCACGUGUCUGGCAAUCCUGGGCUGUAGGCUCCUCAAAACCAUCUGUAUCUGAUCUCUCUCUAGAGGCCUGUCAAUGGUCUCGGCAAUCUUCCUACGCCAACGGGAGAUGAAGGAUGAAACUGACUCAUCUAUCCUCUACCUCAGAGCCUCGAGCUCUCUCCUUGAUACAUCCAUCAUAGUGUUAAACGAAAACUAUCAUAAGAACUCCUAGGCCAAGUCGUCCCAUGUCCGGCAUCGUGAAGACUCUAGGAAUGCGAACCAGCGCUGGGCUGCCCCACUUAGAGAUAGCGGGAACAAAGUGAUCAUCUAUGACUCAUCCAAUCCGUGUGCUCUCAUCACUGUGCUAUAGAGUCUGAGGUGGAUGCGAGGACAACCAAUGCCCGUAUACCUCUCAAUGUCCAGCAUCCUGAACUGAGCCGACAAACUGGCCACCAGCAUACCCUCAAGAUCAUCCCAAAUAGCUGAUCCAUCUGACACUCUCAUCUACCUCAUAUGCUGCUCGAUACGGUCCAUAUGUGCAUGAGCGUCAUUAGUGACUGUGGUCUGAACGAUUGCAGGUGGGGCAACCUCAGAAUGCCCAUGCAAUACAUAAGGUGAGGCCUGAGGCACCAUUGGAACAGGUGGUGGCAGUGGCUGUGGCAACGAAUCAUGAAGAGUCUCAUCAUGAACUACGAGUGGUCUGCUCUACUGGCUGCCAAUCUCCUGCCUGAGGCUAGCCAAAGCCUCUUGGAUAGAAGCCAUGACGGUCGUAAACUGAUCCACUGUAACAACCUAUUGAUCCAUACUCAAUCUCUCGGAAUACCGGACUAAUCUCCCCUCUACUCUAACCCAAGAAGACGUAUCCAGACUACGAACAAAGAUUUGAUCCUAAAAGCGCGAAGAAAUGAAUAAGGAUAUGGGACGAAGAAAGCACAGAAGAAAUGAUAAUCUGAAUGGAAACAAGCAAGACAUCUAAGUGAAGGUAGACUUUCUGACCAUACUCAAACUCAUACUAAUCUCUGUACACUUUCAAUUGAAGACUAAAAAAGGAGUAUCGGAAUCCAAACUGUGGCUACAGAGGCUUUGAAAGUUCUCAGAUGCACCCACAUGUAGGGAGUGAACCCUAAUCGAAUGAUCUACGGCUCAACCUACGAGGUCAAGGUGGCUCUAAAUGGAUAUGAGUGGGCUUUAAAAGAUCCCUUAAGCAGAGGCGAUCAUACUGAUUACUACUCAAAAAGUGCUAUUUGAUAGCUUAUAAUUAAUCCUUUUAAACACUUUUGAGUAGUAGUUUAGGCCUUUUAACUCAAUUGGCAUGUUAAGGACCCUUGAAAGGAAUUUUAAUCACUUUGUGUAAGUUUUGGUGUUUUUGUUAGUAAUUUGAUCAUCAAAGCAAGUCAAGACUGAGGAGAGCUAUGAGGAAUCUUGGGCAAAGCUUAGAAGUCAUUUGCCAAGAGUAAAUCCGGAUUGCAAGGAGAAAAAGUAAAGAGAAUCUGCCAAGAAGCAUAUUCUUGAUGACAGUCGUAUCAGCCACUUUUGGAGCCUCUUAUGAGGUCCAAUUGAUGCAUGCUAUAUACCAUUUCAAAGCUCAGGAAGUCAACAAUCCAAUGCUACAAACGGUGUAUAAUUCAGAGUUGAAACGAAGAAGUUGCAGCCAUUGCAAGCCAAUCACUCCGAGCUGAAGGAAGCAUUUUGCAAAGUGCUGCGAAAUCACCCUUUUGUUGCGAAGUGAUUCCGCAGCCUUUUUGUACAGUAGGGUGUAUUUCCUUCUGAAGUUGCCCGACAUAUACCGCGAGAGGGAAGUUGGGAACCUCAAGGUGGAAGCCAACUUCGCAGCCCUGCGAAGAUAGCAUGUUGUUGCGAAAUGAUUUCGCAGCCCUCUUGAGUGUCUGAGAAAUCUCGCAGACACCAUUUUCUCUUGCGAAAUGGUUCCUGGAGCCUCCCGAUAUUUGCUACCGACAUUGGGAGAUAUUUUACAUCAGAUUUUUGUUGUCUAAAUCCCAAAAUACUCCUUGUAAGCCACCAAUUACAAGAUUCCUUAGCUUUUAAGUUAGUAAAAAGAGAAAAUAUCUAUGUAAUAAUUAGUUUUAUAUUAUGUUCAUAUAUAUACCUCUCGGGAGCCUGUUCUCAGGGAGGAGAUCCUUUUGUAAAGUUUUGGGUAAGCAAGUAAAGUUUAUUUUUUUCUACUGCCUUACCUUCUCACUUUGUAUUUUUUAGUUAAUACUAAGUUAUGAACUCUCUGAGGAGUUUUCCCCAGAGAAUGAGUAACUAAACCUCUAAUUCCUUGGAGCUAAGGUUGCCGGGGAAGGUUCCAAGUGCAAGAAUGCAAAGCUUUGUGGUUUUAGCUAGUAAUGAAGAGGAAGUGAAAUCCUUUAGUGAUUUCUAUGUUUUUAGUUAACUUAAAACACCUUAGAGUCACCUGGGCCAACACUUGGUAAGGCAAGUGAUUUCCAACCAUGGAAAUGCACUAGUUUACCCCUUGCAAGCCUCUGGUAGGUGACUUCAGGGUAGGAUUUUCUAGAAUAGCCAACACUUGAUAAGCUUUUGGACUCCAAGGAGACAUCCAUUAGUUAUCUCUUGCGAGCUUUUGACGGGUAAUCCAAGGUUAAGGAUCACCUUGAAUGGUUAAGGCUUAGUGAGAGGCUUAAACCAUUGCAAGUUGCAUCAGUGAGAGAAUUAAAGUGAAAUCUAAUUGAAGGAUGAAUCUGUACAACACCAGCUAGAGAAUUGACUAUAUGUUGAAUCUCUAACGCGAGGAAAGGAACCAUCUGACCGGAGCUAGGUCUUUUGCAUAAGGAACCACCCCAGUGAACCUAACUCUCCAAGGAAUGCUUUUCUUCCUAAGUUAUUCCGAGUACUUGUUAUGUUAGUUAGUUUAAAUCUUUACCAAUCAAAGUUUGUGUUUUAUGUCUUAAGCUAACCUUGAAAUGAAACAAGACCAAUUCACUUGGAAUUGGUAUCAUUGAUAGCUUGCUAAUCCUUCCCAGUGAACGAUCCUAGAGCCGCUAUACUAUAGUAGCUUUUUCUUUGCUACCCUAGUAUAUGGUGUUAUAGGUUAUAAAUUUUGUUGAUUACUCCCUCAAUCAAGGAGCACCAGCUGGACACGAAUCAGCUGAGACACCAAUUGGGCACGAAUCACAUACCCUCCGACAGUAUGCAACCCUCUGUACGUCUCCGAAGAGACGGGGCGCUUCCAUGCAAGGUGGUCAUCACCUCCACACAUGCACUAUCUCGACAUCCCAAGGGGGUUUCCUAUGGUGAAAACCUCUCAAACUCGCAACGCUCAAUGGUCAACUAGAGUGCACAGUGAAUGGUGCGGGUGCAUCCAAAAACCCUAGGAAGCUAAAACAGAAAGAUGAAACACACUGGCCGCACAAAUAUCCAUGAGACCUAGCUCCGAGCUAUACGAGUCUUCAAUGAUCGGACUCCAAUCGACAUCAAAGUGUCGCUCUCCUCCAGAAUGCUCCCAUACAUUGAUAUAGCCUGUCGCUAAACCCUACUCCUAAUCUCUGGCUCGGUCAGAGAAUAAGCACACAGAGGGCCUCACACUUGCAAUAGUGAGGACCAGAAUGAAGGGAAUGACCGAGACCAAGAGAUUUGGAGGUAGGGGGAUAGAUGUGCGGCCCACAUAGACAGGCGACAUGCAAUCAAGCAGAGGAAGGGUAGUCAUGCGACAUGCAGUUAAGCAGUAGACAGAAUACAUCACUUAUGCACACACACAAACUAUGACGAUCAGGAUGAAUAGCGACACGAACAUCAUGCUCAAAGACAAUCAAGAUAGUAUACAAGCCAAAGAAAACAACAUGGCAAGUCAAGCGAUGUGCAAUAGUGAGUCUAUAUAUGUGAAGUAAGUAGAACAAUCAGGAAGAAUCAGAAUCGCUAUACCAAGCAAAACAAGAUGAGCAGUCUAUGAUAAUCAGCAUGUUAAUGUACUAAACUAAUAUAGCAAUGAAGCACAGAAAAAGUGACAUCCGAAACCCCAAUCAAGAUAAUUGAUAUAUCAAUGUCCCAAUACAAUAUCCAAGCAUGCAUAAAAAAACUCUCAAUGUGCAAUCAAGAGACAAGUACUCAUUGAUUGACUCAUCAAAUACCACAUUUGCUUCAUCCUAAGUUCAAGCUUGACCCUCUAAAUGAUCCCCAACGGAGUCGCCAUUUUGUGGACCCUGUAUUUCGGCUCAUGCGAUUUCCACUCAAUGGCGAGCUCGAUUUUUAUUUGAAAAUGAUUUUAUUUAUUAAAAAAAAAAUAUGACUUGGAGUCACCACUUAUUUUUGUUUUAUUUUUAAAAGGGUAAACAAAAUAAGAAAGAAAACCCUAAGUGUGACUCCUUAUUUUGGAAAAUAUGAUAUGUGAAAAACCGGAUCGGGCUCGGGGGUCAGGCUACUUAUCGAGAAGGUACAGUAAAAACCAUAGCACCCCUCUAAGUCCCUAAAGUUGGGUCUCUACUAACAAAAUGAAGUUGAUGUGGUGAUCAAUAGGAAAAUCAAUGGAUACUCAAAUCGACCAUGCACAUAUGGGAUCAAAACAUGCAUAAAGAAUGACCAGAAUGGGAGUUGAUGCGUACCUGGGCCACGAACGAGCAAUGCGCUAUCAUAAAAAUGGGGUCGGUGUACAAUAAAGAGCACAAAACAUAUCACACGCGUCACCAAAUAGAACUUAAAAUUGUUCAAGGGAAAACUAGAUUUUUUAAAUUUUAUUUGAAAAUUGGAGUCUUAGAGAUUAUUUGAAAAUUGGAGUUUUAGAGAUUAUUUGAAAAUUGGAUUUUUAGAAAUUAAAUAUAAGAAUGAGAAUUUUAGAAAUUAAAUUUGAAAAAAAUUGGAAUUUUGAAAAUUAUUUGAGAGGUUGGGGGUUUUUUUUUUUAAAAAAAAAUUAAAUUACGGAAAUUGGGACUUUAGAAAUAAAAUUUUGAAAGAAAUUAGAAUCGAAAAUUGUUUGAGAAGCAGAAACUAUGAAAAUUGAAUAAAAAAAUUGGAAAUCUUGAAAAUCAUUUUAAAGCAUAAUUUUUAGAAAUAAAUGAAUAAAAUGAUAAUAAUAAAUAAGUAACGGAAUAAAUGCGAGAAUUGGAACAUUGGAAACUGAAAAAAAUUAAGUUCGGAAAUUGAAAAAUUGGAAUUUCAAAUAACUAAAUUUGGAAAUCGAAAUUUUAAAGAAUUAUUUAAAGACGGAAUUUCAAAUAAAUGAAUAAGUGAUUAAAUAAAUUAAUGAAAUAAUAAUAAUGACGAAAUAAUAAAGAUUAGGUAAAUAAUUGCGAAAAAUAGAAUUUUAGAGAUUGAAGAUUGAAUUUAGAGAUUGAAAAUUUGAGAAAUUAUUUAGAGAUGAGAUUUUAAAUAUAUGAAUAAGUGAAUAAAUAAAUGAACAUGAUAAUAAUAAUAACGAAAAUAAUCAUUUAACAACUGAAUGUGAAUAGUGAAAUUUUUUAGAUUGGAAAUUAAAUUUGAAAAACGGAAUAUUGAAAAAUUGAACUUUAAUUAUUAGAAUUUCUAAAAUAAAUGAAUGGAAUAAUAAUAAUAAUAAUGAAAAUAAUAUUUAAAUGAAUGAAAGUGAAUAGUGGAAUUUUUUAGAUUGAAAAUUAAAUUUGAACGUCAGAUUUUUCAAGAAUUGGACUUUAGUGAUUGAAAUUUUUAAAAGAAAUAAAUAAAUAAAUAUGGAAUAACAAUAAUAAUUAACAAAAAUAAUAUUUAAACGGAUGAAAGUGAAUAGUGAAAUUUUUUAGAUUGAAAAUUAAAUUUGAAAGUUAGAUUUUUGAAGAAUUGAACUUUAAUGAUUGAAAUUUUUUAAAGAAAGAAAGAAAUAAAUAUGGAAUAAUAAUAAUAAUAAUGAAAAUAAUAUUUAAACGAAUGAACGUGAAUAGUGGAAUUUUUUAGAUUGAAAAUUAAAUUCGGAAGUCAGAUUUUUGAAGAAUUGAACUUUAAUGAUUUGAAUUUUUAAAAGAAAUAAAUAAAUAAAUAUGGAAUAAUAAUAAUAAUAACAAAAGUGAUGUUUAAACGAAUGAACGUGAAUAGUGGAAUUUUUUUAGAUUGAAAAUUAAAUUCGGAAGUCAGAUUUUUGAAAAAUUGAACUUUAAUGAUUGGAAUUUUUUUAAAGAAAUAAAUAAAUAAAUAUAGAAUAAUAAUAAUAAUUAACAAAAAUAAUAUUUAAAUGAAUGAAAGUGAAUAGUGGAAUUUUUUAGAUUGAAAAUUAAAUUUGAAAGUCAGAUUCUUGAAGAAUUGAACUUUAAUGAUUAGAAUUUUUUUAAAGAAAUAAGUAAAUAAAUAUGGAAUAAUAAUAAUGAUUAACAAAAACAAUGUUUAAAUGAAUGAACGUGAAUAGUGAAAUUUUUUUAGAUUGAAAAUUAAAUUCGAAAGUCAAAUUUUUGAAGAAUUGAACUUUAAUGAUUGGAAUUUUUUAAAGAAAUAAAUAAAUAAAUAUGGAAUAAUAAUAAUAAUUAACAAAAAUAAUAUUUAAAUGAAUGAAAGUGAAUAGUGGAAUUUUUGAGAUUGAAAAUUAAAUUUGAAAGUUAGAUUUUUAAAGAAUUGAACUUUAAUGAUUGGAAUUUUUUAAAUAAAUAAAUAAAUAAAUAAAUAAAUAUGGAAUAAUAAUAAUAAUUAACAAAAAUAAUAUUUAAAUGAAUGAAAGUGAAUAGUGAAAUUUUUGAGAUUGAAAAUUAAACUUGGACCUUGGAGAACUAGACCUAAAAUUAGAACCUUAGAAAAUUAUUUCAUGAAUGGAAACUUGGAAAACCGAUUUUUUUUUUUGUUUUUUUAAAAAGAAAACAAAGUUUAGGUAAAUUGAAUUUUCGAGAAUCAAAAUUUUAUAAAUCGAAUUUAAAAUUAAAUUUUAGAAAAUUAUUUCGAAAAUGAUAUUUUGUAUAAUUAAAUUUAAAAUCUUCAUAAAAAUCAUAUUUGUAUCAUUAGAAAAAGGACUUAAGAGGGCCAAAUACUUGGCCCAUUAGGGCCUACACUAAUCUGGCCUAAACUUAGAGGAUGGGGCUUAAGGCCCACCUGAACCAAUCUAGGCCCACAACUUAAAGCUUUGGGAGCCCACCAACAAAAUGGCUACCAUGAAGAUCAAAGGGUGCCACCUCCUCAUUUUUUAAAAGCUAGAGGGAUGGCUAAUGGGUAGCAGGUUAGCGGUGAAGAAUAGGGCCUGCAUGUCGAUGAUGGCUGUGAUGAAAUAGAGGAAUGGAGUGGGAGUUGCUGCCCAUGAACUACCGCGCGGGCAAGCGGACAAGAGCAUGGGUGCGGUGGAGGGCUUCGUCGUCUUCACCGCCAAGCGCCACUACCUUACCGCCACAAGUGCCGGAGGAGGUGAAACAGAAAGCGGAGAAGGGGACAACUGCUCCCCCGCCGACGCUAUCGUCCAUUUUAAUGACGACUCUUGGAGGCGAACCCAGCGGCACCUCUCUCGGCCAUUUUCACGAACCCUUCACGCUCUGCUCGGAGCUUCUUGAUGCUGCCUUUGAUGCGACUUUGGAGCUACGUCGGCGUGGCUGCGGGAGUGAGGAAGACUGCCACCUUAGGAUCUUUUGGAUCGAGCGGCCCAACCUUGGCUGUUAGGCGGUAGUUGUGUGGCUGUCCAUGAAGGAUGGGAACGUGGCAAUGGAGGAAAAUGGGUACAUAAAAAAAAAGGUGGGUAUGAAAGGUAGUGAAGGCAUGAAGGGUGUUUAACUUUGGAUUUGGGUCCAUGCGCGUGGAUAAAGUUGAUGGUGAGCAUAUGUUGGAGGGGGUUCUCGGUAGACAAGAGUCUAAGAUUUUCAUGGAAGUUUCAAAUGGAUCCUCAGGAACAGAGCAGGUUCCAAAGUCAUGCUAAAUUCAUUUUCUUGCUAUACCCGGUGGGUGAGGCGAACAACGAGCAUCCAUGCUAUUAAAUGAAUAUCAAAAUAAAUAAAAAAAUUUGAUACCUUACUCAUUUAUAAGAGAAAACGAAGAAGCGAAAAAGAAGAACAAAACAGAGCAAGUGAAGCGAGCUUAGGCUCAACAAGGUCCAAUCCUCAACAAGUGACGUUCAAGACCAGCAAUGGCAAAUGAGGAAGAAUAAAAAAUAAAAAUGAAAUGAAAUAAAAGAAAUCUGAAAGCAAAGGCAUCCAAUAUGGCCAUACCUGAGUUUCCCUAGUGAAGCUUUGUCUCGCUUCCUUUGACUGGUUUUUUUCUCCAGCUGCUUUCCCCCCUUCUGAAAAGUCCUUCGUUCGAGCUCACCCUUUUUUCUCUCUCCUCUCGUCUGGCUUCUCCUCCAAGCUAUUACCCACUCCCUUGUUCACCGAUCAGCAAGCAUGUCAUCUUCAACCACCACCAUGGCUAGCAAUGCUCCUUACCACCCAUCUAUGCAAUUGGUUCUCGGCAUAAGGAAGGGUUCCCCCACUCGUCUAAGGUGCUGCCCGCUCCUCCAGGUGGUGAGAAAGCAUCCUCCUAAUGCUAUAAAAUCCCUCAAAAAAACUAAUAGCCUUUAGUUUUUAAAAAGGGGUCUACACAUUUAUAAUUACUAAAUAAAUUAUUUUAAUAUACAAAUUAUUACUCUUUCUUUUUAAAUUGAUUAAUACUAAAAAAAAAUAUAUCUCUUAAUGUUGAAAUUUUUAUUGAAAUUUAAUUUUUUUUUUUAUUUUAUUCCUUUUACAAUGAAAUUUUAAAUUAAAUAUUAAUAUUUUUAAUUUUAAAAUUUAUAUAAUAAAAUUAAUUUAAAAAUUAAAAUAAAAUAUUUAGUAGUAUUUGGGCUUUGUAGUAUUGAAACUUUGGUAUAAGAAAUUUGAAAAUACUUCUAUAAUUAUUAAAAAAAAUUAGUAGAAUAAGAUAGUCCUUUCAACAUAAUUGAGACAUUAAAUUUUAAGCACUCUAAAAUUAUAAUCUUUACAAAUAAUAAAGAAGUUUUUGCAUCGAGACCAACUGAAUAUGAUUUGUAUGUUCUUAAUUUUCAUUUUCUUAUCUUUUAUCUUCCUAUACCUACAAGCCUAUUUAGAGAAAGACCUUUUAUUGAAAAAUGAGAGUUCAGAGUUAUUUCCCUUUGAAAAUAGAGUGGAUCGGAAGGUCUUUAUUAAAUAUAGGGUUUCUUCUAAAACGAGAUGAAGUAAAUUAGCAACUCUGAACAAUCUGAAGGAAAAGGAAUUUGAGUUAAGUUGAUGGGGCGUGCGACACUUUAUUAGGACUUUAAGAGAUAUUUUCUCUUUCACGCUAUCCUUUGAAAUUGAGUUGUGUCCGUUUUCAACUUAAUUUUUUGCUCUCUGUUUUUCUAAUGAAAAUAUAUCUUUUGUUGGGAGAAAAUAUUUUGUUGAAUAUAUAUAUUCAAAUGGAAGGUAAGCAAAAAAAAAUGAUAAAAAAUGGGUGUGAUGAAAUUUCAAAUUAUUGAUCAUCAUAUGUAUUUAACCUAAAUCUUAAAAAAGUGAAUGAAAUUAACUCGUUAAAUUUGUUCAAUACCACUUUUUAUAAAUAAUUUUUUAAUCAUGUAGCAUUCAAAACAAAAAACAUAUAAUUAACGAUAACAUGAAAUUAUUAAAAUAUUUAAAAUUAAAUAAUAUAAAGAAACAAUAAAAUGGUUCAUUUAUAUUGUUAGAACCAUUGUUUUAAAAACUGGUCACUCCGAUCGGUCGGAUGGUCCAUCAAUGCCCUUUCCAGUCUGAUCUAGGGAAAUGGACAGAGACAACUGACAAUCAGACCAUCGACCAUUCUUCAUGGACCAGUCAAGGUCAAAACCUAAAUGGCCUUGCCCAAAUCCAUUAAUUCCUAACCCGUUUGCUUGUUCCCAAGGUUAACUGACAUACCAUCGACCAUUCUUCAUGGACCGGUCAAGGUCAAAACCUAAAUGGGCUUUGCCCAAAUCCAUUCAUUCCCAACCUAUGUGCUUGUUCCCAAGGUUUGUAAGUAUAAAUACCCAUCUAUUGGCCCAAAUUCAUUAUUUCAAGCCCAUUUGCUUGUUCUCAAGUUCUACAGGUAUAAAUACCCUAUAAGUGGUUUAUAGAUUUCCAAUGUGGGAUGAGUUUUGAUAAUAAUGAAAGGAGCUUUGCAUGGUGGGGAAUUGAACCUAGGACUUAUUUUUAACAAAAUGUUAGCACACCACUAUGUUACAAAGCUAUUUGAUUAAUAAUUUGAUAAAUAUCUAUAUAUCUGUUUUUUAAUUUCUAUCAUAUAAAACAUUUAAACAAAUAUAAAUAUUUAUAUCUACUAUUAUUUUUAUAAUAAUUAUACAUAUCCUAUUUAAUAAAAUUUAAUAUAUUAAUACAUUUAUAUUUAUAUUUAUCAUUUAAUUUGACAAAUUGAACAUAAAAAAUAAAAUAUUAUUAAAAUUUUUAAUAAAAUAUAUUUUAAUUUAUUUUAAUUUUAUUAAAAUAUAAAUUAUAUAUUUAUAAUGUCAUCGAUUUGAUCGCGGUUUGACCACUGGUUCAACUAGUGAACCAUGAACUGGUAACUUUUUCGGUUCAAUAUUCGAUCCAAUUUUGAAAACAUUAGUUAAAACUUUUUUAUUUAUAGAAAAUGGUAAUAUGCUUUAAAGUUGUAGGAUGUUAAAAGCCCAAAUACAUGCCUACAUAUUUUCUUAUUUAUCUCCUAGUAUUUUUACCAAGUGAUAGAUAUAUUGGUGGCCAAGCAUUAUCAUCAUCAUUAUUUAUCUCCUAACAUCUUUAUGAAGUGAUAGGUGUAGGAAGAGUGUAAAUAAUUUUUAUUUUUAUUUUAUUUUAUUCUAUUAGUUUUAUAUUUUUUGGGAAGAGUCCUAUUGGGAAUUAUUUUUAUUUUAUUUUAUUCUAUUAGUCUUAUAUUUUUGGGAAGAGUCCUAUUGGGAUUGUGCUAGUGGAGUCCCAUUCCUUUUAUAAGUAGAAUCCUCUUCCACUUUGAGUUAUCUUUUGAUUACAAGCAGAUUCCCAUUAGGAUUGUGUUAAUGACCUAUAAAAGCAGGUCACCUUUUGCUCUCUAUAUGCCAAUACCAAUUUUUCAAAGAAUUUUUCAGAGCGUUUUUCAACCAUCUAUUUGGAUGAAUUUUUUCAAAAACCCGAACUGUAUACAUCUCACUUACAGAAUGCACCCAAGGCGACAUCUAGGUGUUGAAUCCCGGAGAUAGACCAUUGGUACCCUAGUGUACCGAAUUUGUCUUCGAGUAGGAUGAAUCUAUUUCAAGGACAGUGUUUGUCAUGCCUCAUUCGAUAAGUUUUUCUUCUUAUUAAUUAUGUUCUUUGUUUGUGUCUUUUGGGCUAGUCAUUUGUUUCCAUACCCUUAAUCCAACAAUCUUGAAAUAUAUCCAAAUGUAAGCUUCUCUAGUUCACACCCAUCCUAACACCUCUAAAAUUGAUCCCUUCAAUGGGACAUUCUUUAAGAGAUGGCAGGAAAAGGUUUUCUCUACAAUUGAUGUAGUGAACUUAGGACACAUUUUGACUGACCGAAUACCAAAAGAUAGUUCUCAUUUGUUACCAACCUGGGAAAUUGGAAAUAAACAAGUUAGGCAUGCUAUUCUAAGUACCCUUUCUAAUGAACUUUUUGAUAUUUAUUGUCAAUUUAAAGUUGUAAAAGAAAUUUGGGAUGCAAUGAAUAAAAAAUAUAGUUUGGAAGAUACAGGAACUCAAAAAUAUGCCAUAGAGAAUUUUAAAAAUUUCCAAAUGACUGAGGAUAGAGAUGUAUCAUCUCAAAUCCAUGACUACCACUUGUUGAUUAAUGACUUAGCUAUUGAAGACAUUAAAUUACCCGAACCUUUUGUAGCUGGUUAUUUAGUAGAGACUUUUCCAGAGUCUUGGAAAGACUACAAAAAUAACAUGAAACAUAAAAGGAAACAAAUGUCCCUAGAGGAUGUCAUAAUCUAUAUUAAGAUUGAGGAACAAAACCGAAAUAGGGAUAAUGCUGAGAAAGUUAAGGACUUGUCUUCUAAGGCUAAUGUAGUAGAAGAAAAACCUAAACCCAAAAACAAUAGGUCCAGGAAACAAAACUCUAGGAACAAACCCAAUGCAUCAAACAAGAUCCAAAACCCAAUUAUUAAAAAGAAAAAGAAAAAGUAAGGAUCUUGUUUGACUCUAAUAAAAUAGUUUUAACCAAGAAUGAUGCAUUUGUGGGGAAGGGCUAUUGUAAUAAGGGUUUAUUUAUGUUGAAUGUUUAUGAUAUUAUCAAUAAUAAUGCAUCUUCUUCUUUUUCUGCUUACAUAGUUGAUUCUUGUGAUAUUUGGCAUGGUAGACUAGGACAUGUGAACUUUUCAUAUAUGAAGAAAAUGGUUGAAUUGAGUUUAAUCCCUAAAUUGUCCUUAGAAAACCAUGGAAAAUGUGAAUCUUGUGUAGAAUCUAAAACCACAAAGAAAUCUUGCAAAUCAGUUGAAAGAGAAUCAAAUGUACUAAGUUUAAUACACAGUGACUUAGGAGACCUAAAAAAUACAAUGACUAGAGGUGGUAAACGAUUCUACAUAACUUUCAUAGAUGACUACUCAAGGUAUACAAGGGUAUAUCUUUUGAGAAACAAAGAUGAAGCAAGAUAUGCUUUCAUCAAGUACAAAAAUGAAGUGGAAAAUCAACUAAGUAAGAAAAUUAAAAGACUUAGAACUGAUAGGGGAAGAUAGUAUGAGUCCAACCUCUUUAAUUCUUUUUGUGAAGAUCAUGAGAUCAUUCACAAAAAUACUCCUCCUUAUUCUCUUGAGUCUAAUGGAGUAGCAGAAAGGAAAAAUAAGACCUUAAAAGAAAUUAUGAAUGCAAUGUUGGUAAGUUCAGGAGCACCCUUGAACUUAGGGGGGAAGCUAUCCUAUCUGCAUGUCAUAUUCAAAAUAGAAUACCUUAUAAGAAAACUGGAAAAACUCCUUAUGAGUUGUGGAAGGGUUAUGCACCUAAUAUAGCAUACCUGAAAGUGUGGGGGUGUUUAGCUAAAGUUCUUUUCCCUGAACCUAAAAAAUGAAAACUAGGUCUUAAAACCUUUGAUGCAAUGUUCAUUAGCUAUGCUGAGAAUAGUGCGACAUAUAAGUUUCUUGUUACUAAGUCAGAAAACAGUCUUGUAGAUGUCAAUACUAUUAUGGAAACAAAGAAUGCAGAUUUCUUUGAAAACAUCUUUCCUAUGAAACUAAAUGGUGAACAACAAGUUUAGAAAACAAGUAGAGACAAGUCUAUUGAACCUUCUGAAUUUGAACCUAGAAGGAGUAAAAGUGAUAGGAAAGAAACAAACCUUGGAGAUGGUUUCUACACCUUCCUAAUAGAUGAGGACCUUAAUCCUACAAAGAAGCUAUAACUUUUCCUAAUGCGCCAUUUUGGAAAGAGGCCAUUAACAGUGAAAUCGAAUCAAUCAUGUAUAACCAUACGGGGAGUUAGUAGAUUUACCUCCUGGUACAAAGACUAUUGGUUGUAAGUGGAUCUUUAAAAGAAAGUUAAAAUAAGAUGGGUCCAUAGAGAAGUAUAAAGCUCAUUUAGUUGCCAAAGGCUUUAAACAAAGGAAAGAUGUAGAUUACUUUGACAACUUUGCCCUUGUGAAUACAAUAGCAUCAAGUAGAGUAUUGAUCACUCUAGCUUCCAUUCAUAAUUUGGUUAUACACCAAAUGGAUGUUAAGAUUGCAUUCUUGAAUGGGGAUUUGGAAGUGGAAAUUUAUAUGGAACAACUUGAGGGUCGUGUAGUUCCAGCGAAGGAGAAAAAGGUGUGUAAGUUGGUUAAAUCACUAUAUGGGUUAAAACAAGCUCCCAAACAGUGGCACAACAAGUUUGAUCAUGUGUUAGUAACUAAUGGAUAUUCCAUUAAUGAUGCUUAUAAGUGUAUCUACAGUAAGUAUGAGGAUAACACAUGUGUAGUCAUCUGCCUUUAUGUUGAUGACAUGCUGAUCUUUGGAACUAGCCUAGAGGUUGUGUGUGAGACCAAGAAAUUCCUAGGUCCUAAGUUUGAUAUGAAAGACCUAGGAGAGGCAGAGGUGAUUUUAGGAAUUAAAAUAACUAGAACACCUAAUGAGCUUAAACUUUCUCAAGAGCACUAUGUAGAAAAGAUCCUAAGGAAGUUUGAACGCUUUGAUUGUAAACUAGUGUCAACUCCUUAUGAUCCCAGCUCACUACUGAAGAAAAAUAAAGAACAUAGUGUUGCCCAAAUAGAGCAUGCUCAGAUCAUAGGGGACCUAAUGUACUUGAUGAACUGUACUAGACCUAACAUUGCUUAUGCAAUAGGUAGAUUGAGUCGAUACACCCAAAGUCCUAAUCAGGACCAUUGGACUAUUGUUCGUAGAGUCCUUAAGUAUUUGAGAGGCACCAUUAGUGAUUUAGUGGAUUUCCAAGUGUCCUUGAAGGAUUUAGUGAUGCAAAUUAGAUCUCGGAUUCAGAUGUGAUGAAAUCCACUAGUGGAUAUGUUUUCAUAUUUGGUGGAAGUAUAGUUUCUUGGAAGUUUACCAAGCAAACUUGCAUUACUCGGUAUACUAUGGAGGUUAAGUUAAUUGCCUUAGAAAAGACAAGUUUUGAGGCUGAGUGGCUUGAAAACCUCUUAGCAGAUAUCCCUUUAUGGACGAGACAAACCUCGCCUGUGUCUAUGCGUUGUGAUAGCCAAGCUACAAUUGCUAAGGCUAAGAGUAAAAUAUUUAAUGGGAAGAAUAGGCAUAUAUGGCUAAGGCACAAUAUUGUGCGGUAGCUUCUUGAAACGAAUUUGUGAGGUCAGAGUUGAAUUUGGUCGAUCCUUUGACCAAACCACUAAAUAAGAAACUAGUGGAAGAAACAUUGAGGGGGAUGGGGCUUAUGCCUAUUACAGAAGUUAAGAGUGGUGGUAACCCAACCUAUUAGAAUGGAAAUUCCAUGAAGUAGGUUCAUAUGGGUAAUAACAAAUCACUUGUUGACUUGAGGUGCUAUAUCAACUCUAAUUGUAUGAGGGUCUAUCCCUAUGGUGUAGAUAGAGCGUAUUUUGCAUUGAUUAAGGUUGAGUGUUUACUCUUAAUGAAUACCAUAUUCCUUAUGGAUGGUAUGUUUAAAUGCAUAACAUACUUGAUGGAUUCACCUAUAUGAGAGUGGAGCCGGGGCCGCUUCCUAUGAGAACUUAGGUAGUUUCUCUAGAACUCUCAUGAAUAUCCAGGUAGGGCGCAUGGCCUAUUUGUGCCAACCCAUUUUGUACAACUCGUAGUGUAAUUGAGAAAACCAAUGUGGAUAAAAGUUCAUUGAGUUACAUCAAGAAACACUGGUUCAUAGAAAUUUAUUUUCACCCUGUUUUGUGAUUCAAUACCUAUUUGUCUUAAGACUAGUUCAUAGCCUUUGGGUACCAGUACUAAUGCAUUGGAUUUUUUUUCCUCAAAAAAUAAAUAAAUAAAUAAAUAAUCACGUUUACACUUUGUGGGGGAUUGUAGGAAAAGUGUAAAUAAUUUUUAUUUUUAUUUUAUUUUAUUCUAUUAGUCUUAUAUUUUUGGGAAGAGUCCUAUUGGGAUUGUACUAGUGGAGUCCCAUUCCUUUUAUAAGUAGAAUCCCCUUCCACUCUGAGUCAUGCUCUGAUUACAAGUAGAUUCCCAUUGGGACUAUGUUAGUGGCCUAUAAAAGCAGGUCACCCCUCGCUCUCUAUAUACCAAUACCAAUUUUUUAGAGAAUUUUUUUAGAGAGUUUUUCAAAUAUUCUUUUCAUACAUCUAUCUAGACGAAUUUUUUCAAAAACCCGAGCUGUACACAUCUCGCUUACAAAGUGCACCCAAGGCAAGAGCUGGGUGUUGAAUCCUGGAGGUAGACCACUGGUACCUUAGUGCACCGAAUUUGUCUUCGAGGAGGGUGGAUCUAUUUCAAAGACAAUGUUUGCCACACCUCAACCGACAAGGCGGCACAACGUGCACAACCAUUUUUUGAUUUUUCUUUGGGAAUUUUGCUUUGUUUAGGAACUUUGCUAAAAUGGGCACUUGACCUUGAUGAACAUUUUUCCUAGAUGGACACUCGGCCUUGGUGGGCAUUUUACCUAGAUGGGUGCUUGGCCUUGAUGGACAUUUUGCCUGGAUAGGCACUUGUUCUUGAUAGGUAUUUGCUUAGAUGGGCAUGUCACCUUGUUGGGCACUUGGCCUUGAUAGACAUAUCAUCUAGAUGGGCAUUUUGCCUUGAUGGGCACUUGGCUUUUAUGAGCAUUUUGCCUAGAUGGGUAUUUUACCUUCUUUGAUCUUUCAUAGGUUGGAACUCUAUAGGUGGUGGGGUUGUGUUUUGGGUUGUAUUUUCCAGGCACACAUGUGUAGGGGUAGGGAAAUGCUGCAUUUCCUCCUGGUUUUAGCUCUAGAUGUGCUUAUUGCCAUGCACACAUGUAAGUAUUGUUCUGCUUCUUCUUCUUGUGUUUAAGGGUAAGUUGAGUUUUUUUUCGUACUCUUACAUUUUCUCUCCAUCUUUCUUUGUCUUUAUUUUGUUGUGCAGAUGAAGUGUGGCAUCAAGGAUUUUAGUAGGCGGAAAGGUGAGCUUCACUACCACGUUGCUGAAACUGACCAACUGAGGUAAGUCAGGUACUUUUUUUGCAGCUAAAGCUUUUGGUUGGGUGCUUUCUUGGCACUUGACGAUUUGACCGAGUGCUUCUUGGAACCUAAGGCUAUGGUCGGGUGCUGUUCGGCACCUAAGACUUUUUGGUUGAGUGCUUUUUUGGCACUUAAGGCUUUGUUGGGCUCUAUGCUUGGCUGGGUACUACUUAGGCACCCUAGGCUUUGUUGGGCACUAGGCCCAACUGGAUGCCACUUAGGCACCUUAGGCUUUAUUGGGCUUUAAGCCUGGUUAGGUGCUACUUGGGCACCGUAGGCUUUGUUGAGUGCUAGGCCUAGCUAAGUGCUACUUGGGCACCCUAGGCUUUAUUGGGCUUUAAGGUUGGUCAGGUGCUACUUGGGAACCUUAGGCUUUGUUGUGCUCUAGGCCCAACUAGGUGCCACUUUGACACCUUAGGCUUUAUUGGGCUCUAAGCCUGGUUAAGUGCGACUUGGGCACCUUAGGCUUUAUUGGGCACCCUAGGCUUUAUUGGGCUCUAAGCUUGGUCGGGUGAUAUUGGGCACCUUAGGCUUUAUUGGGCUUUGGACUUAGCCAGGUGCUACUUAGGCACCUUAGGCUUUGUUGGGCUCUAGGUCUGGUCGGGUGCUACUUGGGCACCCUAGGCUUUAUUGGGCUUUAGCCUUGGCUGGGUGCUACUUGUGCACCUUUGACUUUGUUAUGCUCUGGCCCUGAUCAGGUGCUACUUGGGCACUUUAGGCUUUGUUAAGCUCUAGGCUUGGCCGGGUGCUACUUAGACACCUUAGGCUUUUAAAGUCUAAUGCUUCUUUAUACCUAAGGUUUUUUUUUUUUUUUUUUUUUUUUUUUUUUUUUUUUUUUUGCGGUCAUGCGAUGCGUAACAUAUUUGAUUUGAAAAAUACAACAGUUGACGAUAUUGCUUCCCCAUUUGGGGAUCUUUGCUUUUAGAUGGAUUAGGCCAUUUGGUAAGAGUAGGAAGUUCUUCUUUGGUAGAUCCACCAGCGCCUCUUUGUCCACUGAUAGUGUCUAGGCAGUUGCAUUGAGUCAGGCCACCAAGAUCUAGUUCUCCCUUUUGAUUCGGUUAACAAGUCUUCUCAGUUUGUCCAACUACCUUCGAUACUUGUUAGCUACGGUUCAGUUGUUUGUUGUGGCCACUCAUAAGUUGUUGGGAUGACACUCUCACCAUCAACAUAGUUAGCUGCCAAUGUAGUCACCAUGGUUGGCUUUUGUUUCAUUCCCAUAGAUGAUGCCAAUUGUUGGUGCACAAUCUUUCUAGAUGUGAUGAUUUGGUGACUAUCCGGGUCGCUAUCCAAUCUUCUAUUGUCACCUCCUCUAUUGGUGGGUGUCUUGGUUCUCUAGGAAAAUGAUAUUUUUUUUCCUUGUUCUUCUUUCUCCUUUAUAGGUUAGAGUUAGACGUUGGAGGUUGUGUGGAGUACACGAUUAGCUUGGCAGGUUUGUGUUAGGCAGUGUGUGGUCGACUAUCCCUAACGCUUCAUGUUGAUGUGACAAGAUGAUGUUUUCCUUAGAGAUUUGUUCCUCAUACAUGUCUUGUUGUUGCCUUUGGUAUUCAUGCCACAUGAUCCAUGUUGGCAGCCUAAAAACUUCUUCCCAGUGACCAAUUUUUUAGUUCUUCUAGGAUCAGUUGGAGUGGGCUCUCGGAUCACUAUAGGUUUAAAUAGAGUCGGGAUGACUUCUCGAUCGGGAGACAAUAUUCAGCCGAUACAACAUCCGGGUACCCCUUCUUGGCAAAAUUCGGCACCCUCAGGAGGCAGCUUUUAUAGCGAAAUCUGCCACCCCCGACCCGAGUAAGCAGGUAGACCCACAGGUUGGCUGGCUUCUAUGGUUUGUACCUCCAAUUAUAAUGGAAGUAUAAAUUUUAAAAAGAUUCAGUGAUUGUAGGAUUCAAUUCUAAUGCUCUUAUAGUAGCCAAGGGUCCUCGGACUCAUGGUAGCACACAGACAUGUCCUCUUCUAUCUAUGCAAAUAGUCAUGCAAAAUACAAAUAUUCCCUCAUACAUUCUUAUAGUUUUACAUGUAUAUGAAUUUAAUUAUUUUAUGUUCUGACUAGUGAGUAGAAAGUGAGUUAAGGUCUCCGACAACAAGGUCUCCAAGCAACCAUAUUUCCCCAUUUUAACCUCGCUACUGCCAUUGAUGCGGUAGUAGAGUAUAACUGGCACAUAUAGAUAUGCCAGAAGAGCAAUCGAGAGCAGAUAGCUUCAAAUUCUGAAUGUGAGGUUCAGUUGGAGACUGGUUUUAUUAGCCUUUUAGAUAUGAUUUGAACCUCUAUUUUAGACAAGAACUUGGAGCUUCUGAAUAUAUGUAGUACAACUCCUUUGGUCAUGUAUAUAUGUGCAUAUUGCGUUGAGAUAGACAACAUACAAUCACUUGGCAACACAAUAUUAAAACUUUCAGAAUAUCACAAAAUUUGAUUGAUGUCAAAGACUCAUUCUGGACAUUUAGGAUAGGAGGUUACAAUAAAGCCAUUAACUGUACACAUAAGUUCAUUUGCAAGAAUUGGGAACCAAUUUAGAAGGUCAAGUAUAUUCGCUGUCAACAAGAAUGACGCCCUCCGAUUUAAGAUCUCUACUGAGGAGGAACCCAGUUUGAUCAAGAUUCUAGGAUCAAACAACAGAGUCAAAGUCAAAUCAAGAGCAACGUUCCAACUUGUCAUGAAGACCAAGAAUAGUAAUUGCUUUUGAGCAAGCAGUGAAAUUAUUUGCAAUCAGACAAUCAUCUUCUUCUUCAAGAAAUGCUGUAAUGAAAUUCUUACCAGUUGUGUCUGAUUCUUCGAAACAUGAAGUUAGCAAACAGAUUGUUCAUAUAUAAUGUCAGUUGGCAUAAAUGUAGUGUUCAAUCACCAAGCCACAAAGAUGAUACAACAGAACAGUUGCAGCAGGAAAACUUGGUUGUUUAUUCAAAAUCAAGUAAAUCUCUAGGUCCCUCAUACCACGAUUGCUCCCAAUAUUUAGGUCUUGGCGUAGACAAUUCCUUUCGUGUCUAUGUGGACAGAACAAUGCUUGGUGUUCUAGUUGUUGUCUUUCACCAUGGUCUAUAGAAAAAAUGUCCAGAAAAACAACUAAUGAUCAGUAGAAGUGUAAAAGGGAAGAAAGAAAACUACUGAUAGAUUGGAUCAUGACAGAUAUUUAUUUUUCCUAAAAGAAUGUAAAUGUAUGGUUGCUCUUUGAGUACAGCUCUCUACAGCACAAAAAUAAGGCAAUCAAAUGAAACAAACCAAGAAAACAACAAUAUUAAAAGAGUUAUGAAAUAUCACCAGAUGAGAUCCAACAGUAAAUUAAGAAACUUUAUAUAAUCUUGUUUACCUUAGGGCCAUGUCUGGAGGAGUUCCAAUUGUAGGCCUAGGGCCAAUGUUGAUAGGCACAUGCCCAGAUCUUAGACACCCUCAAGAUGAACAGUAGCAGCUACUCUAGGCGCUCCUACUGCACAGGCAAAAAACAAGUUAGUCAAUGUUUCUUGGCUAUUGGCUUUGGCUUGGACCUUGGUGGUUAUGUCAAUUUUAGAUAAAUAUGUUAAUAAUCCAAUGACUAUACUCCAAGAUUGAUGAUAUAUAUGCAAUAUAUCAAUUUGGAAAUGUCGAUAUAAACAUUUAAGGAAUUUAAAUUAGUCAAUUUUCAACAAUCUAGCAUUCAAAAGUGUACAAAAUGGUUAUAACUUGAAAGUUUGAAUAUAAACUGAGGUACAAUAUUCCUAUAGGCUCAAGUCUCCCUAGAACAAGGCAUCACAUCACAUAUUUAUGUGGCCUUAUGUUUGAGGUAAGCACCUUAUCUAUUGGCGAGUUCAUCAAUAAUAAGCUUUUUGCAAGAAAUUGGAGACCUAAAAUUACUCUAAUACUUCUUUUAUUGAACAUUAAAUUUUCUUAAAAGUGUUAUCGAUUAUCAAACAUUUAUAUCAAUGGUGGAAACUAGUUUGCUACCAAAGUGAAGGUCAAAGUCCUAAUUAUCAUUUCACUAAACAAUGUAAUAUAGUAUUAUACAAUUAUUGCUUUUAAAAGAAAAUUUACAAGCUAACUAGCGAAAUUUAUGAUUAUACCUUUUUCCGACUUCACUCACGCCAUUGAGCUUUAUAAUUUGAUGAAACAAGCCUAAAUCAAAAUUAUACAAAAAAAAAUAAAGAAUUGGAGAAAACAAACUUGUAAGCACUAAAUUUUGUACUUUAAAAGAGGAAAUAGGAUGCCAAUUGUAGGUUUAAUUUAAAGAAACCUUAAAAAAAUAUUUUUAAAAUUAUAGGAAAACCCCCAUACCUUAGAAAAGAUUGGGGCGAACAGUCUACCUUUUGGCGAUGUUCACAUCUUGAGAGGAAUGACUUCUUUCUUAGUAGAUCUGAUGAUGGUGUUGAUCUUUGGGAAGAGAUGAUUAGAAGGCUACGUUGAAUUUUAGUGAGUGAGAGAGAAAGCAACACCCAAAACCCUAAAGCAAAAAAGGAAUUAAUAACUUAAAUAGAUUCCAUUUUUUCCUUAUGACAUGUCUACCUUAGUAAGGUUUUUAUGGCAGUGAUACCAUUUGGAUAAUUAAGUCAUUGAUUUUGAUGGAUCUUUUCCAUUUGAAUUUUUAAUAUAUAAACUUAAUCUUUUUACUUGGGGUAAUAUAUUUGGUAUUUUAGGAUUUCCUUUUUAAUAAUAUGCUUUUAGUAGAUGGUUUAACUAUGUCCUAGUGUAAUAAGUAGUCUUGCAUUACAUUAUCUACUAUGGAGUAGGAGUGUGUUGCUUGUUCAAGGGAUGUAUGGGAAGUUGUUUAUUUGAUGAUAUACUUUCAACACUUAGAGUCACGACUUGAGCUAAUAAGUUUAUCAAGAUCUAAGCAUUGAUGGUGUUGCUACUCUAUUGUAUAGCAAGGAUCCAAUUAGUCACAUUGUAGGACAAAACACUUAUAGACAAUUGAUUCUACUACAUUCAAGAUAUUGUUGCUUAAGGGGAGGUAGAGUCAAAACAAGUAGACAAUUGAUACAACUACACACACAACAUAGAGACAAAACACAUGAAUAAUACUAUGGUUGAAUAAAUUAAUUGGAUGACAUCAAGCUAACAUUGAUCUAGUAUAAUUAUUUGGAGCCUAAAUGAGGGUAUGAUGAGAUGAUAAUUAUUUUGUCAUCAACAUAGUGAACAACAUAAAUUAAAAUCUUGAAAUGUCACCUUAGCCAACCUAGUAGAAAUGAUUCAUCAAAAUAUUUGAAUGUGAGAUCUUAAAUUGGUGUUUGACAAAUAAAUAUGGUAAUAAACAUAUAUUAAGUAUAUAUGAAGUGACCAAGCUGAGAUUUGUAUCAUGUUAUUAUAGGGAAUCCCGAAUCUCUUUGUUCCUUAUCCUAUGAUUAGGCUAGGUACAUGCGAAUCUUUCUAAGUUUUUCUAAAUCGUAUGAACAAUGGAAAAAUUGUGUUUUAAAAUAAUAACAAGAUUUAGAAUUUGCAUUAGAAAACAUUACCUUAGAUUUGGAUGUUCCCAAAUCUAAUUCACGUAGUAAAGGAGAAGAUUGAAGUUUUCAGAGGUCUUGAACACCCAAGAUCUUCCACCAGAUGACUUUUCCUUGAUUUUAGAUCUUAAUUGGUGAAGAGGAAGGAAGACUAAAAAGGCUAUGGUUCUCUCUCUCUUUGAAUAGUGAAAAAUGGCUCACUUCAAAAAAGUAAUGAAAACCUUAUUAUUUAAGGGGUAUUUAUUGGGUUCCCUAAUUGGGUGUAAGUGACUUAAGCGUACUAAAGGUUUGAAUCAUUUAAUUUAGCUCAAAAUGAGUCUUAAUUGAUUAAUUAACCUAACAUAGUUAUCUAAUUAAUUAAUUAGCUAAAUUUGGAGACUUUGUUCACUUACCCCUAUGCAACCUUGCAUAAUUACCAAAACACCCUUAUACGUAAAAGUGAACCAAGAGUUGUGUCAUCAAGGUAUAUGAGCUUAGGUGGAGACCAUUGAGACUUAUAGGACAGUACUAGCUACCCCAAAAUCUAAUUUUGAAGUUGAUUUAACAUUUCACUAUAGAGAAUCAAUUGCACUAUAAUACCUUAUGUAAAUAACAAUGAGAUGCUAAGUGGUCGAGCCCAUGACUUAUUAUCCAUUGCAUUCAGUCUCCCUAUGAACUGGUGUUUGUAGUCUAAUAAGGUGAAAACUAUCAACCUUUCAAGACUACCUCUACUAUCUUUGAAUUACAAAUCCUCUUAUUAUGUAUUUAAUUGAUAUAUCUUAAGUCUCCAAGAGUCUAUGUCAAGUUCCAUUUAAGAAACUACUAUGACCAUAGUUUACAUGAACAUACCUCCUUAGGAUCACUUAAGGGGACACUCUGUCUCAAUCCUCUUAGAUUUCAUGGUACUUCUGUUACAAAUACUCAUUGUCAUAGACUUGGAUCAAUAGUGAACCAAUCCAUAAGGAACAUAUCUUACGAUUUCAUUAGUAGGUCAAAGUCACUACUAACUUUAACACAAAUUCUAUAUUCUCUCAAGGUUAAGAGAUAAAACAAUGAAGCAACUUGGUGAAAUCAUGACUAUUUAAUAGCUUUAUGUCAUGAUUCACCAUAAGUCUUGUCUAAUGUGUAACCAUAUGCACUAGUAUACUCACCAUGGAAAACCCAUCCUGAUAACCAAGACCAACCAUUCCUCUAAAUAUGAAGUAGCAUACUAUAACCUCUAAUGGGUUACCUAGGCCUAUGAAUCGGUUGUGAACAAGUCAUUUACUUACAAUGAAUCCAUUUCUUAAAUUUUUUUUGCAACUCUUAAUGCACUCAAGUCCUGUACAAUACAAGAUAUAUAUAUUAAAAUGCUUACAAGGUAUAAUGUAUAGGAUUAGGAUAAAUAAAAGUGAACUAAAAGUUUAUUAAUAAAUAAUAAAAUUUUAAAUUUAUUACAUCGUGUCAUGCUUUUAUGAAACCUUUAAAAUACUAAGAGCAACCUUUCAUAAUCAUGAAUUAAACUUUAGUUUCAACUUCUAUCAAAGGCUAAAUGAGAAAAGCUAUCAUAGAGGAGGCCUCAGCCAAUGGGUAAGAUGCACUGUUAUACCAAACAAUAAGUGGAAAAUACAAUUUUAUUAAUACUUGAGAAAAAAAAAAAGAAAGAAAUAAAAGGAAGAUUUUACACUCAAACCAAGCAUUUAUUUAUAAUGAAGUGCAGUCUCCGUACGCACAUGUGGACUUAUUGGAAAAUCAUACAAAUUAUUGAAGGACGACCUUAGCUAGGCUAACAGUCUCCUAAAUAGGCUAUCUUUUAUAUAUCUUUGCAUUCAUCCAUCUCCUCAUUGUCUUUGAUUUUAGAUGGUGAGGAUGUGAAAGUAACAGGAAGCAGUGGACAAUUGUUCACAGUGAGGCUUAGCACAUCAGCUCUCGAAUAAUGUCCUACCACAUCGAACUGGAACUUUGCUUUAGGAAUCUCUCCACGAACAUC
rnacentral:lncRNA from 1 species